UUUGAAUUUUUGUUCACUGCACAGGGAUUGAUGAUCUUAAAUCAGGAAAUUUUUUGACACUUCUAGCCCCAAAGGCAAUGUUUCUGGAUGAUCCUCGGCGUGUUCUUCGUGCUGUUCGCUUUGGUGCUGUUUUGUUUAAAUUUCGUGGAGCUUCUGUUUCUUGUGUUUAUUUAGUUCUGGAUAUUCUUAUUCAGUGUGCCUGAGACCAUUUAUAAUGCGACCCACUGCUAUUUGUUUGUUAGUAGAACAAAUGGAUGUAUAACGUAUAUAAACGUGGGAAGUCUUAUUGUAUCUUCGUCAAUGCCAUAGCUUGUUGCCUUUGGACUAGUUCCAUGAAAUUGUGUUGAGAGUUGCAUGUGACAGUCUAAUACACAUGCACAAAACAAACGCCAUCCUCCUUCUAUUCACUUCCUUUUUGUGUACCAAUGGAUGUAUUACGUGGGUAAACACGUGACUGCAUAUGUAGGUAAAAGGUUUUAAUCAAGAAACUAAUGAUCGCACGAAAGAUAUACCUGCAAUACAGAGUGCGAGAAACAUGAGCCUACUGUUUGUGCUUUAUGUAUGAUUCUUCUCUUUCGAAGACUCUUGGAUCCUCUUGCAUCCUCACAAUCCCUGAAUUGGAAAUGCUUAAUGAUUUCAUUAUUAGAUGAGCUUUGUAAACCUUGCGUUUUCACAGCUCAUCCUACAAAGAAGCUUUCUUUUUUUUCUUUUUUUCUUUUCAUUCUUCUGCCAUGUAAUGUGGAUGCUCACUUUUCUUUAAUUUGUACAAGAGUUUUGCAAGAUCAAAACGGAGCUUUCUGCUAUUUUAUCUAUUGUCUGGCCAUAUUUGUGCAUCCAUGUUCACAAUCUUAUGUUUAUUUGAGGCGCAAGGAUGAGAUUUACGAUGGAUGAAGUGCUGAAGAGAGUUGCUGCAUCCAAUGAUGUCAUAGAUGCACUUGGAGCUAAAAUCAGUAGAGAGCGCAUUGGAAUAGAAGCAUGUGUCUAUAACAUUCCUCUAUUGGCUGCUUUAUCUCAUAUAAAUGUUUUUUUGGUUGAAGUUCUUCUUGUACAUGUGGCCUUUAUCUUUUCUCUCAACAUUUUUAUAAGAUUUGUAUUUUCCGUUUGAAUGUUACUUCUCAUCGAUGAGAUGGGAUCAAUGUUUUUCCCCUUCUCCGGUAUGGCAGGUUGAUCUGAUGACAUCUGGCAGUGAACCAGUUAAAGCUAUUGCUUACAUCUAUGAGUUGCGAUUGUUCUGAAUUGUCUUCAGUCUACCUCAUAGACAUGAAUCGACAUUACCAGAAGAGUGCUAUAGUUGGUUUGUUGGAUUGGGUCCACAAUUGACCAUUUCUCUAAGAGUAAUUCAGGCCAAUAAUGUUAAAAACCGAUGGUUUCGGACUCAUGGAGUGACAAAUAUAUCGGGUGAGAAGUAAACUUUCUUGUAAAAAAUAUGAUUUUGUAAUUAAGUGAAUGUGAAAUCAUUGAAAAAAUAAAUGAGGAAUAAUAAAAGACCCAAAGGUUUAGGUGAUUCAGUUCAAGUGUUAGUUGUUAUAUCAAUGGAGGGAGUAAGUAGCAAAAAUCUGCUAUAAUCGAAGAAUUAGAGUUACAAUAGCUUAACAUGUUCACAUGUUUACCAUGCCUAAAAUAAACCUAAACCAUGGUAUUAACAAAUAAAUAAUUCAUUUUGGAUGUGAAAAAUUUACGGCACGAAUUAUACGCUUCGUUCGCGACCAAUUAAAACAGCCUAAAAUGAAGGAUCUCGUUUGUUCUUGAUUUCCUUUCUUCGCGGCACGGCUUUCCAAGAUGUCACUGGGUAGCCAUCAAAUCCUCCCUUUUGACGUAAGUGUGUGCCCCUUUCUUUGGUGCGGCCAAUCUGCAGUACUUUUAAAGUCCAACUCUUGGUAUGGGUUAAACUUGCAUAUUGGGUCGGAUUUUGCCGUGUAAAAAGGUGUAUUUUGGCUAAUGGAAACGCAUAUACUUUUGAAGGUCUUCAUUUCUUAUUUAGUUCAAUCUAAAAGAGACUUUGCUUGCAACUUGUUAGGACAUAGAACCCACUCACAAUGGAAAAGCAUAUGGCGAUUACAUUCCUAUUUUUUUGCGUCCAGCUCCUAUCAUGGGCGAGUCUAGCGAUGGAAACGAACCAGACGGAUUGGCUCGCUUUAAUCUACUUCAAAGAUAGUGUGGAUGAGGAUCCGCUCAGAGUCUUGAGCUCGUGGAAUGACUCUUCUCAUCACUGUGAGUGGCAAGGUGUUGUAUGCGGUAGACGACAUCCUAAAAGGGUCGUGUCCCUUAACUUGAUGUCGAAAGGCUUGGGUGGUCUUCUAUCGCCUCAUGUCGGAAACCUCUCUUUCCUAAGAAGCCUCUUUCUACAGAACAACAGCUUUCAUGGGGAAAUUCCACAAAGUAUUGGUCAUUUGUUUUGCCUUCGCCUUCUCAUUCUUAGUAACAACUCUUUUGGUGGACCAAUGCCCACCAAUCUUUCUCAGUGCUCAAACCUUGUAACUUUAAAUCUCAUCGAUAACCGACUUGUGGGCAAAAUUCCUCAUGAGUUCGGCUCGUUGUCAAAGCUUCAAGCUUUCAGUUUGUCUAAAAAUAGUCUUACGGGAUCUAUUCCUCACUCUAUUGGAAAUCUCUCCCAACUUUCCACUCUCUCUGUCGCAUUUAAUGGGUUGCAAGGAGAGAUUCCCCAGACAUUGUCCAAGCUUCGUGGUUUGAAGUAUUUUCAAUUGGCGUUUAACCAACUCACGGACGAAAUCCCUCUAGCAAUCUUCAACAUCUCUGGCAUUAUCUAUUUCAGUGCCGGCGACAAUCAAUUGAGAGGGAGCAUCCCCCCUUAUAUUGGUGAUACUCUUCCUUCUCUCACUUUCCUUAAUUUUAAGAGUAAUUUUUUUACUGGCAUUAUACCUCCAUCCUUAUCGAAUGCCUCCGGCCUUCAGUACAUCAACUUUUUAAAUAACAGAUUUCACGAAUUGAUGCCUGCACAUCUUGGAAGGCUGAAAGCUCUAGAAGUAUUGCUCCUUGCUUCUAACCAGUUGCGAGAUGACUUGAGUUUCAUUACCUCAUUGACUAAUUGUUCAAGGCUAGAAAUUAUUGAUGUAAAAUGCAAUUUUCUUGAAGGUCCAUUGCUAGAAUCCAUUGGCAAUCUUUCCAACAAUGUUAGAGUAAUUUCUAUGUCGCACAACCUAAUUUAUGGAACCAUUCCUCCAGGAAUUGGCAAUCUCUUCAACCUAUCCUUUCUUGGCUUAUUAAACAACUCGCUUGGUGGUUGUGUUCCUUCUUCUAUUGGAGCACUCCAUAAUUUGCAUGAAAUGUACUUAAGUAGAAAUGUGCUAACGGGAGAGAUUCCGUCAUCGAUCGGCAAUUUGACGUUAUUGAAUCGCCUUUGCCUACUGUUCAACAACUUUUAUGGGGAAAUACCGCAGAGUCUUGGUAAUUGCAAGAAGCUAAUCCAGCUCAAGCUUUCCAAUAAUAAUCUAAGUGGUUCGAUCCCAUGGGAGGUUCUUGGCCUUUCUACCAUUUCGAUUAUUUUCAGGUUGGCACAUAACCAGUUGAGUGGAUCUCUUCCAUUUCAAGUUGGGUCCUUGACUAAUCUUGUUGAACUAGAUUUGUCUUAUAAUAAGCUAACAGGACCAAUUCCUAGCUCCAUCAGCAAGUGCUUGCUAUUGGGGAGGCUCAGCUUGGCAGUCAAUUCCUUUCAUGGCAAAAUUCCUCAGGCUUUAGGCACAUUAAGAGGCUUACAAGAGUUGGAUGUUUCCCAUAAUGACUUAUUUGGUGAAAUCCCGAGCUUUCUCGCUCAACUUACGGAUCUAAUGUAUUUGAAUCUAUCUUCAAACAAGCUUGAAGGAGAAGUUCCGAAGCAAGGAAUAUUUCUCAAUGCUAGCGCAGCGUUUGUUUAUGAGAAUAAGAAUCUCUGUGGAGGUAUCGCAGAACUAAACCUUCAUUCUUGCAAAUUGAAUACCUCUAAACCAUUACAGAUUGAAAAAGUUAGAGUAAUCGCCACAGUGGCGGCCGUCUUGUCAUAUUUCAUUAUGUGUCUUUGCUUGUUUAUCUUUUGGUAUCGGGGAAAGAAGUCAAAAAAGAACACCUCUUCAACUAAAUUGCCAUUUGAACACAAAUUUUCAAUGGUUUCUUAUGAAGAGCUUUUUAGAGCCUCAGACGGAUUCUCUGAGAUUAAUGUGAUCGGUAAAGGGAGAUAUGGUACCAUCUAUAAAGCAACUACACAAGAAGGUGGCUGGGUGGCGAUUAAAGUGCUCAACUUGGGUCACAAAGGUGCUUCAAAGAGCUUCAUCUCGGAAUGUCAAACCUUAGGGGCUAUAAGACACCGAAAUCUUGUGAAGAUAUUGGACGUAUGCUCAAGUGUGGAUCAUCACGGCAACGAUUUCAAAGCUCUAUUAUACGAAUACAUGGCUAAUGGGAGCUUAGAGAAUUGGAUACACCAAGGAAAUGAAGAGGACAUUGAGCAUGAACGUGAACAUAGAAAGCCAGGACAUUUGAGACUAAUGCAGAAGUUAGACAUUGCUAUUGACAUAGCUUCCGCAAUCAAAUAUCUUCACAAGGAUUGCAGCCCAAUGAUUGUACACGGAGAUCUAAAGCCAAGUAACAUCCUUCUAGACAACGAGAUGAUGGGGCGAGUUGGGGAUUUCGGGUUGGCGACGAUCUGCUUUGCUGUGACAACAGAGGCCACAGACAUUGACAACUGCAACAACUCAAUGGCAGUGAGGGGUUCCAUAGGCUAUGUCCCUCCUGGUAAGAAAUUUUUCUCAUUAAUUGUCUAAGUUUUAUAUGUGUUGGCCUUUUAGAUGAAAUACUUAUUUUCAUUGUAUAUUGCUUGAUGCACACUAUUUUAGAGUAUGGCAUGGGGGACAUGGUAUCCACACAAGGCGAUGUGUAUAGCUAUGGUAUUGUUUUAUUGGAAAUGUUAACCGGGAGGAGACCCACGGAAGAGGCUUUUAAGGACCAUUUAAAUCUCCACAACUUUGUCAAGGUGGCUCUGCUAGACCGAGUGAUGGAGAUCAUGGACUUAGCCAUUUUUAACGGAGAAAGUGAGAAUGAUAUGGAGAAGAUGAGAGAUUGUGUUGCCUCCGUCCUAAGGAUUGGAGUUGCGUGUUCGAUGGAGUUGCCAUGGGAUCGGAUGGACGUGGCUAAUGCCCUCAAGGAACUACAUAAGAUCCGAGCUAGGUAUAGAUCCAAGUAGAGGCUUGGUUGAAGCAAGUUCAGCUUAUUAAUUUUGCUUUUUGAACAAGAAAAAUUUGGAUGCUUCUAUUAUUCAUCUUGGUUUUAACUCUUUUCCACUUGGCCUAAAGCCAAACUCAUAUACUAGUAAAUGUAUGUAAUCUAUCUCCAUCUCUAUUCCCCCUCCCCUCUUUACGAACUCAGUAUUCUCUUUAUAUGAAUUUUCUGUUUCUAGUUUUUUCUCUUAAAAGUCCAUCUCUAAUAAUUUUCUUUAGAUGCAUAAUUUUAAUAUGUAUUUAUAGAUUUAUAAAUUUAGAAAAAUAUAAAGUAGAGAUGUAUCUUAUAAUAGGUAUUAAAUUAUGUCAAUGCCUAUUAAUUUUUAAAUGAUAAUUCAUAUUGUGAUUAAUAGGAGAAGUAAAAGUAAAGUCAAUGAAAUUAUUUUGUUUCGCCAAGGUUGAUUUUAGGUGGCGGUUUUUUUUGUACUUUUGUAUUUUUUGUUGCCAUGGGAAGAUGGUCAUUUUAACAAUAUAAAAUCUUAGGUGAUACACUUAGAUGUUGAAAAUUUGAAAAUUCAAUUGUAUAAUUUAAACAAGUUGAAAAACUAACAAUAACAUUAUUACUUUUAGGGUUAAUAUUACGAAAAAAACCCCGAAUCGGUAUAUCUGUGAUACCCAACUUGAUUUAUUGACUAUAAAAAACUUUAAACUAUAUACUUAUGACAAAUUUACCUUCUGUUUUGUGAAAUUUUACUUUCGAAUUGCUUAAUUAGAUGGCUUGAACGGUUUGAGGUUUUACCAUCCAUUUAUUACAUGUGUACAAAUUUGUAAUUUUUCAUGAUAUUAAUAAAAUUUAACGGAAAUUAAUGAAAGAUAAAUUUGCCACUAGUGUAUCAGUUUAGAGUUUUUGGUGGUAUAUUAUAGGUAUAUCACAUUGAAAUUUUUAAUGAAUCAAAAAAUUGAUUUGAAGUAAUGUUAUAAUAGAGGUAUCAAUUUAAGAUUUUUCAUAUUGUUAAUCGAAAAUUUUAUUAUGGCUUUCUUAUCACGCGUCAUCGUCUGGAAGUCUUCAUCUCUAGGCGUCGGUCUGUCUCUCCCGCCCUCGCCGUUGCGCUUCUACUCAGCCCAUCGUCGCCGCGUCGCCUCCACUCGUCACUGUCUAAUUCCUGCCUUCGCCUCCGAAGCAGCCGCCAUCUUUAUGCUUUCAACGCCUCCAGGAACUCCUCAUUGCCUCCUCUCUCUCUCUCUCUCUCUCUCUCUCUACUACGACAUGCUCCGGAGGCUUUUUGCCUGCGGAGUAGGCUCGGCGGUCGUUAAAUAUAUAAAAUUGAUCCUUAGUAUCAUACAGUGUGCUCGUGAAAAAUUGAAACUUUGUUUCGGCUUAUUAGAGUUGCGAUACUCGAUUGUGAAGGGAAAAUGAAUUCGGUUUUUUACCCUCCCCUCGCGAGCGCCGAAUUCUCCUAGCGACGGAAGGGAAAAAUCGAGUGAAUUGAAGCGAGGACGUUUCCAGCAUGUGUCUCGGUCGUAUUGAACGGCAACAGUGUUGGAGAAAUCUUCUUGAAGUGUUUUGAAGUUGACAAAUCGUUUCUAUCAGUCUAGUCUAAAGGCUUGCAGACUCUGCUAUUUAAAGUCUGAAGACCUUGGGACAGCCAGACUCAAGACUCAAAGUCUAUCUUCAUUGACAGUCUCUAAUCCGUUGAAGAAAGGUUAUCCAGAACUGGAUGUUUCGUUGAGGAUUUAACCUUAUCAACUGGAGAAGAUCUCAUGGCUGGAGAAGACAUAAAGAAGAGUCAGUCUAUGGAGGAGUCAAUGAAUGUCAAAUUCCAAGACUCAACGCAAGAUGAAUCAAGUCAGACUCAUCAAGAAGAGUCUGAACCUGCUCCAGAUCUUCCAAAGCUUACAUCUCAAGAAGCAUCUCAGACUCUGGAAAACCAGCUUCAAGAUGUUCGUGAAGAUCCAAACAAAGAAAGAGAUCAUCAACCAGACAGAUCAACGAGUAACUGGAAGCAUAAGUCCAGUCAUCCCAAAGAUCUUAUAAUCGGCGAAAUGAAUGAAGGAAUUCGCACCAGAUCCAAAAGGCGAGAAGAGUCUAGUGCUGUGGCUCUCGUUUCUGAAAUUGAACCAAAAAGCAUAGAAGAAGCUUUAUCUGAUGAAAGCUGGAUUGAAGCUAUGCAAGAAGAGCUCAGACAGUUUAGCAUUAAUGAUGUCUGGGAAUUGACAUCCAAACCAAAAGGUAAAACUGUUAUUGGAGCUAAAUGGGUGUUCAGAAACAAGAUGAAUGAGAAAGGAAAAGUCGUACGAAACAAAGCAAGACUCGUGGCCAAGGGAUAUACGCAAGAAGAAGGAAUAGACUAUGAUGAGACUUACGCUCCAGUAGCAAGGUUAGAAGCUAUUCGAUUAUUACUUGCGUUUGCUUGUUAUAAGAAUUUCAGGUUAUUCCAAAUGGACGUCAAAAGCGCCUUCCUAAAUGGAGUCAUCCAAGAGGAAGUUUAUGUGGAACAACCACCAGGGUUUGAAGACCCAAAGAAGCCAAACUUAGUCUUCAGACUGAAGAAGGCUCUGUAUGGUUUAAAGCAAGCACCUCGAGCUUGGUACGACAUAUUAAGUAAGUUUUUAAUACAAAAUGGUUUUGUCAAAGGUAAAGUGGAUACUACUUUAUUUAUCAAAAAGGAGAACAAAAGUUUCUUACUUGUUCAAAUAUAUGUGGACGACAUUAUUUUCGGAUUUUCUAAUGAAAAUAUGUGCAAGAAAUUUUCUAAGUCUAUGCAGGAUGAAUUUGAAAUGAGUAUGAUGGGAGAGUUAACAUUCUUUCUUGGUCUUCAAGUAAAACAAUUGAAGGAAGGAACCUUUAUUUAUCAAGAAAAAUAUGUUAAUGAUCUUGUCAAAAGAUUUGGACUGGAAAAGUGCAAAAAGACCGACAUACCGAUGUCAAGUUCUUUGAAGAUAGACAAAGAUGAAGAAGGGAAGAAAGUUGAUCAAAAGCUGUACAGAAGCAUCAUUGGUUCACUCCUUUAUCUUACUGCUUCUAGACCUGACAUCUUGUUGAGUGUUUGCAUCUGUGCUAGGUUUCAAUCAGAUCCUAGAGAAUCCCAUCUCAGUGCUGCGAAACGCAUCAUUAAAUACGUUGCUUCAUCAUCAAGCAUCGGGCUUUGGUAUCCUAAGAAGGGAGACUUUAAUCUUCUAGGAUAUUCAGACGCAGAUCUGGCCGGUUGCAGAGUUGAUAGAAAGAGCACUUCGGGAACUUGCCAGUUGCUUGGAAGAAGGACAGUGUCUUGGUUUUCAAGGAAACAAAGCACUGUGUCUCUUUCAACAACAGAAGCAGAGUAUGUAGCUCUGGGAAGCUGCUGUUCGCAAAUUCUAUGGAUAAAACAACAGCUAAGAGAUUUUGAAAUUGAAGACUCAUGCACGGAGAUUAAUUGCGACAACACCAGCGCUAUCAACCUCACCAAAAAUCCAAUUCUCCACUCAAGAGCAAAGCAUAUAGAGAUUCGACAUCAUUUUAUAAGAGACCAUGUUCAAAAUGGAGAUGUUUCAAUUCAAUUUGUUGACUCAAAGAAUCAACUGGCGGAUAUAUUCACAAAGCCUUUGGAGAAAAAUCAAUUUGAGUCUAUACGCUCGAGACUCAACAUUUUGAGGUAUGAGGAUAUCAAAGUCUAAAGACUUUCAGACUCAGACUUACAAGACUUUAUCUGAAAGACAGUCUUGGUACGUCCGUCAGACUGUAAGUCUUUCUCUCUUGAAUCUCAACUUGAAAAGGUACGAUUGUCAGACUGUGUUUAAAUUGUUGCUAUAUUUAAUUGACGAAAAUAUUGCAUCGUUUCAUUUUCAAAAGGGAAGUUAUUUUUGAAAUGGCUAUUUUUGCGGAAAAAGACAGUUAUUUUGAAAAGGCAUAUUUUUAUUUCCUUUAUGACGGUUCGUUUAUCCCUCUUUUAACCGAUCUUGAACUGUCGAUUCCUCUUCAAUUUUCUCUCAAAAACCCUAGAAAGCAUCGAUCCUCCAUUCCCGUUUGUCUUCUUCGUUUAAUCCUAAAAAAGUUGUCAUCUUUCCUGGGAAAGUCAAGCAAGGAAUCUUCCAAAAACUGAGAAAGAUGUCAUCUUCAAGAAAGUCUUCGAGAAUUGCAAGCAGGGGACCACGGCGGAUGAGUGAGGGGCCUACGCACUUCGAUCUUACUGAAGAUGAAGUGACUCCAGAUCAGCAAGCGAGCCCACAACAUUCUCAACAGCGUCAUUCUCCUCCAUCUAGUCCUCAAGGCGUUGAUCAACAACAACAGGAAGAAAUCAUCGAGGAUGCAGACCCUGUAAGAGUUCAAAAGCCCGCCUAUAUUUAUCAGUUAUAUCGUGCCCUAAAAGGAAUUCGUACUCCUUUGAACUACAUUGAUGAUUUUCUUAAAGACAAAGGACAUGGGAACGAAUAUAUCUUUCUGAAAAAAAUGGAAAGUUUGGGAAUUGCUCGAAAAGGGGUAGCUGAGGAAACCCUUGCAAAUAUCCCAAGUGAUCCUCGUGACUGGGGGCCGAAUCCUGUAGAUGGGAAUGAUGAUGAUAAAUUGUACAGUCAAUUCCAACCGAAAAUGGGUGUUGCGGUUGAUAACCAAGGAAAAAGGGGAGAUUUGUUCAGAUCAAAGGAGCAAAAGGAUCUGUACUCGAAAUUGCUGAAGCGUGGGGUGAUAAACCCUAUGAGUGUAGAUUUCGAUUUUCUGGAUGCUGUGAAUAUGAACUUGAGGGAAAAGUUCAGUUAUCUUCAACUUGAAAAGUUCUGCUCUGACUCUACAGAGACCUAUGCUGAAUUAACUGCAUAUUUCUAUUCAAAUCUAAGCUUUUUGGAUGUGAAUAGAUUCUCGUUCAGCGUUAAAGACCAAGAUUAUGUUGUGGAUAUGAAUAUGCUGUCAGAUGUGUUAGAAGUCGAAAGAGGAAGAUAUCAACCAAUCAAAGUUUCCAUUGCUCGGGCCACUCUUGAACUGGUGAAGGACAGGAGAACAGAUGAAAAGAUCACCUACUUAAGGAUGGGUGCAUUCAACAUCUUGCUUCACAAGAUUGUGAUUAAUUGCCUCCGACCGAAAUCGACUUCCAAGACUGAUGUUUCAAGUUCAGAGGCCAAGUUGAUGUAUGCCAUUCUCUUUGGUAAAAGGUUUUCUCUCCCUCACACUGUGAUGUUUCACAUGUAUAGAGCAAUGAUGAAGGACAGAGGUCAACUCCCUUAUCCAAGCCUUGUUACGAAGUUAUUCAGACAUCUGAAUAUUUAGCCUCCACAAAUCUUUUGUGUUCGACCAUGCGAUCAUAUGGUGGUAGGUCUGAAAAUGGUGACCAAAAUGCGUCUGAAGGAACUGAGCAAGGAGUUGGAGAAAUUCAAGGAGAAGACUCCUGCAAAAUCUCAUCAUAUAUCUUCUGCAGCUAAAAGAAAAGGGAAGGAGCCCAUGGUUGCUCCAUCCAAGAGAAGAAGAGCUCUCCUUGUUGAGGAUGAAGAUGAUGAGGAAGACAUCACCAUCUCUGCAUUGGCUUUGAAGAAUUUAAGUCGUCCUGUUCCACAGAAAGAAUCGGAGCAAAUGACGAAAGAAGCAGAGGAGAAGGAAGAAGAAGAAAUAGAAGCUGAAAAAGAAACAGAGGAGGAAAGGCCUGAAGAAGAAAGAAGAGAAGAAGGAGAACCUGAAGAACACUCUUCUCCACCUGUAGGCAUGGAAACAGGGGGAGAUCAGGAGAAAGGAGUGAAGUCUUCAUGUCCUGAUGCAAGUGAAGGAGUCAGUCGCUCACCAGCAGACCCAGAGGGUGUUUAUGCAUCUCAAUUUCCAGAAGAAGGUCAUGAAGUUUCAUCGCCAAACCUGCAAGAUUAUGCUGAUCUACCAUCAUUUGCAUUUACUCCAUCAGAUCGAGCCGAAGCAAGUACUCAAACUGAUAAUGGAGCAGAUUUUCGUAGAAUCAUGGAUAUUCUUUUGGAGAUGCGAGGUCAGAUUUAUGCCUUGGGAUGCGAAGUUCAAAGCUUGAAGAAUGAAGGUCAAGCUUCUUCCUGUUCAUUGAAUGAUAAAAUGCAAGCCCUCUCUGUUCAGAAUCAGGCCAAUGCCAAGAGUGAGGAGAUUGCACAGCUAAAGGAAGACUUUAAAAGGCUGGAAGGCAUCGUUCAGUCUAUGGAAGAUUUCCAGCUUGUCCGCGUUUCCAAGCAAUCUUAACUUCAUCUCAUCCUUUUUAAUGAUGACAAAAAGGGGGAGAGAUGCAAGAUUUGAUCAAAAACCUUUCAUUCAACUUUUAAUUGUUUUUAUUGGAUUGUUUUGUGGUUUGAAUUUGUUUGACUUUGGUUUGUGUUUGGAUGAGAACUGAACUAGACUUGGACUUGACUGCUUCUAUUAACUAAUAUUGAUAUCUUAUGGAUGGCUUCAUCAUAUAUUGGACUAACCUAUUUUCUGUGGUUGCAGAUUCUAGUGUUAUUCUGUUAAGACAUUUACCUCUAUAAGAUAUGCAUAUGUGUUUGAGAAAUGUUUUGCAGGUCAAAGAUAUCCAAAUCUGCAGGAAAGUUUUGUCACCAUCAAAAAGGGGGAGAUUGUUGGAGAAAUUUUCUUGAAGUGUUUUGAAGUUGACAAAUCGUUUCUAUCAGUCUAGUCUGAAGGCUUGCAGACUCUGCUAUUUAAAGUCUGAAGACCUUGGGACAGCCAGACUCAAGACUCAAAGUCUAUCUUCAUUGACAGUCUCUAAUCCGUUGAAGAAAGGUUAUCCAGAACUGGAUGUUUCGUUGAGGAUUUAACCUUAUCAACUGGAGAAGAUCUCAUGGCUGGAGAAGACAUAAACGGAGUCCUUUGAUUGAUCGAAGAUUGAUUCGAUAAUUGAAGAUCCGGUGAUUGCCUAAAUAUUAUUGGAAGGUUCUGCUUAUGGAAACCGAGAUCCUGAUUGUAUGGGCGAACAGGAUUGAUGGGCUAUCAACACGUUCCAUUUAUAGCUUGGACAAUCUUCCUAAUUGAUUCCGUCCAACGGGUAGAUUGGAGGAAUUCCUUUGGUAAGUGCCAACGGGUAUGAUGGCAUAAAGGAGUAUAUAAGGAAGACUGUCUUAGUUGUUCAAGGUGUGCGCGAUAGAAGAAUUCCAAAGUCUGAAGCUCCUUUUUGUUUAGACAAAUCCUCUGAGCGAAUACUUGUAUACGAAAGAGAGAGUCUAUAUUUGUGAGAAAUCUUGAGGAGGUGUGGUAGAACAUCUACACUGUGGAAUCAAGGCAAAGCUGUGCUGUAACCUCUCUCUUGUUCAUAGUGGAAUCCAGCCAAUAGGCUGUCAGUGAAGAAGAGUGGACAUAGGCUUGAUAUAAGCCGAACCACUAUAAACCGCGUGUUUAAUUUUCUCUUCUCUCAGUCUUACUGUGAUUAUCGUUUCAUCCAACUGUCUAGUAUUGUGCAAUUGCUUGAGAAAAAUUCUUUAUAUACCUAUUCACCCCCCUCCAGGUACUCAUACUAGCAAUAUCAAACAGUUCCGGUCUUUUUCCUCUCGAGGCGCGAAACCUGACUAGAACAGCAGGGCUCUUGAGUUGCAAAUCGAUGUCGAUGAAUUCGCCGGUGGUGCGAGUGAAGGAGAAGAUCGAUUUGAUGGAGAAGGAGGAGAUGAUUUUUGAUAGGCUCCUCGCCACUGUUCGCCAUUUUGAUCUCCCUACCCAGCUGUGGGCGCGCUGGUGGCUGGGUCCAUGAUAAGGUCGAUGUAUUUGCUAGUGCAGUAGGUUGUUUUGUGUUUCUUUUAGACAUUUUGUCCAAUUACAUGUUUAGUUAUAUUCCGUUCAAGUUCUUACUUUCCCUUCCCAUCAAACACGUUUUCAAUUUGUUUGAAUGGGGGUUUGUGCUAUCGUUUAUUAAGGUACUGGGAUUGAGACUGCAUUUUUUUGAUUAUUUAGUCAAUGGGCAUUACGAGUUACAACAGUAAUGUGAACUUCAUAAUUUUGAAGGCUGUUUUUGGGAAAUAUAGGCAUCUGCUAGUUUUUCCGGCAAUUGCCUCGGCAGUCAGCGCUAUUAGCCAGUGAAGUAAGAUGUUUACCUAAUCCACAUGAAAAACACCUAAAUACAAAAGAAAAAUAACAAGAUGUUCUCUAUUAGAAAGUCUACAAUAGCCUAUUUUCCAUGAGUACUUGCCAUUUUCAGAGGUUUAUUACUCUCAGCCUCUGCCAUUUCUAGCCAGCUGGGUGCCUAGGUGUCACGUAAUAUUUGUGAUGGACAUUUAGACUGGUGAAUUUACUUCUAUGAAGAGUUAGGAUUACCUUGGCACCACAUUUAUGAGUUACUCUCUUAUGUAUUUGCACACAUUCAUCUUAUAUAUGCUACUGAUUACUAAAUUUGCAUCCCCAUAUCAUCGCUAUAGCUUGUUAUUGCGUGGUGACGCCCCUUUGCCACAACCCUCAAUAAAUAGGACCUUUACCAACCUUCGACAAGGUGCCAGGGUGGUUAUUUGAGUAGAGAAUGAUUAUGUUUUCCUAGAAAGGCCCCAGGAUGCUUUCAAACUGUUAUAAAUGAUCUAAUGUCUGUCAUUUUAAGCAAAUUUUUUUGCUCAGAAUCAUUUAUCGCAUUCAAGCUAAAUGAUUUGAAGAGAAACGAUACAAUUAUUGUACUUGAAUCGAAGUAAUGACAUUGUGAAAAUUGGUGGAUUUAUUAUGUUAAACCUAUUCUUUGAAAAAGAUGAUGAACAAACUCAAGUUAUCUCUUCUUCACAGCUUCUAGGGAAAGAGUGUUAUGAUAUUGAUAAUGCACUUGAUGACAUGUUGGGCCGUACAUUCGUGGAUAAGGUUACCCAAUAUUUGGCAUUAACAGGGGAAGAGGCGAGGGCUGGCUGAUAUCCCAAGGUUCAUUAAGCUUUGUACUUGCCUUUUGCGGUCAAAUAUUAGCUUUCCAUAUUUUAAUGUGUGAAUGUAUGAUUUGACUUGAAGUUUAUGUGGGAGUGUCGGUUAUUUGUUUAUUCUGCACCGGAAGCUUAUAAUGUGAGCAGUGGUUAUUUGUUUAUUGUGCACUUCUUCGUCACUGAAAAAAGGAAAGGCUGGAAAGGAGUGUUCACUAGAGUAUAAAAUAAAGAGGAACAGGUCCACAAUACCUAGACAAAUAACUAAGACCUCGGGAUCAAGCAAUGCUAGCUAAGUGCGAAGGAAGAGGAUUAAAAGAGUGUUUUGAAGGCAUAGACAUUGCUGUUAUGAAGAUGCAAGACUCUUGAUUCUUCAUGAUUAACUGGUUCUUUUACUUCAUGAAAUUUGACGUAGUAGACAUUUAUAUACAGUGGAUUCUACAUCUUGAAUGUGAUCUAUGUGUUAGGGUUGGCACGCAUGUGUUUUAGGUCGUGCCAAACCCUUGUAGCUUUCAGUAAGUUUCACUGUCCAUUUCUAUCUGUGUGGUCACACUGCUUUUCACAGACCUCAAAACCCAAUCAAAAAACUAAUAAGUAAAUCAAAUAAGUCAAAGAAGGGUCCCAAUUGCCUAACUCAUGCAUAUCUUACGAACUCUAUAUCCCUUCAAAGAAAGAUUGUCGUUAGAAGUUCAAACAAGGGCUGGGCGACCUCGCCGGCCGUUGGUAAGGGCGGGCGAGGGCCUGCAAGCCCUCACUGGCCGUCGGUGAGGCCACCCUUGCUAGAUUUGGCAAGGGCCAGCCUCCCCUGGGGCCAACGAGGGCUGACCUCGCAAAUGGCCCAUAGGUGAGGGUCGCCAAGUCCAAGCAAGGCCGUCCCUCACUUGUGGCCGGCGUGGAUGGCCCUCACCGGUGAGGGCGACCCUUGCCUAGCCCUUUGUGGGCAUCAUCGGUGGCCGGCCAGCUGGCCACCAGUGAAGAGGAAGAAGAACUAGAAAAAAAAAACGGAAAGAAAAAAGAAAAAAAGGAAGAAAAAACGGGAAAAAAUGACAAAUAAUGAAAAUACUAUUGAUCGUUGGAAAGUCAGGUCCUUAUUUGAAACGGACAUAGUUACUUUAGGUCUUCGUUUGAAACAAUAUGCACUUCAGAUCUUUAUUUAAUAAAGUGAUGGCACUUUAGGUCUUUAUUUGAAAUAAAGUCCAAUUUAAACUCUUAUUUGAGAAAAAAGAGGACACUUCAGGUCCCUUUUUGAAAUUUUUCCUUUUUUCCGAUUGGUGCCGGCUUCCACGAAAUUUGUUUUACAUGCUGCUGCUUUAAUUGAGAGCAUCUUCUCUCACUGGACAUGCUAACAUCAGAGGCGCAAUUGGGGAUCCACUACGUGUACACAUGGAUCUGGAUGCUGGACGAAGGAGAUCAGACCGAGAAGAUACCUUCAUCAGUUACCAUGCAAAAGAAGAUAUCCAGUCAACCUAUGCUGGAUCACUUUUCCACAAUGGUUGAAAUUACCACGUGUCUUCUUGUAAGGACAAUGUAAGCUAUCAUCUCGUCAAUCCUUCUCGAGUCUCAUCUCGAUUCUCUCCCUAUUAACUUAUGAUCCCCUAAAUGCAUUAAAUCUUGUUUUUGCACCCCAGGAGACGCUGGGUCAUUGGUCUUCCUCUCGUUGCCUUCCUCAAAAGAACGAACUUGCAGAAAAGCUCCUCAAGUUGCUGCCUCACCAUUCAUUUGGCAAGUGCUUAAAUAAUGUCGGCGGUCUCGAUAAGGCACUUUCUUUCUAUCCCGAGUGUGCCAACGAUGCCAGUGGCACUCCAAAAUGGUGGGACAAUUUGCACUGCGCUAUGUCUCAUUAUAAGUUUGUUCUCGCUAUUGAGAACACCUGAACAGAAAGUUACGUGACGGAGAAGCUAUUUUAUGCUCUGAAUUCCGGGGCGCUCUCCAUCUAUUUCAGUGCCCCCAACGUCAUGGACUUUGUCCCUCCAUGUUUAAUCAUUGACCGGAACAAGUUUAGCUCCAUAAAGGAAUUGGCAACUUUCGUGAAGUCCCUAGCAAACGAUCCGGUGGCGUAUGCCGAAUACCAUGCGUGGAGAAUAUGUGGUGUAUUAGGUAAUUAUGGAAACUCACGAGUGGCAAGUCUCGACAGCUUGCCGUGUCGGUCAUGGGAGUUCAUUGGCAAAAAUUGUGGCAGGAAUGCUAGAGCUUUAUGAAGAGUUGAUUCUUUUUGAACACCUGUUUUGUUUCCUAAUCAUCCCAUUGAUGCGCGGUUUUUUAUAAGUUAAUCCAUGGACAUUGACGUAUAUAAAGAAAGAGUUGGAUAUAUUAGGAGAUGGUAAAUUAGACAUUGAUGUAAACAGGCCACUAAAAAAAUUCAUCAUGUUAAUGAAUACAAAGUCAUUAUGAACUUAAAGUGUUUGGACUUCUCUCCGAUUUUGUUAAGCGAAACCAGACUGGACUUCCCUCCGAUCGGUUGUUGGCGCACUUGUUUUGUCAUUUUUGAGUUCACACUGUCUUUCUGGGUCGCUUGCAACUCAUAUGAUCGAGGAUUGGAGAGGAGAGGUGGAAGAAAAGGGUUGGGAUGAAUUUAGGAGUUUUUGCGCGAGCCGUGUGCAGUGUGUGAUGAGAGUUGCACAAAAGGUAAGGAGGGGGGUCCACGUCUAUGCUGAGAUACAUCGUCUUCUCCUCAAAGUGUUGUACAAUCAUAUUAUGUACGCCUACUUUUAUGGGUUGAUGGUGUGAAACAAUUGAGAAGAUUUCAUUUUUCGCUAGGCCAUGUUUCCACUAAGAAGUGGUCUUCCUUUGGGUGCAUGACUGACCUUUUCUAAAAGAGCAAUUCACACGAGACAAUAAUUUCAUGGUAAGCAUCCACCCAUUCUUUCUCAGUCUCUUCUCUUCUUUUUUCUAAAGCAAGAUUCGAUUUGCCAUUUGUUGACCCACCAAAUCGAUAGCUCUUCGCUUUCUCGACUAGUUCCUUUGGGUUCACAACUGAACCUUUCUCAAAGAGCAAUUCAUACCUAAAAUGUUGAAAACCAGGACCCAUGAAAUGACAAUAUAUCAUACGAGAGGUAAACCUUUGUUGUAGAAUUAAUGAACGUGGAAGCUAAUGAAGAUCUUGUUAGAAUAUAAUAUAUGGAAACGAUAAAAUCUUACAAUUUAUGUUUACGCAAAGUCACUAAAGAAAUAAAAGAGAAAUAAUAAGGACAUCAGUCCGAGUAUUAGUACCCACGUCCACGGAGAGAGCCAGCAGCAAAUGAUUCACUAUAAUAAGAGAAUUAGAGUUUAUAAUCGCUCAUACGCUCAAGUGUUUCCUACAACUAGAUUUAGUCCCAAACCCAAACUGUUUAUAAAUAAAUAACUUACUUUGAUAUAAACUCACGACAUAAAAUUACCGUGCAUUUAAGCUCAAAGUAAAACGUUCUACGUACACUAAAACAAGAACUUGACGUUUGUCUCUUCUCCACAUACGUAUAGCUUCACGUUCUCUACCUCUUCAAGGCUUGUGCGGCUGGAUGUGUGGACGUGCUACUCCUUUUUUUUUUUUUUUUUCUCUCGUAGGGCUUCUACGGCUCCUCUUCUUUUCCGCUUUUUAUAUGUGUGUGCCCAACGUCAACAGUUUGACCUGGGCCCACCUACUUUAGUCUUCAAUGUGAACAAGGCUUUUGCAAAAGAAAGAAAUCUUACUUUAUCUUUUAUUUUAAUUCCUCAUUUGUCAUGUACUGAUAGAUUAACUUCCUUAUUUUGUUUCCUUACUUAUUUGCACGUCCGAAAGAAAGUCCAAUAAGAAGAAAAACUUCUUCAUCCGAUUUGCAAUCCGCUUGAAAAAUCUUCCUCAACAAAAUUCAGUUUAAUAAAUCUUAUCUAAAUUCAAAAUCGAGACAAUAAUUUAACAGAUCUUACAAUUAACCCAAUUUGAAAUCACCGAAGAAAUAAAUGAGGAACAAUAAGAGCCAAAGAUUUACGUAACAUCCACGAGGAGUGCUGACAGCAAAAAUUUACUAUAAUUAGAUAAUCAGAGUUACAAUCGCUCAACAUGGUCGAGUGUUUCCCAUGCCUAAAUUAAACCCAAACCUAAGGUAUUAAUAUAUAAACAACCUCAUUUUGGAUGUAAAAAACUCACAGCACAAAUUAGAUGCUUUGCUGUGACCAAAUAGCAGCUCUCUUUGAAACGGCCGCAAAUCAAGGACCUCGUCUGUUCUUGAUUUCCUUUCUUUGCGGCACAUGUGGCUUUCCAAUUGUUGCAAAUAUAAAAUUAGACAAGCAUGUGUAUGCCCCUUUCUUUGGUUCGGCCAAUCUGCAUUACUUUUAAAGUCCAACUCUCAGUCUAGGUCUUAGUCUUGGUUAAACUUGCAUAUUUUUCCAAAUGGGUGGGGUUUCGCCGUGUGAGAAGGUGUCUUGAUCAAUGGAAAAGCAUAUGCUUUUCAAAGUCAUAAUUUCUUAUUUAGUUCAAUCUGGAAGAAACUUCACUUGCAGCAUCUUAGAACACAGAAACCACUCACAAUGAAAAAGCAUAUGGCGAUUAUAUUCCUAUUUUUCCAUGCCCAACUCAUACUAUGGAUGAGUUUAGCAAUGCAAACCAACCAGACUGAUCAGCUCGCUUUAAUCUACUUCAAAGACAGUGUGGAUAAGGAUUCGCUUGGAAUCCUGAGCUCAUGGAAUGACUCUUCUCAUCAUUGUGAGUGGCCAGGUAUUGUAUGUGGUGGACGACAUCCCGAAAGGGUCGUGUCCCUCAACUUGAUGUCGAAAGGCUUGGGCGGUCUUCUAUCGCCUCAUGUCGGAAACCUCUCUUUCCUUAGAAGCCUUGUUCUACAGAACAACAGCUUUCGUGGCAAAAUUCCACAAAGCAUUGGCCACUUGUUUCGCCUGCGCCGUCUCGUUCUUAGUAACAACUCUUUCAGUGGACAAAUGCCCACAAAUCUUUCUCAGUGCUCAAACCUUGAGGUUUUGAAUCUCAUUGAUAACCAACUUGUGGGCAAAAUUCCUCAUGAGCUUGGCUCUUUGUCAAAGCUUCGAGCUUUAUUUUUGGCUAAAAAUAGUCUUACAGGAUCUAUUCCUUGUUCUAUUGGAAAUCUCUCCCAACUUUUCUCUCUUUCCGUCGGACGUAAUGGGUUGCAAGGAGAGAUUCCCGAGACAUUGUCCAAGCUUCGUGGUUUGAGGAAUGUUCAAUUGGCAUUUAACCAACUCACUGGCAAGAUCCCACCAGCAAUCUUCAACAUGUCCAGCAUUAUCUAUUUUAGUGCCGGUGACAAUCAAUUGAGAGGGAGCAUUCCUCCUAAUAUCGGUGCUACUCUUCCUUCUCUCGAUUAUCUUGAUUUUUCUAGAAAUUUGUUUACUGGCGUUAUACCUCCGUCCUUAUCGAACGCCUCCAACCUUCAGUACAUCUCCUUUGACCAUAACAAUUUUCAUGGACCGAUGCCUACAAAUCUUGGAAGGCUAAAAGCUCUUGAAGAAAUGUUUCUUAUGUCUAACCAGUUGCGAGAUGACUUUAGUUUUAUUACCUCAUUGACUAAUUGUUCAAUGCUGGAAAUUAUUGGGGUAGAUCAUAAUUUUCUUGAGGGUCUCUUGCCAGAUUCCAUCGGCAAUCUUUCCAACAGUGUUAGACUAAUUGCUAUGUCAUCCAACACAAUGUAUGGAACCAUUCCUCCAAGUAUUGGCAAUCUCUUCAACCUGUCUUAUCUUGACUUGUCAAACAAUUCGCUUAGCGGCCAUGUUCCUUCUUGUAUUGGAGCACUCUAUAACUUGCGCAAUUUGUACUUAAGCAUUAACAUGCUAACAGGAGAGAUCCCGUCAUUGAUCGGCAAUUUGACGUUAUUGAGUCUCCUUUACCUACCGUUCAACAACUUCUACGGGGAAAUACCGCAAAGCCUUGGUAACUGCAGGCAGCUAAUCGAGCUUGAGCUUUCAAACAAUAAUCUGAGUGGUCCAAUCCCGAGGGAGGUUCUUAGUCUUUCCACCAUUUCGAUUAUCUUCAACUUGGCACAUAACCAAUUGAGUGGAUCUCUUCCGUCUCAAGUUGGGUCCUUGACCAAUCUCGUGGAACUAGAUCUGUCUUACAAUAAGCUGACGGGACCAAUUCCUAGCUCCAUCAGCAAGUGCUUGCUAUUGGGCCGACUCAACUUAGCAGUCAAUUCCUUUUAUGGUGAAAUACCUCCAGCUUUAGGCACAUUACGAGGCUUACAAGAGUUGGAUGUUUCCCAUAAUGACUUAUCUGGUGAAAUCCCGAGCUUUCUCACUCAACUUAUGGAUUUAAAGUACUUGAAUCUAUCUUCAAACAAGCUUGAAGGAGAAGUUCCGAAGCAAGCAGUAUUUCUCAAUGUUAGUGCAGUGUUCGUCUAUGAGAAUAGGAAUCUUUGUGGAGGUAUUGCAGAACUAAACCUUCCUUCUUGCAAAUCGAAUACCUCUAAACCAAUACGAACAAAAAAAGUUAGAGUAAUUGCCACAGUGGCGGCUGUCUUGUCAUCUUUCAUUUUGUGUCUUUGCCUAUUUAUUUUUUGGUACCAGAGAAAGAAGUCGAAAAAGAUUACAUCUUCAACUGAAUUGCCAUUUGAACACAAAUUUUCGAUGGUCUCUUAUGAGGAGCUCUUUAAAGCCUCAGAUGGAUUCUCUGAGAUUAAUGUGAUAGGUAAAGGGAGAUAUGGUACCGUCUAUAAAGCAACCACACAGGAAGGCGGCUGGGUGGCAAUUAAAGUGCUCAACUUGGGCCAUAGAGGUGCUUCAAAAAGCUUCAUCUCGGAAUGUCGAACCUUAGGGGCCAUAAGACAUCGAAAUCUCGUGAAGAUAUUGGAUGUGUGCUCAAGUGUAGAUUAUCAUGGCAACGAUUUCAAAGCUCUAUUGUAUGAAUACAUGGGUAAUGGGAGCUUAGAAAAUUGGAUACACCAAGGAAACGAAGAGGAUGUUGUGCAUGAACAUGGACAUGGAAAGCCGGGACACUUGGGACUAAUCCGGAGGUUAGACAUUGCCAUUGACAUAGCUUUCGCAAUCGAAUAUCUUCACAAGAAUUGCAGCCCAAAGAUUGUACAUGGAGAUCUAAAGCUAAGUAACAUCCUCCUGGACAACGAGAUGGUGGGACGAGUUGGGGAUUUUGGGAUGGCGACGAUUUGCUUUUCCGCGACAACAGAGGCCAUGGACAUUGACAACCACAGCAGCUCAGUGGCAGUGAGGGGUUCAAUAGGUUAUGUCCCUCCCGGUAAGAAAAUUUUCUCAUUAAUUAAUCUAAGUUUAUUUGUGUUGGCCUUUAGAUGAGAUAUUUAUCUUCAUCGUAUAUUGCUUGAUGUACACUAUUUUAGAGUAUGGCAUGGGGGACACAGUAUCCACACAAGGUGAUAUGUACAGCUACGGUAUUGUUUUAUUGGAAAUGUUAACUGGGAGGAGACCCACGGAAGAGGCUUUCAAGGACCAUUUAAAUCUCCACAACUUUGUCAAGGUGGCUUUGCCAAAUCGAGUGAUGGAGAUUGUGGACUCGGCCAUUUUUAAUGGAGAAAGUGAGAAUGAUAUUGGGAGGUUGAGAGACUGUGUCACCUCCAUCCUCAGGAUUGGAGUUGCAUGUUCGAUGGAGUCGCCACGGGAUCGGAUGGACGUGACUGAUGCCCUCAAAGAACUGCGUAAGAUCCAGGCUAGGUAUGGAUGAAGCAAGUUAAGCUCCUAGACACCUGCACUAGACUUUGUCUUAGGAUUAAUUUUGCUUUUUGAACAAGAAAAAUUCGGAUGGUUCUAUUCUUUGUCUUGGUUUUUAACUCUUUUCCACUAGGCCUAAAGCCAAACUCAUAUACUAGUUAAAUGUAUGUAAUCUAUCUCCAUCUCUAUUUCCCCUCCACUCUUUACGAUCUCACUAUUUUUUUUUUUUAUGCGAAUCUUCCGUUUCUGAUUUUUCCUCUGAAAGUCCAUCUCUAAUAUUUUUCUUUAGAUGCAUAAUUUUAAUCUAUAUAUUUAUAUAUAGAUAAAGUAGAAGAAUAUAGAGUAGAGGUGUAUCUUAUAAACGGUAAUAAAUUAUGUCAAUGCCAAUUAAUUUUUAAAUGAUAAUUGAUAUUGCGGAUUAAUAGGAGAAGUAAAAGUAAAGUCAAUAUGAUUAUUAAAUUUCACCAAGGUUGAUUUUAGGGGGCGGCCUCUUUUUUUUGGGGGGGGGGGGGGUAUGGGAAGAUGGUCAUUUUAACCAUAUAAAAUCUUAGUUCACGCACUUAGAUGUUAAAAAUCUGAGAAUUCAAUUGUAUAAUUUAAAUAAGUUGAAGAACUACAAAUGAGAUUAUUAAUUAAUUUAAUAUCAUGAAAAAUCUCAAAUUGAUUUACUUGUGAUAAAUUUAUUCAAAUCAAUUUUUUGAUCACUAAGAACCCUAAAUUAUACACUUAUAAUGAAUUUAUUCUCCGUUAGUAUCCGAGUCAAAUUAUUUAUUUAAAUAAUAUGUGACAAUAGAUACUUGUAUUAAUUUGGGGUUUUACUUUUUAUUUAUCAAAUGCGUAUCGAUUUGUAAAUUUUGGUGAUAUUAAUUUAAUUUAAUUGAAAUUAAUUGAAGAUAAAAUUGUCAUAAAUAUAUUAAUUUAAUAUUUUUGGAAAUUUAUUGUAAAUGCACUUUGAAAUUUUUCGUGGUAUUUAACCCUAAAUUUUAUUAUCACUUCCUUGUCACGCACCACCGUCUAGAAGAGCUUUUCAGUUUCUCUUCAUAUCUGGGUGCGUCUGUCUCUCCCGCCCUCGCCGUUGCGCUUCUGCUCAACCUGUCGUCGCCAUGUCGCCUCCGCUCGUCGCCGUCUAACCAUCUGAUUGCCGAAUUCUCCUCCCCAACGGAAGGGAAAAACUGAGUGAAUUGAAGCAAGGACUUUUCCAGCAUGAGCAAGGGGGGAAAAUGAGAGCGUCCUUAUUGAACGGCAACAGUUCCGGUCUUUUUCUUAGAAGCAUCGUCCGUAGUUGCAAUUCUCUUGCUUUAGGAAGCGUUUGGAGUCCUCUUAAGGCGUGAGACCUGACUAAAACGGCAGGGCUCUCGAGUUGUAAAUCGAUGUUGACGAGUUCGCCGGUGGUGCGAGUGAAGGAAAAGAUCGAUUUGACAGAGAAGGAGAAGAUGAUCUCUGAGAGGCUUCUCGCCAACGUUCGCCAUUUCGAUCUCCCUACCCAGCUGCGGGUGGCUGGUUGCUGGGUUCGCUUCGAUGUGCCUUUAAGUUCUUUUGCAGUACCAAUCGUGUAAAAGCAUUUCGAUCUCCCUACCCAGAAUCGUUUAUCACAUUCAAGCUGGAAAGUUUUGAAGAGAAACGAUACGAUUAUUAUAAUUGAACCGUUGUGAAUGACAUUGUGAACAAUGGUGGAUUUAUUGUGUUAAACCUAUUCUUUGAAGAAGUUGCUGAACAAGCUCCCGUUAUCUCAUCUUUACAGCUUCUAGGGAAAGAGUGUUAUAAUAUUGAUAUUGCACUUGAUGACAUGUUGGGUAGUACAUUCGUGGAUAGGGUUACCCAAUAUUUGGCAUCAACAGGGGAAGAGGCACGAGGUCUAGCUGUUAUCCCAAGGUGCAUUGAGUUUUGUACUUGCCUUUUGCCUUCAAAUAUUGGCUUUCCAUAUUUUAAUGUGUGAAUGUAUGAUUUGACUUGAAGUUUAUGUGUGAGUGUUGGUCAUUUGUUUAUUCUGCACCGGAAGUUUAUAAUGUGAGCGGUGGUUAUUUGUUUAAUGUGCACUCCAUUUCUUGAAUUGUGAUUUCCUCGUCACUGAAAAAAAAAAAAAAAGACCGGAAAGGAGCGUUCACUAGAGUAUAAUAUAAAGAGGAAUAGGUCCACAGUACCUAGACAAAUAACUAAGACCUCGGGAUCAAUCGAUGCUAGCUAAGUGCGAUGGAAGAGGAUUAAAAGAGUGUUUUUAAGGCAUAGAGAUUGCUGUUUUGAAGAUGCAAGACUCUUGAUUCUUCAUGAUUAACUGUUUCUUUUACUUAACAAAAAUUGAAGUGAUCCAUGUGUUAGGGUUGGCAUGCAUGUGGUUUGGGUUGUGCCAGACCCUUGUAGCUUUUAGAAAGUUUCACUAGAAACAAUCCAUUUCUAUCCCUGUGGUCACACUGCUUUUCACUGACCUCAAAGCACAACCCAAAAACUAUGAAGUAAAUCAAAUAAGUUAAAGAAGGGUUCCAAUUGCAUAUCCCGUCCAUAUUUUACAAUCUCUAUAUCCCUCCCAAGAAAGACUAUCGUCAGAAGUUCAUUACCUCAUGAUUAGUAAAGCAGCCUCCCAAGAGAUAAAGCCACCCGGAGGGAAUCGACUUUUGCAAAUCUUUUCCAUAUUGAGAUUAAUUGGCCCUCUUACGUUUAUUACUCCAAGGGCUUCGAAAUAUGAUUAAGUGAAGAACAAAUGGUUCACUUUAAGUGGAAUAAGGAGUGUGUGCAGGGUAAGUACGUGCUUUUGAGAAUACCCCUUUUCUGCUCCAUCUUUUGCCCCUUGAUAUUUCUUUCCUGGGUCUUAUUAUCUGGUAGGUCUAUUGUCUUCAUGAGCUCUGUAGAAGGGCUUUUCUUUUUCGUCUCCUGCAAUUCUCUCUUAACUUGUUUUUGUAUGUUAGUCGUGAAAUAUGGUCUUGUUGGCAUAGUUGAAUUUGGAACUUCUUAUUGCAUGAAUAUUUGCCCAUAUUUUCUUUGAAUUAGGUUGUGGUACGUUAUUGUGGCAGAUGCUGUCUCCAUUCUGAUUGGGUAUUUGAAGACAUUUUUACAUAAAAUUAGUUUUGCAGCAACCCAGACCGGUCAAAACAUUUGGAAACAGCGAGGAUGCGUCUCCAUGAUAUAUGAAUAGAUUUUGUGAACUCAAGGUCUGAAAAGUACAGUGACAAUAGCCGCAUUCCCACGCAGAUGGUAUGCAGUACAGCUUAGGGGUGAUCGGGUCUAGGGUGGGUAGGGUCUAGACCUAGACCCUGUACCCGACCUUGUUAUAACCGGUUCUCUUUUUCUGGACCUUGUUCCCGACUUUGUUUGCAUUGGACUCUGUUCCCGACCCACCCUGUUUUUCCGGUCCGGGUACAGGGUUAACCCUGUUUAUAUUGGAACUUGUUUUGCAAGGCUGGCGAGCAGCUAGGAACCGGGUUGACAGAGGCGGCGUUCCGAUUUCUGGGGGCGCGAAGCAGGGUGAGGCGGAGUGGCGACGUCGGGAUCUCACGGGCUGCAGGUGUCGUGGGAGGAAGGCGACGGUGGGCGAGCGGAAGCAGUGUUAGCGCUCGGAUGGAACAAAUUAGGGUUUGCUGGUGUCAGUCAUUGGCAGAAAUGAACAGAGCAGAGGGCAACGCCAGGUCGUCGGAUCGCUGGAUCUGUGGUGUCAGGUCACUGAUUGGAGGUCGUGGUGGUUGGAUCUAGCUAUAGGAGUGGAGCAAGGCGAGCAUGGUGGUGUGGCACGGUGCAGGUGUUGGAGAAAUCUUUCCAGAAUAUUUUGAAGCUGACAAAACAUUUCUAUCAGUCUAAGUCUGGAUAUCGAUAGUUAAAGUCUCAAGAAUUUAUAGUCUCAAGACUUUGUUAUCUCAAGACUCAAGACUCAAGACUCAAGACUCAAAAUUAUUCUCACUGACAGUCUUUCUAAUCCAGUGUUGAAGAAAAUCCAAAGUCGAGGUUUAUGGUUGAGGAUUUGAUUCUAUCCUCUGGAAUAGAUUCUUUGGUUGGAUAAUCAUUUCGGAUUCUUUAAUUCUUAUCUAAGAUCAAUUGAAGAUCCGAUGGUCGACGAAAUAAUCUUGGAUUAUUCUAUUCUUGGAAACCGAGAUCCUGAUUGUAUGGGCGAACAGGAUUGAUGGGCUAUCAUCAGAUUCCUUAAAUAGCUCGGAUGAUCUUCUUGAUUGAUUCCGUCCAACGGGUAGAUUGGAGGAAUUCCUUUGGUAAGUGCCAACGGCUAUGAUGGCAUGAAGGAGUAUAAAAGGAAGAUGUUCUAGUUGUUUUAAGUGUGUGAUCGAUAGAAAAAUUCCAGAGUCUGAAGAUCCUUGAUUGUUAGUCGAGACUGAGCGAAAUUGUACACAGAGAGUGUUUGUACUUGGUAACGCCUUGAGCGAGUGUGGUAGAUCAUCUACACCUAGAAAUCAAGGAAGAUCAACACUGUAACAACUCUUUGAUCAUAGUGGAAUCCAGCCAAUCGGCUGUCAGUGCAGAAGAGUGGACGUAGGCUUGAAUCAAGCCGAACCAUUAUAAACUGAGUGUUCAAUUCUCUCUUUCCUUUACUCAGUCUUGCGAUUGAAUUUUUAACUGUUGCAAAUUCUUUAAUUGUUUAAAUAUCGUGCAAGCUUCGAGAAAUUUUUUUAUAUACCUAUUCACCCCCCCUCUAGGUACUCGUACUAGCUAUUUCAAUUGGUAUCAGAGCCCGUGUUCUUACUUUGUUUGAAGUGUUUUACUUCAGAGUAAAAGAUCCAUGGCUAGUAUGCUAGCACCAGGGCUGAUGGAGGGGCAAAGCAAUACCAGACCUCCCUACUUCGAUGGAAAGGAUUACAACAUCUGGAAAAACAAGAUGAAAGCUUUCCUACGAUCAAAGGAUCCUCUGGAAUGGGACGUAGUGGAAAAAGGAAUCACUCCUGCUGCUGCAUCAAUCACUGAAAGAGGAAAAGAAACCGUUGAAACCAGCGGAAUGUCUCAAGAAGAAAUAAACAAGAGACAAGCACUCGAUGCUAAAGCAAUUUAUUCUUUAUAUUGUGCUUUGUCACCAACUGAAUAUAACAGAAUAUCUUCUUGUGUCACAGCAAAAGAAGUCUGGGACAGGUUACAUAUCACUUAUGAAGGGACAGAUCGAGUGAAGGAGACCAGAAUUAACAUUCUUCUUGGUCAAUAUGAAUCCUUCAAAAUGAAACCAGGAGAAUCAAUAACUGACAUGUUUAGUCGUUUUACAGAUAUUGUCAAUGGUCUUGAGAACCAAGGACAAAAAAUUUCUGAUCCCAUGAAGGUGAACAAGCUUCUACGUGGACUCUCCAAGGAUUGGAAUCAUAUAAAGACUUCAAUAAGAGAGACGCAAAGAAUCAUGCCAUUAUCUGUAGACGAACUGAUUGGAACUCUUCAGUCUUACGAAGUGGAACGAAUUAAUGAAGACGAAGAUCCAAGAGGUAAGAAAUCUAUUGCACUAAAAUCAAAUGAUGAUUCUGAUGAUGCAGAUUCUGAAGAUGAUAUGGAUGAUGAGGAGCUCGCCCUCAUGAUAAGAAGAUUCAGAAAACUGAAUAGAAAAGGCAGAAGGUUCAUCCCAAAGAAACAAAGUUCUCAGAGACAGCAGACCAAGUCUGUUGAUGAUGAGGAACCAAACAAAGAAGUAGUUUGCUUCGAAUGUAAAAAGAAGGGACACAUCAGACCCAACUGUCCUCUUCUGAAAAAGAAAAGAGGAAAAGCUGAGAAAUUUCGAAAAGCUCUUAAAGCCGAAACCUGGAGCGAUACAGAGUGUGAAGAGAGUGAUGAGGAAUAUGCCAACCUGUGUCUAAUGGCGCAAUCAGACUCAGACUCUGGAUCAGACUCAGACAGUGAAUUUGAGGUAAGUGAUUAUAAAAUCCCUGUCAAAGUCUCUAAAUAUAUUGAUGAGUUAUGUUUUAGUCUUAAGACUUCUCUUAAAAGGAUUUCCGAACUUAAAAAGGAAAACUCAGUUUUAAAACAAAAGGAAAACAUUUUAGAAGAAAAGGUAAAAAAUUUAGACUUGAAUGUUUCUACUCUUAAAGAAAGUGAAGACAAUCUUUCAAAAGAAAAUGCUUUCUUAAAAACUGAUUUAUCAAAUAUUUCAAAGAAAUUUUCAAUAGGGUCCGAAAAACUUGAAAAAGUCCUUUCAAUCCAAAGACCUUACUUUAAUAAGUCGGGUCUAGGUAUGACAGUUGAAACAAUCCCUUUGAUUGAUUUUCCGAAAGUAAAAGAAAGAAUUAAGAAAAGACCAUCGAGAGAGGCUUAUAAAAAUCAUUUCAAAAGAGUUUUUGUAAAGCCUGUAGGUCGAAAUGCCUUAAGGUGUUCUAAGUGUAACAGUCAGGAUCAUUUUGAAAAAGAGUGUCCUAUGGUUUGGAAGCCUGUUAAGAGAGUAUGGCCUAAUAAUGCUCAUCCUACUAACACGAAAGGACCCAAGAAAAUUUGGGUACCAAAGAAAGCUUGAGACUCUUUUUUGAAUGUAGGUCUCUGUCAAAAAGAAGGUAAAGUGGUAUCUUGACAGCGGAUGCUCAAGACACAUGACAGGAGACUCAAAAUGUUUCAUAAAGCUUAUUAAAGUAAAUGGUGGAAAAGUUUCAUUCGGAGGAAAUAGCAAAGGAAGUAUUGUGGGAUUCGGAAUUGCGAAAAUUGGAAAUCUCACAAUAAGCAAUGUCUCUCUAGUGGAAGGACUCAACUACAAUCUACUCAGCAUUAGCCAAUUGUGUGAUACUGGUUACAAGAUCUUCUUUCAAGAAGGCAUAUGUUCUAGAAUUAGCAAAGAUUCGACUUAGUCUUUCAUGGGUCGAAGGCAUGGAAACAUCUACCUCCUUGAUGUAAAGCCAAAUGAAGAACAAUGCUUAAUCUCAAUUCAAGAUGAAGCAAUUCUAUGGCACAGAAAACUUGGCCAUAUCAACAAGAAGCAAUUAGCCAAAAUCUCUUCAAAACAGCUUGUUCGAGGUCUACCUAAACUGCAAUACCAAAAGUCUGACUUAUGCACUCCAUGCAUUCUGGGAAAGCAGGUAAGAAAUUCAUUUAAGCAAAUAAAUCAUGUAUCUACUAAUCAUGUAAUACAGUUGCUUCAUAUGGAUCUCUUCGGACCAACAAGAACCCAGAGCAUUGGAGGUAAGAAAUAUUGUCUAGUAAUUGUAGAUGAUUACUCUCGUUUUACCUGGGUAUAUUUUCUUGCAAAUAAAUCAGAAACCUUUUCGUACUUUGAAAAGUUUGCUAAAAAGGUUCAAAAUGAAAAAGGAUGUGCUAUUUCUAGUAUAAGAACAGAUCAUGGAAGUGAAUUUGAAAAUCAAGAUUUUACGAAAUUCUGUGAUAAAUCUGGUGUUAAUCACAUAUUUUCCUCUCCGUAUACUCCAGAGCAAAAUGGAGUUGUGGAAAGAAAGAAUAGAUCUCUUCAAGAAAUGGCUAGAACACUUUUAAUUGAAAGUAAAAUUUCUUCACGAUUUUGGGCUGAAGCUGUUUCAACUGCUUGCUAUAUUAUAAAUAGAGUCUUUUUAAGACCUAUUCUUGAUAAAACCCCCUAUGAAUUGUUCAAAGGUAAGAAGCCUAUUGUUUCAUACUUUCAUGUGUUCGGUUGCAAAUGCAUUAUUUUGAAAAAUGCAAAUGAUCGAGUUGGUAAGUUUGAAGAAAGAUCAGAUGAAGGCAUCUUCCUUGGAUAUUCUACAUCAAGCAAAGCCUACAGAGUCUACAACAAAAAAAGCCAGUCUGUGGAAGAAUCAAUGAAUGUCAAAUUCCAAGACUCAGUGCAAGAUGAAUCCAGCCAGACUCAGUACGAAGAGACUGAAUCCGCUCUAGAUCUUCAAAUGUCUACAUCUCAAGAAGCAUCUCAGAUUCUGGAAGUCCAUCAUCAAGACGCUCAUGGAGAAUCAAAUAAAGAAAGAGAUCAUCAACCUGGUAACUGGAAGCACAAAUCCAGUCAUCCCAAAGAUCUUAUUAUUGGCGAACUUAAUGAAGGAAUCCGCACCAGAUCAAAAAGGCAUGAAGAAUCUAGUGCUGUGGCUCUCAUCUCUGAAAUUGAACCAAAAAGCAUAGAAGAAGCUUUAUCUGAUGAAAGCUGGAUCGAAGCUAUGCAAGAAGAGCUAAGACAGUUCAAAAUCAAUGAUGUCUGGGAAUUGACAUCUAAACCAAAAGGUAAAACUGUUAUUGGAACCAAAUGGGUAUUCAGGAACAAAAUGAACGAAAAAGGAAAAGUCGUACGAAACAAAGCGAGACUCGUGGCCAAAGGGUAUACGCAAGAAGAAGGAAUAGACUAUGACGAGACUUACGCACCCGUUGCAAGGUUAGAAGCUAUUCGUCUAUUACUUGCGUUUGCUUGUUACAAAAAUUUCAGGUUAUUCCAAAUGGACGUCAAAAGUGCUUUCCUAAAUGGAUUUAUCCAUGAGGAAGUUUAUGUGGAACAACCGCCUGGAUUUGAAGACCCAAAGAAGCCAGACUCAGUCUUCAGACUGAAAAAGGCUCUGUAUGGUCUAAAGCAAGCACCUCGAGCUUGGUACGACAGACUAAGUAAGUUUUUAUUACAAAAUGAUUUUGUCAAAGGUAAAGUAGAUACUACUUUGUUUAUCAAAAAGGAAAACAAAAACUUUUUACUUGUUCAAAUAUAUGUUGAUGACAUUAUUUUUGGAUCCUCUAAUGAAAGUCUUUGCAAGAAAUUUUCUAAGUCUAUGCAGGAUGAAUUUGAAAUGAGUAUGAUGGGAGAGUUAACAUUCUUUCUUGGACUCCAAGUGAAACAAAUGAAGGAAGGAACUUUCAUCCAUCAAGAAAAAUAUGCGAAUGAUCUUGUCAAAAGGUUUGGAUUGGAAAAAUGCAAAAAGAUCGACAUACCAAUGUCAUGUUCUCAGAAGAUAGACAAGGAUGAAGAAGGGAAGAAAGUAGAUCAAAAGCUGUACAGGAGCAUGAUCGGUUCACUUCUUUAUCUUACUGCUUCUAGACCUGAUAUUUUGUUUAGUGUUUGUAUCUGUGCUAGGUUUCAAUCAGAUCCUAGAGAAUCACAUCUCAUUGCCGUGAAACGAAUUAUCAAAUACGUUGCUUCAUCUUCAAGCAUCGGUCUUUGGUAUCCAAAGAGGGGAGACUUUAAUCUUCUAGGAUACUCAGAUGCAGAUCUGGCCGGUUGCAGAGUCGAUAGAAAGAGCACUUCUGGAACUUGUCAACUACUUGGAAACAGAACGGUGUCUUGGUUUUCGAGGAAGCAAAGCACUGUAGCUCUUUCAACGACAGAAGCAGAGUAUGUAGCUCUUGGAAGCUGCUGUUCGCAAAUUCUAUGGAUAAAACAACAGCUACAAGACUUUGGCAUUGAAGACUCAUGCACAGAAAUCAGAUGUGACAACACCAGUGCGAUAAAUCUCACCAAAAAUCCAAUCCUUCAUUCAAGAGCAAAGCAUAUUGAGAUUCGACAUCACUUUAUUAGAGAUCAUAUUCAAAAUGGAGAAAUCUCGAUUCAAUUUGUUGAUUCAAAAAGUCAACUAGCGGACAUAUUCACAAAGCCUUUGGAGAAGAAUCAGUUUGACUUUAUCCGCUCGAGACUCAACAUUUUGAAGCUUGAAGAAGUUAAAGUCUAGAGACUCACCAACUCUAAGACUCUGAUCUCUUAGACUCUAAGUCCUGAGACUCAGACAUUCAUGGCUAAAGACUGUAAGUUGUAUUUCAUCUAAAAGGUACUAAUUAUCAUUUAGUUAUAAUUAACUCGAAAAGGUACGAUCUUUUGCUUAAUAAUUUUGGCAGUUAUCGAUUUUGAAAAGAAGUAAUCGUUCACUUUCCUUGCACCGAUUGAACUUCCUUUUUCAAAAACUGAGUUAUAUAUAUACAGUUUUUUCCUUUCCCCAAUUUUCAAAACCCUAAAAAGCACUCUCCUCUCGAUACUGUUUCUACUCUUUGUUCAUCGUCGAGAAAGUGGUCAUUUUUCUUGGGAAAGCAAGUGAAGGAAUCCUUCAAUAGACAAAGAAAGAUGUCGUCUUCGAGGAAAUCAUCAAGAAUCGCAAACAGGGGACCACAAAGAAUGAAGAAGGGACCGACACAUUUCGAUCUCACUGAGGAAGAAGACUUACCAAGUCAGCGUCAGAGUCCGAUUCGCUCUCCUCCACGUCAUUCAGCAUCUCCUGCCCCACAAAGUGCAAGUCACAAUCUGGAAGAAGAGAUAAUCGAGGAUGCCGACCCAGUAAGAGUUCAAAAGCCCUCCUUUUUGUAUACUCUUUAUCGUGCAUUGAAAAGCACAGGUACUCCAUUGAACUAUAUAGAUGACUUCCUUAAGGACAAAAAUUAUGGGAAUGAGUAUCUUUUUCUGAAGAAAAUGGAGGAAUGGGGAAUUGCCCCGAAAGGAAAAGCAGAAGAAGCACUUGCGAACAUUCCAAGAGAUCCUCGUAUGCCAGGACAAAAUCUGAUUGACGGGAACGAUGAUGACAAAAUGUUCCUUGAAUUUAAACCUAAAAUGGGUGUGGCGGCAAAGGUGAAAGGAAAUCGGAUGGAUUUGUUUAAAUCCAAGGAUCAGGAAAAAGUGUAUUACAGUCUGUUGAAAAGAGGGGUAAUCAACCCUAGAAGUGUCGAUUUUGACUUCCUGGAUUCCAUCAACUUGAACCUAAGAGAGAAGUUGAAUUUGCUUCAACUUGAGACUUUCUGCUCUGACUCUACAGACGGGUAUGAUCAUCUGACCGCUUAUUUCUAUUCAAAUCUUAGCUUUUUGGAUGCGAAUAGAAUUUCAUUCAGUGUUCGAGACAAAGUCUAUGUGGUAGAUGUGAAUAUGUUGGCGGACAUAGUUGGAGUUGAACGGGGACGCUAUCUCCCAAUCAAAGUCUCACCUGCUCGAACUACUCUGGAUCUUGUCAAAGAUAGGGAUGUAGAUAAGAAAAUUAUCUAUUCCAGGAUGAAUGCCAUCAACAUUGUGCUUCACAAGAUUGUGAUCAAUUGUCUCAGACCUAAGUCUACUUCAAAGACUUCUGUGUCUCUUUUUGAAGCAAAGUUGAUGUAUGCGAUCAACUCAGGACGGAAGUUCUCUCUCCCGCACACUAUUCUUUUCCAUAUGUACAGAGCAGUGUCAAAAGACAAAGGACAAUUGCCUUAUCCUGGUCUGGUGACCAAGAUCUUCAGACAUCUGAAUAUUGAACUGCCACAUACUUUUUGUGUUCGACCGUGUGAUAAAAUGGUGGUAGGGCUGAAAAUGUUAAUGAAGAUGCGUCUGCAAGAACUCUCUAAGGCAAUGGAGAAAUUCAAAGUGAAAUCUCCAGUCCAGUCUGCUUCAAAAGGGAAAGGAAAGAAGGCCAUUGGUGCUUCUUCGAAAAAGAGGAAAAGAACUCUUAUUCUAGAGGAUGAGGAUGAGGAUGAAGAUAAUGAAGAUCCCACUAUUCCAGCACUAACAAGAACAAGACGUUUUGUGUCUUAUCCGACAGAACUUCAGCAGAGCAGAGAAGAAGAAGAACAGAGAGAGAAGGAGAAAGAAGUUGAGGAAGAAGAAAAAGAACAGUCUGCUGAUAAAUCUGGAGAGAAGGGAAAUCAAGAGCAUGAUCAUCACUCUUCCCCUUUCGAUGUCCUAGAGACAGGGGGAGUUAGCGAGCAAGAGAGGUCUCCACCUCAUGCUGCUGAAGAUCUAAGACAAUCUCCAGAAGACCCAGAAGACGUUCAGGUCUCUCAAUUGCCUGAAGAAGAUGAUACGACGAUUCCAAAUCUGCCAGACCGUUCAGAAGCGCCAUCGUCUGCACACACACCAUCUGAGAAAGCUAAUGCCAGUACACAGACGGAUGAUUCUGUAGAUCUUCGUAGUAUCAUGAAUAUUCUUCUGGAAAUGCGUAAUCAGAUAUAUAUUCUGGACUGUGAAAUCCAAGCUUUGAAGCAUGCUGGACAAGCAUCUUCAGUCUCUCUGGAAGAUAAAUACAAAGACCUCGCUCUGCAACUUCAAGCCAAUGCGAAGAGAGAAGAGGUAGCUCAUCUGCGAGAAGAUCUGAAGAAGCUCGAAGGAGUAGUCCAGUCAAUUGGGGAUUUCCAGAUCGUGCGCAUUCCCAAGCAGACAUGACUCCUUUCUCACCCUCUUUUUAAUGAUGACAAAAAGGGGGAGAACCAAUUUGAACAAACAUUAUUUUAAAACUUUAUUUGAAGUGACUUUUGUGUUUAUGUUUAUUUUUGAGUAUGACUUGAGAACUUGAACUUGAGUGUUAGACUGAAUUGGUUGUGGAUUUUGAUGCUUGACUGGUUGCAUUUAUAUCAAGUAUUGUUACAUGGUAUUACUCAUGAAAGACUAACCAAUUUGCUGUGGAUGCAGAGUCUGGUUGUUUAUUAAUCUUUAUGAGUUAGCCAUAUUGCUUGAGAAAUGUUUUUGCAGGUCAAAGUUGUUCAAAUCUUCAAGAAAGUUUUGUCACCAUCAAAAAGGGGGAGAUUGUUGGAGAAAUCUUUCCAGAAUAUUUUGAAGCUGACAAAACAUUUCUAUCAGUCUAAGUCUGGAUAUCGAUAGUUAAAGUCUCAAGAAUUUAUAGUCUCAAGACUUUGUUAUCUCAAGACUCAAGACUCAAGACUCAAGACUCAAGACUCAAAAUUAUUCUCACUGACAGUCUUUCUAAUCCAGUGUUGAAGAAAAUCCAAAGUCGAGGUUUAUGGUUGAGGAUUUGAUUCUAUCCUCUGGAAUAGAUUCUUUGGUUGGAUAAUCAUUUCGGAUUCUUUAAUUCUUAUCUAAGAUCAAUUGAAGAUCCGAUGGUCGACGAAAUAAUCUUGGAUUAUUCUAUUCUUGGAAACCGAGAUCCUGAUUGUAUGGGCGAACAGGAUUGAUGGGCUAUCAUCAGAUUCCUUAAAUAGCUCGGAUGAUCUUCUUGAUUGAUUCCGUCCAACGGGUAGAUUGGAGGAAUUCCUUUGGUAAGUGCCAACGGCUAUGAUGGCAUAAAGGAGUAUAAAAGGAAGAUGUUCUAGUUGUUUUAAGUGUGUGAUCGAUAGAAAAAUUCCAGAGUCUGAAGAUCCUUGAUUGUUAGUCGAGACUGAGCGAAAUUGUACACAGAGAGUGUUUGUACUUGGUAACGCCUUGAGCGAGUGUGGUAGAUCAUCUACACCUAGAAAUCAAGGAAGAUCAACACUGUAACAACUCUUUGAUCAUAAUGGAAUCCGACCAAUCGGCUGUCAGUGCAGAAGAGUGGACGUAGGCUUGAAUCAAGCCGAACCACUAUAAACUGAGUGUUCAAUUCUCUCUUUCCCUUACUCAGUCUUGCGAUUGAAUUUUUAACUGUUGCAAAUUCUUUAAUUGUUUAAAUAUCGUGCAAGCUUCGAGAAAUUUUUUUAUAUACCUAUUCACCCCCCCUCUAGGUACUCGUACUAGCUAUUUCAGCAGGGACAUGGGCUCGUAUGCGAGAGUUCCGGCGAGAUGGGAUAGCGAUGGCUUCGUGGGUUCGGGGCAGAUCUGAUGGGCGUUGGAGCAGGAGUGUCGCGGGUGGAGGCUCGAGCAGAGGUGUUGGGCUCGUGGGUGAGGCACAGCGCAACGGUGCUGGGUUGAGCUGCUGCGGGGAGCAUUGGCGAAGGAGAUCGGAGGCGCGAGCGUUGUGGCGAUCGGCUCAGAUCUAUUGGCGUUGGGCUCUUCUAUGGUGUAGUGACAGCAGACGCGAGGACGAGCGAGCGUCGGCACUCGGACGAGCGAGCGUCGGCACUCGGACGAGCGAGCGUCGGCACUCGGACGGAGAGGUAGGUGCGGGCUCACCGGUGAGGCGGUAGCGCGAGUGGUGUGGCGUUGCUGCUUGGAGGCCGGUGUUGCAGGGAACCGGCGGUGCAGGGAAUCGGCGGAGGUCGCAAGCUCGGGGAAAUUUACGGGUGUGAGAGCAUAUAGAACAAUCUAGGGUUUUGGUUUUUUUGGGUUGGUUCUCAAACCGGUUCCCAAACAGGUCCGGUCGAUCCGGUUUAUGGGUGGAUAAUCCCUCCGAACCGGUUCCCGUACCGGUUCAAACCAAUUUUGCAUUUUGGGAACCAGUUCCUGGACCCUGUUUUCCGGGUGGGCUGAUCCAGGAACCGGGUUAACCUGGUCCAGUUGCAGCAACUUAGUACAACUGUUAAUUGAUCUAUCAUAUGUUUUCUUUCCACUUGUAUCUUAUUAUCUUGUUUAGGUGGGGCUUACUAGACGGUAUCAUUUCCAGUAAAAAGCAAAAAUAGUUUUUAGCUCUUUCGUGUUCUUUUUUUUUUAGGGAAAGAAAGACAAGCAAAUUAGUUAGGUGGUAUCAAUGGGGCAGCCGCUUGCAUGCUCUGUGGUGGUACUCGUACUUAAGGAAUGCAAGCGUACAAAUGACAAUUAUGUAGCUCAUAAUCAACAGUAAAGUGACUUGAAUUCUGACAAUGACAUGUCUCUUCUUGAACAGUCUCGGCCCAGGGACUUUCUUCUAAACUAUUUUUCUUUCUUCUGCUAAUUGAGAGACUUGUUGAACAAACAUUAUUUUCUUAUAAGUGUCGAGUAUAUCAUCAUAGAUAAGAGGGCCUAAGAAUCAUCAUGAGAGCUAAAUGCAAUGAGCUCAAGGCCUUUUACAUUUUGUGUCCAUGGCCAUUCAUUUGCGACAUUAGCACAGUAUUUUCUCUUAGAUUGUCAAUGCUUGGAGCAAAUUUUUGUUUACUUAUUGCUUUGUCCCCUCUCUCCAUGCACUGGUGCGUCCGAUGUGAUUGCGCUGUUGUUCAACUAUUUAUCACCCAAAAAUCUUGCUAUUUUUUGGUAGUUACUUUUGUGAAUGGUCGUCCAAUUUGACUUCUCUUACAGGAUUUUGGCACUGCAGAAGAGGAUGCUUACUGAAAGGAUUUUACUAUAAACAGGUAUCUCUUCUCAUUUAUUUAUCUGGUAAAUUGUUCUCAAACAAUCCAUUGCUUUGUUUUAGGUGGUAUUUAAUCUAACGCCCAUUAGUUAAAUAUAUUUUGAAUGAAUCAAAUCAUUCUAUUACUCUAUAAUUGAUACAUAACAAAUUUUUUUGUUACCCUAUCCAACCUUAUUUCCAGUUACUAAUAGUGGAGAUAGUCUGCUCUUCUGUGAAGCAUAUGUAGCUCGAAACUUACUGCCUGUUGAUAAUCUAAUGCCAAUUAACUAGAUGACAAUAAAGAGGAAUUGCUGGUCGUUUUGAUUUUCUGGUCAGCUGGCAAGAAGUCAUGGAAUGUACAGUCUUUCAAAUCUUUAUUUGGAUAUUGCUCUCUCUCUCUCUCUCUCUCUCUCUCUCUCUCUCUCUCAGCUAAUGAAGUGGUUUAGCACCACAUGCCUUUCAUUAAUUUGUGAAAUUUGUAUGUUAAUUGAGGUAGGAUUCUGAAGACUAUAGUCCACUCUCUAUUUUAGACAUGACUGGACGUCCACAUAACGGUUGCUUCUUUAUAUGUUUAAAUUAUGAAGUUUGUUUACUUCAAUCCGUUACUUCAAACAGCUUGCUACUCUUAUUUGUAUCGUUCCUCUCUACAUUGGUCCAGAUGUUUGAUGACCUAAAUUUUUAUCUGAAAGCAUGUUUUACAAUAUCAACACCAGCUCAGUUGAAGAUUUAAGUGGGAGAGGUUAGAAUAGAUCUUUUGACUUGAUUUUCUUUUCGUGAGACUUUUUUGGGGAAUUACACUGUUAAUUCUUCUGCUUUUUUAAUUUUGUUCACUGUACAGGGAUUGAUGAUCUUAAAUCAGGAAAAAUUGUGACACCUUUAGCCCCAAAGGAAACGUUUCGGGAUGAUCCUGUGCGCGCUCUUCGCGCUUUUUUCUUUGGUGCUGUUUUAUUGAAUUUUCUGUUGAGCUUUUGUUUCUAGUGUAUAUUUAGUUCUGGAUAUUCUUAUCAGUGUGCCUGAGACCAUUUAUAAUGCGAUCCAUUGCUAUUUGUUUGUUAGUAGAACAAAUGGAUGAAUUAUGUAUGUAAACAUGGGAAGUUCUAUUGUAUUUUUGUCAAUGCCACGGCUUGUUGCCUGGGGACUAGUUGCAUAAAAUUGUGCUAAGAGUUGCAUGUGACAGUCCGAUUACACACGCAUGCACCAAAUGCUGUCUUCCUUCCAUUCUCGUCAAUGCCAUAGCUUGUUGCCUUCGCGCUAGUUGCAUGAAAUUGUGUUACGAGUUGCAUGUGACAGUCUAAAUACGGCAAAAGAACGCUUCAAGUGCCAUAACUUUGCCCAAAGGGACACUUAAGUGCCAUAACUUACGAAAUGUACACUUAAGUGUUACAUUCGAAGAAAAACGGAUCAUUUGAGUGCUAUUCCGGCCAAAGUCCGGCCAAAAUGCCGACGUGGCAUUUUUCCGGCGAAGCGUGCCCAAAACGACGCCGUUUUACACGCUGAUGUGGCCAAAUAAUGCAAAAACGGCGUCAUUUUUGGUUGACGUGGUAAAAAAAAUAAAAAAAUUAAUUAAANNNNNNNNNNNNNNNNNNNNNNNNNNNNNNNNNNNNNNNNNNNNNNNNNNNNNNNNNNNNNNNNNNNNNNNNNNNNNNNNNNNNNNNNNNNNNNNNNNNNCCUUACGGUCGCCAGCCCUUCCUGGCGGCGCCAGCGGCGGCUAAGGGUUGAUCCCUUAGCUGCCUCCCCCCGUUCCCUUUUUUUUUUUACAAUUUAAAAUAUUUAAAAUAUUUUAACUAAAUUUAAUUAUUUUUUUUACCACGUCAGUCCAAAACAACGCCGUUUUUGCAUUAUCUGGCCACGUCAGUGUGCAAAACAGCGUCGUUUUGGGCUCGGUUUUUCGGAAAAAUGUUACGUCGGCAUUUUGGCCGGACUUUGGCUGGAUUGGCACUCAAGUGAUUCCUUUUACUCCGAUUUUGGCACUUAAGUGUACCUUUCAUAAGUUAUGGCACUUAAGUGUUCGUUUGUGCAAAGUUAUGGCACUUGAGAGGUCCGCAUGUCGUCUAAAUACGCAUGCAUGCAACAAAUGCUGUCUUUCUUCUAUUAGCAUCUUUUUUCUGUACAAAUGGAUGUAUUACGUGGGUAAACACAUGACUGCAUAGGUAGGUAAAAGGUUUUAAUCAAGAAGGUAAUGAUCUCAUGAAAGAUAUACCUAGAAUAGAGUGUGCUAGAACCAUGAGCCUACCGUUUGUAUUUUAUGUAUGAUUCGUAUCUUUGGAAGACUUUUGGAUCCUCUUGCAUCCUCACAAUCCCUGAAUUGGGAAUGCUGAAUGAUUUUAUUCUUGGAUGAGCUUUGUAAACCUUGCAUUUCGCAGCUGAUCCUACAAAGAAGCUUUCUUUUUUUUUCCAUUCUUCUGCCACGUAAUAUGGAUGCUCAUUUUCGUUUAAUUUGUACAAGAGUUUUUUUUUUUUUUUUUUUGGUAAAGGAAUUUGUACAAGAGUCUGCGCGGUCAAAAAGGAGAUUUCUGCUACUUUAUCUAUUGACUGGUCAUCUUAGUGCCUCCAUGUUUAUAAUCUUGUGUUCAUUUUAGGCGCAAGGUUCAGAUUUGCGUUGGAUGAAGAGCUGAAGAGAGCUGCCACAUCCAACGAUGUCAAAGAUGCACUUGUAGCUAAAAUCAAUAACGAGCACAUUAGAACCCAAGGAUGUGUUUAUAACAUUCCUCUAUUGGCUGCUUUAUCUCAUAUAUAUGUUUUUUGGUGGAAGUUCUAGUACAUGUGGCCUUUAUUUUUCUCUCAACAUCUGUAUAUGAUGUGUAUUUUCCGUUUGAAUAUUACUUCUCAUCAAUGAGAUGUGAUCAAAGUUUUUCCCCUUCUUCGGUACGGCAGGUUGAUCUGAUGAUGCCAGGAAAUGAACUAGUUAAAGCAAUUGCUUACAUCUGUGAGUUGCAAAUUAUUUGGGUAAGUCUUCAGUCUACCUCAAGAACAUGAACCGACAUUGCCAGAAGAGUGCCGUAGGUUGUUAUUGUGGAUUGGGCUCAGAACUGACCAUUUCUCUAAAAGCAAUUCACAUGACACGAAAGAUCCACGGUAGGCAUCCACCUGUUCUUUGUUCGUCUCUUCUCUUCUUUUUCUAAAGCAAGAUCCGAUCUGCCAUCUAUUAAUCCGCCAAAUUGAUAGGUCUUCUGUGACACCCCGAACUUCCUCAAGGAGCCACAGGCACCUAAUGCUACACCUAAUUACAUCUCUUAGAAGAAGCGUCAAAGUUCAUAGACUUUUUUUUUUUUUUUUGAAACGGUCCCAGCGCGACUCGUUAGCGGAAGCAAAAUAUAAUAUUGCCAUCUCUCACUCCAACGACCAUGAUACAAUUGCACACCACUAAGUACCAUAGGAAAAGAUAGAGCCAUGCCACUUUGAUUUACAUAUUUUCGUGAUGGAUAUUUUGCGGGUCGAUACAAUAAAAGAAAGCCAAGAUUUCCAGCUACACUUGGCCACAUCCCAAAAAAAUACUACAACCCCUAAAGUAAUCACAUGACGUCCUCCAUCUAACAGCGGCGGCUACUCCCAAAAAGAAACUCCAGCUCUCUACCUCUCACGCAACCAUCAUACCCAUCCUGGCGCGUCGGGUGGUGGUAGCGGCAACAUCCCCCUAAAUACUCCGUCUCGGCGAACAUGAACUGACAUGAACUCCUGGAUGAUUGGGCCCCCAGCCAGGCCCAUAUUGUACAUAACCAGCACUCGCACUCACACAAAAGUCAAUCCAGGGACGGUGACGCAGUUGAUCUCCGUACAUUCUACUUCUACAUCCGAGAAGAGGCCAUAGAAGGUACCUCGCGUGACGGUAAGAAGCGGCAUCUUUCUAAUCUGAAAUGUUGGUCCCCAAAAAGGGUGAGUACAACCACUCAGCAGGUAAAGGACCAAUAAACCACUCAAUGCAUCAUACAAUACAAUCGCAACAUAAUACAUGUCAUUUAUGCAUCCAAGCCUACUUACCUUGAAGCCAUGCAUAUAGCAUCAUACAUCCUCAUCACAAUCAUAUCACAUACAUGUCAUCAUGCCACAUGUGAUCAUCAUCAUAUCAUAUAUGUAAGUCAUCAUGCCAUAGGUGAUCAUCAUCAUCAUCAUAUCAUAUAUGCAUAUCAUCAUGCCAUAGGUGAUCAUCAUCAUAUCAUAUCAUAUAUGCAUAUCAUCAUGCCAUAGGUGAUCAUCAUCAUAUCUUAUAUACAUGUCAUCAUGCCAUAUGUGAUCAUCAUCCUAUCAUAUCAUAUGUGUCAUCAUGCCAUAGGUGAUCAUCAUCAUAUCAUAUAUGCAUAUCAUCAUGCCAUAGGUGAUCAUCAUCAUAUCUUAUAUACAUGUCAUCAUGCCAUAGGUGAUCAUCAUCAUAUCAUAUCAUAUGUGUCAUCAUGCCAUAAGUGAUCAUCAUCAUAUCAUAUAUGCAAAUCAUCAUGCCAUAGGUGAUCAUCAUCAUAUCAUAUCAUAUAUGCAUGAUUCAAUUUCCACUUUUAACUUUCAAUUCGAUCACCACAUCACUCUUUCUCGGGAUCUUCAAUUUCAUCCCAUACUUUACACUUGCACCCCAUCUUGGCAUCGUGAGAAAAACCUCCGGCAUUUAGCCAUUUAAGGCCACCGGGCAUCCAGCACCCCCACAUUCCAGGCAUCUCGCAUCCCAACUGGCAUCAUGAGGCAUCCCCUCGGGCAAAGACCUCCGAGGCUUCCGGCACCCAACCAUUCCGGGCAUCUCGAAAUUCCCGAGGCCAUCCCGCCAUGUAUCUCUAUACAUUCCGGGCAUCCGGCACCCCCCAUCCCGGGCAUCCUGAUACUCCCAGGGCAUUAUCAUCCGCCUCGAACAGUUUCCUCAUUUAUCAUUGUUUAUGUUCACCAAUUUAGGUCUCAACUCAGCAUGGCACAAGAUGUAAUGGCAAACAAAAUCACUUCCAUCCUUUACAUGCAUCUCUAGUCAUCAUCAUACAUGUAGCAAGACACAAUCAUUCAUAACAAUAAAAUUCACGGAAUUCGUACAAUUUAGAAUAGUCCAUUUAUCAUGCCUUUUUGAAGUUUAUUUAAAUUCCAACUUGUACCAUUUUAGAAAAUAUUUAAAUUAAAUAUCCAUAUGAUUCUCAAAAAUCAUGAAAUCAAGGCACGUGAUAGACAAGACAAUAAGAUAAUGAUUUCAUGAAAAACACAUGGCCAAUAGAGUUCCACACAAAAGAUAUAAUUCACACAAAUACAGCAUGCAAUUUCGGAUAGAAACAGAAUGUGCAGUUUUUGAAAUAAUUCGAUUAAAAUACCCGAACGACCUCCAAAAAUUAUGAAAUUUUACCAGGUUAUAUUUAAGACACUAAAGUAAAUUUUUUAUGAAGACUUCUAGGCCAGAUUCGUUUUAGAUAUUUUCCUAUAGUCGUCCGAAGCUUCUGGUUUUCACACCGAAACGUCCAGUGUAGUCAUCUCCGAAAUACCGAGUUUUUACCCACUUAUUCUUCUUCGUUUCUCUGAAAUUUGUAUAUGUUUUACUUCAAGAGGUCCCCUACAACUUUAAUUAAGGGAUCUAAGUCAAAUUUCCAAAUAAAAGUCACCAUAUGGGUCCAUGAAGUCUCGGGUGUCCAGUACCGCAUCUCCAGAUUUACCGUCUUCAAGAGUAAGUCGAUUCACUAGGCUACACUUGUUCAUUUCACUUCAAAUUUGAGUAUGUUAGUAUUUAAGAUGUUCUAUACAAGUUCCAUGAAGAAUUAUAAGAUAUAUUCUUGAUAAAAAUCAACAUGCAACCGCAAAUCUACCAAAAGGUCAGCAAAACAGUUCCAGAUCUAGUGUCUCUGUAGGAUGAGGGUUUGACCCCUUAAAUCUCCACCAUUUUGCACCAAAUUUUAGUAUGUUGUAUUUUAAGAUGUUGGCUACAACUUUCAUGAAUGAAUCAAAGUAAAAAUACAAUUCGAAACAUGCAUGCAAGCUCUCACAAGAUUCUGGUUCAGGCGGUUCAUACGAAAACAGCAACAUCACUCAAGAACAAGUCACAUUCUAGCUUCGGUUUUGUCUACCCUAGCAUCCGAAACCUACCACCAACAAAUCACACAUGCAAGGCAAACAUGCAAGAGUGGAAAUCAGUCCCAACUUGCCUCUAAGACCGAACGAAUGGCAGCAAAAGGGACAGCACACCGGCGAGGGAUGGACGGCGUGCAGGCGGCGACGGCUCCUCCUCCUCCUCGGUUCCUCUCCUCUCGGCGCCCUUCUCUCUCUCUCGCAAUUCUCUCUCUCUCUCUCUCGGACGGAAACCAACUGGCCACUCUCUCUCCUUCCAUUUUAUUCCCCCAAAUUUUCAUCAUUUGCCAUCAUCACAUGCCUCUCCACAAGCCAAUGCAUGAAGACCUCCUUGCCACUUGGCAAAGCCCAUGCAAUGGGCUUGGGGUAUUUGGGCCGGCCACUCCUCUUGGGCCUCAAUUGGGCCGGCCUCCUUGUGGCCGAUGACAGCCCCUUUGUGGGCUUCAAUUGGGCCGGCCAUUCGGCCCACCAAAAUCCACCCCUUGGGCCUAAGGCCCAAACCUAAAUAAAAAUAAAAAUUUUCCCUUUUAUUCUUUCUUUUAUAAAUUUUAAAUUCCACAUGGCCAAAAUCUUGUAACAUUUUAUUUAUAGGAAUUUAGUCUAUGAGGUGCAUAGCCAAGCAUAGAUUAUUCUCAUUAAUUUAUCCUAUAGUUCUAAUUUAAAAAAUUCAUGAACACAAUCAUAUAUCACUUAGCCUUAAGAGAAAACUAAUGGCUAAAGCAUAAACCAUAGGUAAUUUCAUUACCUAAUUAUGGGUUUUAAUACACCUUAGAGGUUGUCUUGAAUUUUUGGGAUGCCACAUCUUCCCUUUCCUCAACAGUUCCUUUGGGUUCACAACUGACCCUUUUUCAAAGAGCAAUUCGCACCUAUAAUGUUGAAAACCGAUGGUUUAAGACUCAUGAAAUGACAAUAUAUCAGGUGAGAAGCGAACAUUGUUGUAAAAAUAACGCUUGUGGAAGCUAAUAUGGAUUUUAUGAUUAAGUCAAUGUGAAUUCACAAAAAAAAAUAAUCGAGGAACAAAGACUAAAGAUUUAUGUGAUUCAAUUCAAGUGUCGGCACCUAUAUCUAGGAGGAGAGCCACUAAUAAAAAUCUAUUAUAAUCGGAAAAUCGGAGUUACAAUCGCUUAACAUGCUCAAGUGUUUUGCAUGCCCAAAGUAAACCUAAAUCCAAGGUAUUAACAGAUAAGCAACUCAUUUUGGAUGUAAAAAAACCCGCAACACAAAUUGCACGCUUUGUCUGCGACCAAGUAGGAGCUCUCUUUGAAACGGCCGGCAAUCAAGGACCUUGUCCAUUCAUGAUUUCCUUUCUUCGCGGCAUGGCUUUCCAAGAAGUCACUGCGCAGCCAUCAAAUACUCCAUUUUGAUGUGCGGCUACAACUCGAACGUGAGUAUGUGUUUUGAGGUGUGUCCCCGUGUGUGUGUCCCUUUAUUUGGUUCGCCUAAUCCGCUGUAUGUGUGUGCCCCUUUAUUUGGUUCGCCAAAUCAGCAGUACUUUUAAAGUCCAACUCUUGGUUUGGGUUAAACUUGCAUAUAUAUCCGAUCCGCUUAGGUUUUGCCAUUUAAAAAGGUGUCUUAAUCAAUAGAAAUACAAAUGCUUUUGAAGGUCUUCAUUUCUUAUAUAGUUCAAUUUGGAAAGAGACUUUGCUUGCAACUUAUUAGGACACAGAAAUCAGUCAUAAUGAAAAAACAUAUGGCGAUUAUGUUCUGUUUUUCUAUGCCUAGCUCCCAUUUAUGGACGAGUUCAGCAAUGCAAACCAACUAGACCGAUCGUCUCACUUUAGUCUACUUCAGAGACAAUGUGGAUGAGGAUCUACUCAAAGUGUUGAGCUUGUGGAAUUACUCUUCUCAUCACUAUGAGUGGCAAGGUAUUGUAUGGGGUUGAUAGCAUCCUGAAAGGGUUGUGUCCCUCGACCUAAUGUCGAAAAGCUUGGGCAGUCUUCUAUCACCUCAUGUCGGAAAUCACUCUUUCCUAAGAAGCUUUGUCCUACAAAACAACAGCUUUCGCGGUGAAAUUCCACAAAGUAUUGGCCACUUGUUUUGCCUUCGUCAUCUUGUUGUUAGUAACAACUCUUUCGGUGGACAAAUGCCCACCAAUCUUUCUCAAUGCUCAAACCUUGAGAAUUUGGAUUUUAUCAGUAACCAACUCAUGGGCAAAAUUCUUGAUGAUCUUGGUUCCCUGUCAAAGCUUUGAAUUUUAUAUUUGCCUAAUAAUAAUCUUACAGGAUCUAUUCCUCAUUCUAUUGGAAAUCUCUCCCAACCUUUUGCUCAUUCUAUCAUGGGAAUGGGUUGCAAGGAGAGAUUCCGGAGGCAUUAUCCAAGCUUCAUGGUUUGGGCUUUAUUCAAUUGGCAUUUAACCAACUCAUCGGUGAGAUCCCUCCAACAAUCUUCAACAUCUCCGACAUUUUCUAUUUUAGCGCCAAGGGCAAUCAAUUGAGAGGGAGCAUUCCCCCUUAUACGGGCAAUACUCUUCCUUCUCUCAUUGGUCUUGAUUUUAGGAGCAAUUUGUUUACAAGCGUUAUACCUCUGUCCUUAUUGAAUGCCUCUGGCCUUCAAAACGUCAACUUUGGCCAAAAUAGUUUUCACAGAUCGAUGCCUGCAAAUCUUGGAAGGCUGAAAGCUCUUGAAGUAACGUCCCUUGGUUUUAACCAGUUGCGAGAUGACAUCAGUUUCAUUACCACAUUGACUAAUUGUUCAAGGCUGGAAAUUAUAUGGGUGAGCGUCAAUUUUCUUGAACGUCCGUUGCCGGAUUCCAUAAGCAAUCUUUCUAACAAUGUUAUAGUAAUUUCUAUGGCGUCCAACCCAAUGCGUGGAACCAUUCCUCUAGGUAUUUGCAAUCUCUUCAACCUGUCCAUUCUUGACAUAACAAACAAUUCACUUGGCAGCCAUGUUCCUUCUUCCGUCAGAGCACUCCAUAACUUGCACGCAUUGUACUUAUCGAAUAACAUGUCAACAGGAGAAAUCCUGCCAUUGAUAGCAAUUUGACGUUAUUGAAUCGCCUUUAUCUAUUGUUCAACGACUUCUACGGGGAAAUACCCAAGAGUCUUGGUAACUACAUGUAGCUAAACGAGCUCGAGCUUUCAAACAAUAUUCUGAGUGAUUCAAUCCCAAGGGAGGUUCUUAGUCUUUCUACCAUUUCAAUUAUCUUCAGCUUGGCACAUAACAAGUUGAGUGGAUCUCUUCCAUUUCAAGCUGGAUCUUUGACCAAUCUUGUCGAAUAGGAUCUAUCUUACAAUAAGUUGAUAGGAUCAAUUCCCAACUCCAUCAACAAGUACUUGCUAUUGCAGCAUCUCGGCUUAGUAGUCAAUUCCUUUUGUGGUGAAAUUCCUUUGGCUUUAGGCACAUUACGGGGCUUACAAGAGUUGGAUGUUUCCCAUAAUGACUUCUUUGGUGAAAUCCCAAGUUUUCUCGCUCAACUUAUGGAUCGAAAGUACUUGAAUCUAUCUUUAAACAAGCUCAAAGGAGAAGUUCAAAAGCAAGGAGUAUUUCUCAAUACUAGUGCUGCCUCCAUCUUUAAGAGAGGUAAGUAUAGUAUAAGUAUCAAACUUUUUUUCGCUCACUUAAGUACCACAAAUUUAAAAAAUCGAUCUCUUGAGUGCUACUUCCAAUUUGGCCUACCAGAAAAGCUGACGUGGCUACCAGAAAAUAUUAUUUUAAUAUUUUUAGUAUUUUUAGUAUAUAUUGUUUUUUUUUAAUUUUUAAUUUUUUGCUUUUCCUUUUGUUUUUUUCUCUUUAGGGUUGACAAGGGUCAUCGGUGACCUUUGCCAGUCAUGGUCACCUCGCCUAGAUUGGGUGAGGGCCACAUCGCCCUUGGCUGCGAAGGUCUUGGGCAAGGCUGCUAGGGCCACUCUAAGCGACGUCCAACUUUGGGCAACCGCAAGCGAUGCCACCUAGAGAUGAAGAGGGCCGUUGUGACCUUGCCAGCGAUUGGCAAGGCCACGCCGGCCUUACCUAGGGCCUUGGUGACGAGGUGGCCCUCGUGUAGAUCUGGCCACCCUUGCCAUGAAGCCCUAGGCGAGGCCACGAUGACCCUCACCUGCUUUGAGUGGUGUUGCUUGUGGCUAGCGAGGGCCCUUGCGGCCUUGCCUAGAUUUGGUCUCCCUCAUCGUGAAGGCCUUAGGCGAGGCUGUUGGGGCCUUGCCGAUCGCUAGUGAGGCCAUGAUGACCCUUGCCUGCUCUAGGCAGCAUCGCUCGUGGCCACCUAGCGACUGGCAAGGGGCCUUACCCAAUCUGGGCACGGCUGGCGAGGGUCACAACCCUUGCUGACCCUAAAGGGGAAAAAAAAAAGCAAAAUACAAAUGGAAAUAAAAAAUUCAAAAAAAAUUACAAAGUAAAAAAAAAAAAUUCACAUUGGACAUUUGGUCAUAAUUGGCACUCAAGUGAUCGAUUUCUCUCCGUUGUGGCACUUAAGUGAGCGAAAAAAAAAGGUUUAGCACCAAAGUGAGUGUUAUACGAAAGUUUUGAUACUUGUACUGUACUUACCCCUCUUUAAGAAUGGAAAUCUCUAUGGAGGUUUUGUAGAAUUAAACCUUCCUUCUUAUCUAAUACCUCUAAACCAUUUCGGAAUGAAAAAAUUGAAGUAAUCAUCACAAUGGUGGCCAUCUUGUCUGUCUUCAUUCUAUGUCUUUGCCUGUUUAUCUUUUGGUAUUGAAGAAAGAAGUUGAAAAAGAAUACCUCUUCAACUGAAUUGUCAUUUAAACACCAAUUUUCAAAGGUCUCUUAUGGGGAGCUCUUUAGAGCCACAGAUGGAUUCUCUAAGAACAAUGUAAUCAGUAAACAUAGAUAUGGUACUAUCUAUAAAGGAACUGCAUAGGAAGGUAGCUGGGUGGUGGUUAAGGUGCUCAACUUGGGCCAUAGAGGUGCUUUGUCUUAGAAUGUCAAACCUUAGGGGGUGUGGAAAACCAAGACAUUUAGGACUAAUGCAAAGGUUAGACAUUGCCAUUAACAUAGCUUCCGCAAUCGAAUAUAUUGCAGCCCAAAGAUUGUACAUGAAGAUCUGAAGCUGAGUAAUGUCCUUCUAGACAAUGAGAUGAUGGGGCAAGUUGGGGAUUUUGUGCUAGCAGACAUCAACUCCACCAUGAAAAUGAAGGCCAUGGACAUUGACAACUGCAGUAGCUGAGUGGUGGUGAGAGGUUCUAUAAGCUAUGUCCCUCCCGGUAAGAAAAUUUUCUCAUUUAUUGUCUAAGUUUUACUUGCAUUGGCCUUGAAACCAAAUUUGAAUUUGAAUUUUCAUUGCAUAUUGCUUGAUGUACACUAGUUUAGAGUAUGGCACGGGGAAGAUGAUAUCAACACAAGGCGAUGUGUACAACUAUGGCAUUUUUUUAUUGGAAAUGUUCACUGGGAGAAGACCCACGGAAGAGGCUUUCAAGGAUCAUUUGAACCUCCACACCUUUGUAAAGGUGACUCUGCUAGACCAAGAGAUGGAGAUCGUGGACUCAGCCAUUUUUAAUGGAGAAAGCGAGAAUGACAUUGAAAGGACGAGAGACUACAUUGCCUUUAUCUUGAGGAUUAGAGUUGCAUGUUCAAUGAGUUAUCGAGGGAUCGGAUGGACAUGGCCAAUGCACUCAAGGAACUGCAUAAGAUCAAGGCUAGGUAUGGAUCUGAGUAGAGGCUCGGUUGAAGCAAGUUCAGUGCAGAGCUGCUUGGACUAGACUAUUCUUAGGAUUAAUUUAGUUUUGCACAAGAAAAAUUCGCAUGGUUCAAUAUAAGUACCCUAUCAAAAAUUCAGAUGGUUCAAUAUAAGUACACUAUCUCCAUCCCUCUCUCUCCCCGCCCCUUCUCUACGAUCUCACUAUUUUCUUUAUGUGGAUUAUCUGUUUUUAAUUUUUCCUCUAGAAGUCCCUCUCUAAUAAAUUUUGAGUGAUUCCCAUUAUCCUUAAGUUUUUUAAGAUUAGAAAAUGUGAGUGCUGCGUGCCUUUCAUCACAAAAAGAGGGUUUUAUUUGAGGAUUGAUGCAGAUGAUCUCGUACUAUCAUUAUCAGAAUAUUACCAAGAGAUUGCGUCAGAUUUAACGAAAUUAAAGUUGACUAUGUAAUUUUGCUUAUAUGCCUAGGUAAAUAGUUUUCUUAUUAGAUUACUUUCGUUCCUUUACAUAUUGUUCUAAUACUUUUUAAUUGCAAUACAUUAUUGCAUCAAUCCGAUCAAAUCUCCGAAUAUUUUGAUAAUAUCAUAAUAUUUCUCCCCAAGCUCAAGAUUGUCCUUAGGAAAUCGACUGGAGUUUGGAAACUAGAAAAUCAAGCAAGAAAAAGAGCCUUUGUAAGACCAUCCCGAGUUUGAACAUCCGAAUGGACAUGAACAAGAUCAACAGUUCCUCGAGAAAUAUGUUGUCGAGUAAAGUGAGGGUUUUCUCAAUAUUUGAAUCCCCAGAUGAGGGAGACUCAACCCAAAGGCAUGGCAGUAAGUCUGUGGGAACUUACUCGAGCCCCGUGGAAUCUGGACUUGGGUUAUCCUAGAAGGAACAAAAUAUAAGGAUUAGUAAAAUAAGAUAUGAAAGUUGAAGGGGCGUGUUCUUAAAAAAGAACAUGACCAGAGAUUUAAAGAUGAUUAGAGAGAGGAUUCCAACAUCUAUAUCCCUUAUAUUCGAUAGUAGGUCCAAGGAAACAACAAAGUCGUCCAUGCCGGCUCAAGUUCGAUGCACUCCUGAGGUCGAAGAAGGGCAAAGCACGGACGACAAAUAAAUUCAAGAGGAGGAUAACAAGGGGGAGUGUCGUGCAAGAGUUCAAGGGGGGAUUUUAUCUAUGACCGGUGAAGGAAGAUGGUUAGUAGUGUACACGGCGGUGAAGGCAGCUUCCCCCGAGCUGCUAUCGCUGCUUGCCCCUCUGGUCUAGUGGCUUUUGUCUUUUUCGAUAUUCUAAACUGCUUGUUUAGAAAGAGAUUGUCUACUAUAAUAUAAGGGAAAAAAGAAGACAUGAGAUCAAGUGAGAACUCAAGAAGGUUCUUUCUAGACACACGCAUAAUACAACUGAAAUCUAACUUAUCUAUUUUUAUACAAAAUAGUGCAUAUUGAUUUUGGGCUAAUAGGAUGGUAUAAAUUAAAAUUGCCAUGUUUGCAUGCUUUAUCAAGAUCAACAUGAAUCCAUCAACUGAGUUGACAUAAUAAGACCUUCAAUAAAGUAAACUAAAUGGAGACAUAGGCAGUUGUGCAGAAUUAAUAUGCCCAUAAAUAAUAAAAUAAAUUAUUUCAGAAAAUUUCUGGCAAAUUAUAUAGAUAUGAGUGUAAAAAAAAAAUGGCAAGUUAGAAUCUCUGUAGCCAUCCAACGAAAUGUGGAACUACGUAUCGGGGCAAAAACAUGUUUCAAUAAUAACUUUCUAGUGGAUAACUUUUCAUCGGACCUCGAAGAACGUUGAAAGAAAAGUUAAAAAGGAAAUUAAAAAGAACAGGUUAGAAAGCUGGCAAUCAAAUUUAUCUUUCUUAACAUUCUCCCAAAAAAGUUAGAUCAAAUUAGAAAAGGAAAAUCGUUGAGAAUUUAUAUAAUUUUUGUAAUGGGGAAAGUACCUGUAGAUAUCAAAUAAGAAAUUACUAUCAGAAUUAACAAAAUUGAGCUAAGCCAUUUGAACUCUGCAAUCUCUAAUACUGCCAUUAAAUUGAACUGAAUGACUCUUUAGAAGUUACAAGUACAUGCAUACAUACUAUACAAAAGUCCUAUGCGACACUUUUCUCUAUUUGUUCUCAAAUGAUUAAGAGAUGGAUAGAUGCAUAAUUUUAAUAUAUAUAUUUAUAGAUUUAUAAAUGUAGAAAAAUAUAAAGUAGAGGUAUAUCCUAUAAAAGGUAAUAAAUUAUGUCAACGCCAAUUAAUUUUUAAAUGACAAUUAAUAGGAGAAGUGGAAGUAAGGUGAUUAGGAUUAUUAACUUUCGCCAAGGUUGAUCUUAGGUGGUGGUUUUUUUUUUUUUUUUUUUGGGCAAGGGGAAGAUGGUCAUUAUAAUAAUAUUAAAUCUUCGGUCAUAUUCUCAAUUGUAUAAUGGGAAAAUUUCAAUUAAGAGCCUAAAAUGAAACUGUUUUCUAAAAAAAGAGCCCAAAGUGGACAUUGUAUCAAAUAAUGACCCAAAGUGAUCGAUUUAAUCUCAAAUAAUGGUUUCAACUUGAAAACCAGUCAAAUCUUAUUUGUAGCUAGGGGUAUUUUCGUCUAAAGAUUUUUUUUUCUUUUUCCUUUAUAUUUUUCUUUUCUUUCUUUUUUCAUCAUGCUCACCUCCUUUUUGACAAAUGUAUCAGACUCCUCACGCACGAGCUUGCAUAGGUGCAAAACAAUCUGAACAAUUUAGAAAAAGAAGAAAAAGAAAAGAUAUUCGAGAAGUUAUGCAGUUUUGCAAAACUGCAAAUUGCGUGCUUCAGUUCUAUAGUCUCCCCAUUAGCAAACUUCAAAGCGCAUGCUCUACAUUAUGCAAUUUUGCAUCCUCACCCAAGAACUCAUCAAUUUCGGCAUAAGCCGGUUUUUAAGUUAUUCGCCACCACCACUCACCUUCUCCGAUGACGAUAAUGAACUUGAGAAUCAAGAAAUAUCCAUUAGUGGGUUUUGUUUUUAUUCAAUUUGCUUGUAGAAACUUAUUAUGGCAAUUAAAGUAACAGUUUCAUGCUCUCCUCGCCAAUGAAAUUGUCUAUGCCACAAUAACUUUCACUCGUAGCUUCUUGGGAAUGUUUUAUUGGGUUCGGGUUGGAUUAUUCAUAACAUUCAUAGACGCAGCUUGCAUUGAGGUGAAAUAUGUGGUUUCUUGAGAGGGUCUAAUUGUGUUGUGGAUGCUAGUUAUUUUCAAAGGCUGCUGAAUCAUCAUGACCUGUGAUUGAAGAUACUCGUCUUUGGUGGCAAUUCAAAUCAGACAACACUAAAUCUAAAAAAUGAAUGACUCUAGUCUACAUAUGUUCAAACAAAUUUGCCUCUCUAAUUUUGAAAUAUUAUCUACACAAAUUUGAGAGAGAAUAACAAGAUGAAAAAAGUGCAAAAUCGCUCAAAAAUUCUCAAAACCACAUAUUUCACUGAACAAAUCAAUUCAUAUGAGUAUCAAAGAGAUUCCUCAAAAACCUCUAAUAAAUUUGGCUUAUACUUCAAUCUGGCUUCUCCUCGCUAAGAUCGAUCAUAGCUUGUGUGAGCACCGAUUUGAAUUCAAGGAUCGACAACAACGAGGGCAGCAAGCUAAUGGCUUACACCUCAUCAUGCUUCGUGCUUGACCACGACCACAAGAUGUGGGGAUCGAAUCGAGCUGAGCGUCACAUCUUGGUCCACUCGUGCUCGAUCUAGGGCUUGGAUUGACCUCCAUCUUUCAACAAAGGUACUGGAAUUGCUGUUGAGGGCAAUGACAAAUAAGGUUGAGGGUGUUGAUGGCUAAUUCGGCAAGGAAGAUAGAGAUGGACUUUGGAGAACGUGAUCUAAAGAGUGGAAAAGGCGAAGGCACAAUGAUGAUAAAGAAAAAAAAGAGAAGGAGAAAAUAAAUUUAAAAAGGAAGGAAAAAGGACAAAAAUACCCCUGGAUGCAAAUAAAAUUUGGUUGGCUUUUAAGUCGAGGUCUUAUUUGAAACUAAGUUGGUCACUUCAGUUUCUUGUUUGAGACAAUAUCCAUUUUGAGUCAUUUUUUGAAAAAACAGUUCCACUUUAGGUCUUUAAUUGAAUUUUUUCCUUGUAUAAUUUAAUUAAGUUUAAGAACUAAAAAUGAGAUUAAAUAUUAGGUUAAUACUAUAAAAACUCUAAAUUAAUAUAUUUGUAAUAAAUUUAUUUAAAUUAAUUUUUUGACCAUUAAAAACUCCAAACAGUACACUUAUGACAAAUUUAUUAUCAAUUAGUAUCCGUGCCAAAUUCUUGAGUUAGAUAACUCAUGGAACAGUUCGGAGAAUUUGUGAUUUUUGGUAACAAUCAAAUCAAACGAAAAUUAAUAGAGAUUAAAUUUGUCAUAAAUAAAUGUAUUAAUUUGAGGUUUCUUACGGUAAAAAAAUUAUUAGGACUUUCUAAUCACGCGUCAUCGUCUAGAAGAACUAUUCAGUUUCUCUUCAUCUCUGGGCAUCGGUCUGUCUCGCCCGCCCACGCCGUUGCGCUUCUGCUCAGCCCAUCGUCGCCGUGUCGCCUCCACUCGUCGCUGUCUAAUUCCUGCCUUCGCCUCCGAAGCAUCCGCCGUCUUUAUGCGUUCAACGCCCCUCCAGCUACUCCUCAUCGCCUCCUCUCUCUCUCUUUCUCUCUCUCUCUCUACUUGGACAUGCUCUCGCGGCUUUUCGCCUGCAAGGUAUCGGUCGCUGUAUUUUCUCUCAAUUUUUUCUCGUCUGGAACUGUAAGUGGGCUCGGUGGUCGUUUCAUAUAUAAAAUUGAUCCUUACUUUCAUACAGUGUACUCGUGAAAAAUUGAAACUUCGAUUGGGCUUUUGAGAGUUGCGAUACUCGAUUGUGAAGGGAAAAGGAAUUCGGUUUUUUACCCUCCCCUCGCGCAGCGCUGAAUUCUCCUAGCGACGGAAGGGAAAAAUCGAGUGAAUUGAAGCGAGGACGUUUCCAGCAUGAGUUCAGGUCUUAUUGAACGGCAACAAUUCCGGUCUUUCUCUUAGAAGCAUCAUCCGUAGUGGCAAUUCUCUUGCUUUAGGAGGCGUUUGGAGUCCUCUCAAUGCUCGAAACCCAACUAAAACAGCAGGGUUCUUGAGUUGCAAAUCAAUGUCGACGAAUUCGCCGGUGGUGCGAGUGAGGGAGAAGAUCGAUUUGACGGAGAAGGAGAAGAUGAUCUUUGAGAGGCUUCUUGCCACCGUUCGCCAUUUUGAUCUCUCCACCCAGCUGCGGGUCACUGGUGGCUGGGUCCGUGAUAAGGUUAGUGUAUUUGCUAGUGCAGCAGGGUGUUCACUUCGAUGUCCCUUUAAGUUCCUUUGCAGUACUAAUCGUGUAAAAGCAUGUUGUUUUGUCUUUCUUUUAGAUAUUUUGUCCAAUUACAUGUUUAGUUAUAUCCAGUUCAAGUUCUUACUUUCCCUUCCCAUCAGACGUGUUUUUAAUUUGUUUGAUUGAGGGUUUUUGUUUCUUUGGAGUGCAAAUUUUAGAAAAUGCAAUACUUUUGUUAUCACUUAUGAAGUUUUGUUUCUAAUCAGUUGGAAAAACGACUAAUUGAGGUCUUUAUCAUUGUUGUUCUAUUGUUUAUUAAGGUACUGGGAUUGAGACUGCAUUUUUUUGGUUAUUUAGUCAAUGGGUGUUGUUAUUUGCUGGUGAUAACUCUAUAGUGAUUUACGUAAUAAAUCUUCAAGUUUAAGAAUGCAAAUGGUUGAUUUGACAGUCUUUUUUGAAUAGAUUUAGCAUUACAAGUUACAACAGUAAUGUGAACUUCAUAAUUUUGAAGGCUGUUUUUGGGAAAUAUAGGCAUCUGCUAGUUUUUCCGGCAAUUGCCUCGGCAGUCAGCACUAUUAGCCAGUGAAGCAAGAAGUUUUCCUAAUCCACAUGAAAAACACCUAAAUACAAAAGAAAAACAAGAAGAUGUUCUCUUUUAAAAAGUCUACAAUAUCCUGUUCUCCAGGAGCACUUGCCAUUUUCAGAGGUUUAUUACUCUCAGCCUCUGCCAUUUCUAGCCUGCUGGAGGCCUAGGUGUCAUGUAAUAUUUGUGAUGGACAUUUAGACUGGUGAAUUUACUUCUAUGAAGAGUUAGGAUUACCUUGGCACCACAUUUAUGAGUUACUCUCUUAUGCAUUUGCACAUGUUCAUCUUAUAUAUGCUACUGAUUACUAAAUUUGCAUCCCCAUAUCAUCGCUAUAGCCUGUUAUUGUGUGGUGACGCCCCUUUGCCACAACCCUCAAUAAAUAGGACUUUUCCCAACCUUCGACAAGGUGCCAGGGUGAUUAUUUGAAUAGAGAAUGAUUAUGUUUUCCUAGAAAGGCCCCAGGAUGCUUUCAAACUGUUAUAAAUGAUUUAAUGUCUGUCAUUUUAAGCAAAAUUUUUUGCUUAGAAUCGUUUAUUGCAUUCAAGCUAAAUGAUUUGAAGAGAAACGAUACAAUUAUUAUACUUGAAUCAAAGUGAAUGACAUUGUGAAAAAUGGUGGAUUUAUUAUGUUAAACAUAUUCUUUGAAAAAGAUGACGAACAAUCUCUUUCUAGGGAAAGAGUGUUAUGAUAUUGAUAUUGCACUCGAUGACAUGUUGGGCAGUCAUUUGUUUAUUCUGCACGGAAGUUUAUAAUGUGAGCAGUGGUAUUUGUUCAUUGUGCACUUCGUCGUUACUGAAAAAAAGAAAGGCUGGAAAGGAGUGUUCACUAGAGUAUAAUAUAAAGAGGAACAGGUCCACGACACCUAGACAAAUAACUAAGACCUCGGGAUCAAGCAAUGCUAGUUAAGUGCGAAGGAAGAGGAUUAAAAGAGUGUUUUGAAGGUGUAGAGAUUGCUGUUAUGAAGAUGCAAGACUCUUGAUUCUUCAUGAUUAGCUGUUUCUUUUACUUCAUGAAAUUUGAUGUACUAGACAUUUAUAUACGGUGGAUUCUACAUCUUGAAUGUGAUCUAUGCGUUAGGGUUGGUGCGCAUGUGUUUUAGGUCGUGCCAGACCCUUGUAGCUUUUAGUAAGUUUCUCUGUCCAUUUCUAUCUGUGUGGUCACACUGCUCUUCAUGGACCUCAAAACCCAAUCCAAAAACUAUUAAGUAAAUCAAAUAAGUCAAAGAAGGGUCCCAAUUGCCUAACUCAUGCAUAUUUCACGAACUCUAUAUCCCUUCAAAGAAAGACUGCGUCAGAAGUUUUUUUUUUUUGGUAAUAAGACUGCGUCAGAAGUUCAUCACCUCAUGAUUGGUAAAGCAGUCUCCCAAGAGAUAAAGCCAAUCUGGAGGGAAUCAAAACUUGUAAAACCUUUUUCAUAUUGAGAUUAAUUGGCUCUCUUGUGUUUAUUUCUCCAAGGGCUUCGAAAUAUGAUUAAGUGAAGAACAAAUGGUUCACUUUAAGUGGAAUAAGGAGUGUGUUUAUUUCUCCAAGGGCUUUAAAAUAUGAUUAAGUGAAGAACAAAUGGUUCACUUUAAGUGGAUUAAGGAGUGUGUGCAGGAUGAAGUAUGUACUUUUGAGAAUACCCAUUUUCUGCUCCAUUUUUUGUCCCAUUAUUUUUUGUUUGAUCUUUUUAUGCGGUAGGUCUACUGUCUUCAUGAGCUCUGUAGAAGGGCUUUUCUUUUUUGUCUCCGGUAAUUCUCUCUUAACUUGUUUUUGUAUGUUAGUCAUGAAUUAUGAUUUUGUUGGCAUAGUUGAAUUUGCUACUUCUUAUUCAUGAAUAUUUGCCCAUGUUGUCUGAUUGAAUUAGGUUGUGGUAUAUUCUCGUGGCAGAUGCUGUCUCCAUUCUGACUGGAUAUUUUGCGGCAAACUAGACCAGUCGAAACAUCUGGAAAGAGCGAGGAUGCGCCUCUAUGAUAUAUGGAUAGAUUUGUGAACUUAAGGUCUGAAAAGUACAAUGAGAAUAGCCACAUUCCCACCCAGAUGGUAUGCAUUAGUACAGCUGUUAAUUCAUCUGUCGUGUGUUUUAUUUCCACCCAUAUCUCAUUAUCUUGUUUAGUCAGAGCUUAUUAGACAGUAUCAUUACUAGAAAAUAGCAAAAAUAGUUUUUAGCUCUUUUGUGAACUUUCUUUUUUAGGGAAAGAAAGACAACCGAAUUUAGUUAGGUGGUAUCAAUAGGGCAGCCACUUGUAUGCUCAAUGGCGACACUGGUACUUGAGGAAUGCAAGUGUACAAAUGACAAGUAUGUAGCUCAUAAUCAACAGUAAAGUGAAUUGAAUUCUGACAAUCACAUGUGUAUUCUCAAGCAGUCUUGGUCUGGGAACUUUCCUCUAAACUAUUAUUCUUUCUUUUGCUAAUUCACUUGAGUGACUUGUCGAACAAACUUACUUUCUAUAGGUGUCGAGUACGUCGUCAUAGAUAAGAGGGCCUAAGAAUCGUCAUGAAAGCUAAAUGCAAUGAGCUCAUGGCCUUUUACAUUUUGUAUCCAUGGCCAUUCAUUCGUGACAUUAGCACAGUGUUUUCUCUUAGAUUGUCAAUGCUUGGAGCAAAUAUUUGUUUAUUUAUCGCUGUGUCUUCUCUCUCCAUGCACUGUUGCUUCCAAUGUGCUUGCGCUUUUGUUCAACUAUUUAUGACCCGAAAAUCUUGCUAGUUUCUUGGUUGUCACUUUUGUGAAUGGUCGUUCAAUUUGACCUCUCUUACAGGGAUUUGGCACCGCAAAAGAGUUUUGCGACAUCAAAAAGGAGCUUUCUGCUACUUUAUCUAUUGUCUGGUCAUCUUUGUGCCUCCAUGUUCAUAAUGUUGUGUUAAUUUCAGGCACGAGGUUCAGAUUUACGUUGGAUGAAGAGCUGAAGAGAGCUGCCACGUCCAAUGAUGUCAAAGAUGCACUUGCAGCUAAAAUCAGUGACGAGCGCACUAGUAACAGAAGCAUGAGUCUCUAACUUUCCUCUAUUGGCUGCUUUAUCUCGUAUAAUUGUUUUUUGGUGGAAGUUCUUGUACAUUUGGCCUUUAUCUUUUCUCUCAACAUCUGUAUAUGAUUUGUAUUUUCCGUUUGAAUGUUACUUCUCAUUAAUGAGAUGCGAUCAAAGUUUUUCCUCUUCUUCGGUAUGGCAGGUUGAUCUGAUGAUAUCAGGCGAUGAACCAGUUAAAGCUAUUGCUUACAUCUGUGAGUUGCAAUUGUUUUGGUUUGUUGGGUUGUGUUCACAAUUGACCAUUUCUGAAAGAGCAAUUCAUGCCUAAAAUGUUGAAAACCGAUGGUUUAGGACUCACAGAGUGACCAUAUAUCAGGUGAGAAGUAAAACUUCUUGUAAAAUUAACUAAUGCGAAAGCUAUUAAGGAUUUUGUAAUUAAGUUAAUGUGAGAUCAUCGAAAAAAAUAAAAGAGAAACAAUAAAGGACUGCAAAUGUUUACGUGAUUCAGUCCGAGUAUUGGUAUCUAUAUCCACGAGGAAUGCUACUAGUGAAAAUCUACUAUAAUCGGAGAAUUUGAGUUACAAUUAUUCAACAUGCUCUAGUGUUUCUCAUGACUAACUUAAACUCAAACCCAAGGUAUUAACAAAUAGACAACUCAUUUCGGAUUUAAAAAACUCAGUACAAAUCGCACGCUUUGCCCGCGAGCAAGUAAAAGCUCUCUUCGAAAUGGCUGAAAAUCAAGGACCUACUCUGUUCUUGGUUUCCUUUCUUCGUAGCAUGACUUUCUAGGAAGUCCUAGGAAGUCCUAGGAAGUCACUGUGCAGCCGUCAAAUCCUCCAUUUUUCUGUGCAGCUACAACUCUAAAACAACAUGAGUACGUGUUUGUGCCCCUCUCUUAGGUUCGGCCAAUCUACAGUACUUUUAAAGUCUAACUCUUGGUUUGGGUUAAACUCGUAUAUUUAUCCAAUUGGAUUGGUUUCGCCGUGUAAAAAGGUGUCUUGAUCAAUGGAAUGCAUUUGCUUUUGAAGGUCUUCACUUAUUAUAUAGUUCAACCAGGAAGAGACUUCACUUGCACCUUGUUAGGACUCAGAGCUCACUCACAAUGGAAAAGCAUGUGGUGAUUAUGUUCCUCUUUUUCUAUGCUCAGCUCCCAUUAUGGACGAGUUCAGCGAUGCAAAUGAACCAGAUGGAUUGGCCCAAUUUAAUCUAUUUUAGAGUGUGUGGAUGACGAUCCGCUCAGAGUCUUGAGCUUGCGGAAUGACUCUUCUCAUCACUAUGAGUGGCAAGGUGUUGUGUGCAGUAAAUAGCAUCCUAAAAGGGUUGUGUCCCUCGACCUGAGGUCGAAAGGCUUGAGCGGUCUUCUAUCUCCUCAUGUUGGAAACCUCUCUUUCUUGAGAAGCCUUAUUCUACAAAACAACGGUUUUUGUGGCGAAAUUCCACAAAGCAUUGGCCACUUGUUUCACCUACCCCUUCUCGUUCUUAGUAACAAUUCUUUCGGCGGAGAAAUGCCCACCGAUAUUUCUCAGAGUUCAAACCUUGUUAUUUUGAAUCUCAUCAAUAACCAACUUGUAGGCAAACUUCCCUAUGAGCUCGGCUCUUUGUCAAAGCUUCAAGCUUUAGAUUCGGCUAAAAACAGUUACAAGAUCUAUUGCUCAUUCUAUUGGAAAACUCUCCCGAUUUUGCACUAUUUUCAUCGUAAAAAAUGGGUUGCAAGGAGAGAUUCCCGAGACAUUGUCCAUGUGACAUCCUAAAUUUUUAGUACUGUUUUCAAUUGAAUAAAUCAAGCCUUUCAUCGAUGCGUCUAUGGCGCUAUUCUCAGAGCCGAUCACUCGUGAGAUAACUAAACUAUCUGGGAAGUCAUCAAGAGAUUUUAAUGCAAUGGACUUGAGAAUUCAAUCAGAAGUCGAUUACUCGACCAUACUAGUCUGCAAAGGUCAUUACGGCAUUGUCAAAAUCGAUCCGAAAUCAGGGAUAAAUUGAUUCAACUGAGAUAUGUGAUCAGAGUGUGGGUGAUUCCACUUGAUUGCAAAAUUCUCGUCAAUCGGUACUAGAUCGAUUUUCUGUCGUUUUGGGUACCAUGUGCCCGUAAUUGAAACUUGAGAUUUUCACGACCACUGAGAGUCGCAAAUGUGUCGAGUGGGUUCAUUGUGGCUCAAUGAAAAUCGAACACGAGUCAUUUGUACUAAAAAUUUCUGAAACCUACCAAGUAGCCUAGGUCACACUAAAAACGCGUUGGAUUGAUAUUAAUCGCGAAUUUGAAUCCGAUUUCAGAAAUUGAAGAUUCUAUCAUGUCAUAAUAAAUUCUAGGAGCGUCAACUCAGUCUCAAAAGAUUUUUCUGCAACCCGAGACUUUUUGGAAAAAAGUCAGCGUGGGACCGUUUUUGAUCGCGAAAUUAGGAUGUAAGAUGGUUCAAGGGAUGAGGAAAAAUAUUAGAUUGAGUAUUGACUCGACCACGGGAUUUGUUGAGGUUGAAUUGGAUUGAAUUAAGCACAAACAGGUGUCCAAUUAAAGCCUUUUGCUUGGAAUUUCGUACGCCCCCACCACCCUUAACAUUUGGACCACCAUAAGCUUCUAGAUGGAGGCCACCAUAAGCUUCUAGAUGGAGGCCUUAUUGGCUGAAAGAGGGCCAAGGGACCAUACUUGGCCAAGGAAGAGUCAAGGGGACAAAGCAUUGGAAGAAUUGGCCAAUGAGACCCCACCAAAGCCAAGCUUGUCCCUCACUCCAUCUCUCUCUUCCUCUCCAAGCCAAUCGGCCAGCCUUCCUCUCCCUCCAUCCUUGUUGUUUGAAGACCACCCUUGUUGUUUGAAGACCACCAGUAGCUAAGGAAGUUGCUGGAGCAGCCAAACCACCGCCGGAUCAUUUUCCUCAUUUUUUUUUCUUUUCUGCUGGUUUCUGCUCCAGUUGACCUUUCGCCAAAGAUCUGAGUUGAAAGUGGUCUUCCUGAACGAAUUAGCCAACAAUCCACCCAUCACCAUGACCAACACAUCCAGACCGUUCCAAAGAGCCUGACCUCACCCUGAAUGGAGCCGCCGGCCGUCUUGUAUGGCUGUCGCAAGCCGCCAAUCGCCGGUCCGUUGGUCCCCUGCUCACCUGAACUGUUUUGCGUUUUUCCCGAGUUUCUCUCAAUUUAGACCCUUCCCUUGCCCGUUAUAACCACCAACACAUCCCCCCUGACCCCGGGAUCCAUUGGUUGCCGACCACCCACUCGCUGGAGCUCCGAUCAGCCCAUUUUCGCCAUUGAAGCCGCUGGUUUCCUCUUUGCAAUCCAGCAAGUAGAAGCAGAAGCCUAACCAACCUUGUUUCCUUGUUUUUGCAGCUCAAAACAGAGGCUGAGUUUGUGGGUAUCCAGCCACCUUCAAGGCUCGUUUUGAGGUGGUCUUGAGCCUCGGUUGCUAGGCCCGCCUUGAGGAAAAUCAAGCCCCGCGACGUUUCUGUUGUUUUGCAUCGAAUCGUUCGUUAAACAAGUAAAUUUUACUCACUAAUCCUCACUUAGUAGGCUAAUGAUGCUUAGGGAUUGAUUAGAUUUAAUUAAGUGUGAUUAAGUGGAUAGAUUAGAGUAUAACAAUUAAAUUAGUGUUUUAUCAAUGCAUGUUGGGUAAUUGGUUAGUGAUAUUAGCAAGUAGACUCGUGUUAUUAUUUAUUGAACGAGUCUCGAAAAUUUUCCGAGUCUGUUUCGACGUCCAGCAUUACGGGCCUAAAUUGGAUUUAUUGCAUUUAUUUAAGAAUUUUCGUAAUUAAUUAAUUAAUUCAUUAAUUUUCGGAAAUUAGAUUGGGAUAGACGACCGGAAUUUUAUGCUGAUUAUUAUGAUGCAGUCUGUUUAUUUAUUUGAGUGCUAAAUCGUGUUGAAUCGAUUUAAUUCUGAUUUUAGGUUUUUAUUCCUAAAUUAACCAAUUUUGAUAAUUGAUUGGAAAAUAAUCGAACGUCGGUUUACAACGCCAAAAAUAUUUUAGUAGACCAUAUAAAUGGUGAAAUUUUCAAUGGUGAAAAUACUGUAUUUUGGUUAAGGCCGAUCGUAUACUUAUACACGGCUAUUUUUAUCGAGUAUGAUAAAAAUGAUGAAUUGUUAUAUGAUGAAAAUGGUAUACUAUCUUGGCUUGGGGGCCCUAAUCUAUCAGCUUUGGGCAAGCAUAUAAAUAGUAUACCAUAGUAUCAACUUUGGGUGAUCACAUAUUAUCAGCUUUGGGCGAAUAUGUAUAGUAUACUAGAUUGGCCUAGGAGCCCUAAUCUAUCAGCUUUGGGCGAACAUAUAUACAGUAUACUAUAUUAUCAGCUUUUAACGAGCUAUAUUAUCUAUUUCCAGCUUUGGAUGAGCAGUCCUAGAUUAAGGUCGGACUUUAUAGAUAGUAUUAAAUGUACCGACUAGGGGAAGGUCGUGGUGACAUGUAAUCGAUUAGGUCGAUUGAUCAAUGAUUUGAUCUGAUGCUGUAAAUUGAUGUGGUUCUUGUAUAUCUGAUAUGUACUAACAUGCAGGAUGGAACUAAGGCCAAGGUAAGUCCUCUAUCUUGUGUUGUGCUUAAGCAGCCUCUAGAGUGUAUUGGCUUCCUAAUCAGGUCUUAGGGGGUAGAACUUGCUGAGACGUUGUCUCACUGGUUAUACUUUUCAAGCCCUUAGUUGAAAGCAAUGGGGGAGCCCGAGGCCUGAAGUUUAGAAGGUGAAGCCCGGAGAAUUGGUGAGCAUGUCUGACUAGCUAGUCCUAGGACAUUCCUCUUUUGUUGAAAGCCGAUUCCUUUUUGUAGGUUUCUGUGUAUAAACCUAUGUGUUUAUAAAAAAGUAUUUUGAGAAAAAUUGGUCCUACUUUUAUAUCUCAUAUUGUUGUUGUUUGGGGAUUUAUUAAUUGCUUCCGCAUGCAUAUUAAAAAGAACAAGGUCGGCGAUGCAUCCUGGGACAUUGCUAUUAUAUCGACUAAGGAGGGAUGGACGCUCGCUCGAGGAUCGGGGCAUGACAGUCCAAGCGUUGUGGUUUGAGUUUUGUUCAAUUGGCAUAUAAUCAACUUAUCGGUGAGAUCCCUCGAGCAAUCUUCAACAUCUUCGGGAUUUUCUAUUUUGACACCAAUGACAAUCAAUUGAGAGGCAUCAUUUCCCCUUAUAUCAUCGAUACUCUUCCUUCUCUCACUUAUCUUGAUUUUAGGUGCAAUUUGUUUACUAGGUGCAAUUUGUUUACUAGCAUUACACCUCCAUCCUUAUCAGAUGUCUUUGGCCUUUAGUACAUCAACUUUAACAAUGACAGUUUUCACGGAUCAAUGCCCGCAAAUCUUGGAAGGUUAAACGCUCUUUAAGUAAUGCACAUUUCUUCUAAUUAGUUGCGAGAUGACUUUAGUUUCAUUAUAUUGCAAUCUAACCUCUAAUGGACUACUAAGUCUAAAUUUAGCUAGACUCUCCCAAGCCCAUAUUAAUUCGCGACUAAUCUAUUCUUUGGUACAUUAAUUAGAUAAUGAGAGGUCGAUUAGAUGAUGAAAGAUUUACUUUAUUCAUACUAACUAGAGAUAAAUGAGUUCGGGACUUGAUUAGGCUAUUUCGGUAGCUUUUCUCUUUUAUUCCGAAAAAAUAUUUUGCAGGCAGUUUGAAUUGAUUUUAAUUUAUUUUCCCAACAUAUGAGGUGACAAUAUAGUUACACAAUCCAGCAAUUUAACACUAAAAAACGCAAUAGAUAAAUCACGGGACUUAUCUCAUAGCAAUGAAAACAUCUACAGUGUUAGCUCAUAAUUCACAUCAACCACCAUAAUUUAUGAACAUUUCCAAUUCAAGCCGGUAAGUGGAUCGCAACAGUGGCCAAUAUCGAGGCUGCAGACUAAGAGGACACAGCAAUGAUGACGGGUCUGGAUUCCAGUGAGCGAUUGCGGCGAGGUAGGUGGCUGGCGGGUUUGUAGAGCAACGAGAAUAACCGCGAGCUUGGCGAUUCGCAGCACGGAAGGUGGCUUACUGUUGAUACUCGAUUGGAUCAGUCGCCAGACAAACCUCAAGCGACCUACAAAACAAGAAACUUAUCGUCGUGGGGAUGGAGGCCGGCUUGAUCGCGACUCGGGGACAGCAAGGACGUCACUGCGACGACUCACACCGACAUAAUGCGGGUUAGUUGCGGGAGCUUUCGGCUUAGCAAGAUCGAAUAGCCACGGAGGACAGUGAGCAACGGUGUGAUGGUGCAGCGGAACAACAACUGUUCGUCGUUCAUUCAGGGCAGCGACCGGGCGUCGCAGAGUUGGACACGACAGCAGCAACGCCUUCACGGACUGACGUUGUCUCAGCCGGUUGGGGCGGUUCAGGCGCUCGCUGGAGUACGUGGACGCAGCUGACUUCGCUGGUCGCUUCGCCAAGAGAUGCGUCUCUCUCUACUGUUGUGUGUCGGCCUCCAAGUAGUGAUGGUCAGAUCAUGGGAUAAUUCAUGCGAUCAUCCGUGAUCAUGAGGAAUUGUAAAAAUAAUAUAGUGGAGUAUGUGAUUGGCUCGAAGAAAAAGGGGCAGAGGCGUGAAUGUGAUGAGGGGAGGAGAGAAAUAUCGUAAAAAAUCUGAAUUGAGGCAGUCGCUUCUCUCUCUCUCUCUCUCUCUCUCUCUGUACCUCCCACAAUUUCUUCUCUUUUUUCGUGAAUGAAUGUGCUCUCCCUCUGAAUUGUGGUGCCUCCCCCUUUGUCGUAAAGGGCUUGAAUUAUCAAGGAAAGUCAACAAAUUUUAUCUCUUCUAUUGGAUUCUCUUAAAAUAUUUUGUCCUUUGUCAUGCAUGAAAUCUCCCUUGACCAUGUGAUCUUUCUUAUUUUGGGACAAAGAAUAUAUCACUCAAUAUAUACCCCACGUGCAAUAUUCCCUCUUAUUAUUUCGAUAUUCCAUCCGAUAUCUUUCAAUCUACUACAAAAUAUAUCACUCUAUGUAUAUGCAUAUGAAAGAUUUAUUGAAUAUUGAAAGAAUAACAGAAAUCUUUUCCGAUAAUGUCAAAUCAUCAUUUCUGAUAAGUCAAUUUUUUAUCAUUAGAGAAUAAUGGGCUUGAGUCAAUUCCCUCUCUUUGUGGGCUUAGUCCAACUCAUUAAAUUAAAUCUCAAAACCAUUAAUUCAAAUCCAUCCGCAAUCAGUCUAAUGCAAAUGCAAUAAUAAAUGCUCCUAAAAUUAUAUGCUAUGCAAUUUGAUUCUAGUUUUUUCUUUUUUCGUUUAGGCGUUAAAAAUUAAUCCUUAAUUUUUAUGUAAUAAAUAAACGAUUAGGUUGUCAAAAUUUAGGUGUCGACACAUUACUUCAUUGACUAAUUGUUUACGAUUGCAAAUUAUUGGGGUGGGCCUCAAUUUUCUUGAAGGUUGUCGGAUUCCAUCGGCAAUCUUUCCAACAUUGUUGGAGCAAUGAUAUGUCAUACAACCCAAUGCACAGAAACAUCUGUCCAAGUAUUGGCAAUCUCUUCAACCUAUUCUAUCUUGAAUUAUCAAACAAUUCACUAGGCGAUCAUGUUCCUUCUUGUAUUGGAGCGCUCCAUAACUCACAAGUAUUUUACUUAAUCAAUGAGAGCUCUCAUCAUCGAUCAGCAAUUUGACAUUAUUGAAUCGCGUUUACUUGCCAUUCAAGGACUUCUAGGGGGAAAUAUGGCAGAGCCUUGGUAACUGCAAGCAGCUAAUUGAGCUCAAGCUUUCGAACAAUAAUCUGAGUGGUUCAAUCUUAGGGGAGGUUCUUGGCCUUUCUACUACUUCGAUUAUCUUUAGCUUGGCAAAUAACCAGUUGAGCGGAUCUCUUUUGUCUCCAGUUGGGUCCUUGGCCAAUCUUGUCGAACUAGAUCUAUCUUACAAUAAGUUGACAUGACCAAUUCUUGGCUCCAUCAAAAAGUGCUUGCUACUGUAGCAACUCAACUUUGUAAUCAAUUACUUUCAUGGUGAAAUUCCUUCGGCUUUAGGCACAUUAUGGGGCUUACAAGAGUUGGAUGUUUCCCACAACGACUUCUAUGGUGAAAUCCCAAGCUUUCUUGCUCAACUUACAUGAUUAAGGUACUUGAAUCUAUCUUUAAACAAGCUUAAACGAGAAGUUCCAAAGCAAGGAGUAUUUCUCAAUGCUAAUGCAGUGUCAAUUUUUGAGAAUUGGAAUCUUUGUGGAGGUAUGGCAGAACUAAACCUUCCUUCAUGCAAAUCAAAUACCUCAAAAUCAUUAUGGACCAAAAAAGUUAAGAGUAAUCGCCACACUAGGAGCCAUCUUGUAACAUUUCAUUUAGUGUCUUUGCCUAUUUAUCUUUUGGUGCCGGAGAAAGAAGUCGAAAAAGAAUACCUCUUUAACUGAAUUGCCGUUUGAACACAAAUUUCGAUGGCCUCUUAUGAGGAGCUCUUUAGAGCCUUGGACGGAUUCUUUGAAAUCAAUGUGAUAAGUAAAGGGAGAUACGGUACUAUCUAUAAAUCAACCACAUAGGAAGGUAGCCGGGUGGCGGUUAAAGUGCUCAACUUGGGCCACAAAGGUGCUUCAAAGAGCUUCGUCUUGGAAAUGUUGAACUUUAGGGGACAUAAGACACCGAAAUGUUAUGAAGAUAUUGAACACACGCGUGGACUAUCAUGGCAACAAUUUCAAAGCUUUAUUGUAUGAAACAUGGCUAAUGGGAGAUUAGAGAAUUGGAUACACCAAGGAAACGAAGAGGAUGUUGAUCAUGAACAUGAACAUGGAAAGCGAGGACAUCUGAGACUAAUGCAAAGGUUAGACAUUGCCAUUGACAUAGCUUCCACAAUCAAAUAUCUUCAUGGGAAUUGCAGCCCAAAGAUUUGUACACAAAGAUCUAAAGUCGAGUAUCGUCCUUUUGGACAACAAGAUGAUGGGAUGAGUUGGGGAUUUAGGGCUAGCGACAAUCAUCUCCUUGGCAACAACAGAGGCCACGGACAUUGAUGACCGCAGCAACUCAGUGUUAGUGAGGGGUUCCAUAGGCUAUGUCUCUCCUGGUAAGAAAAUUUUCUCAUCAAUUGUCUAAGUUUUAUUUGUGUUGGCCUUUAGACGAAAUAUUUAUUUUCAUUGUAUAUUGCAUGAUGUACAUUAUUUUAGAGCAUGGCAUGGGGGACAUGGUAUCCACCAAAUCUCCACAACUUUGUCAAGGUGGCUCUGCCAGACCGAGUGAUGGAGAUCGUGGACUUGGCCAUUUUUAACUGAGAGAGUGAGAAUGACAUCGAGAGGAUGAGAGACUGCAUCGCUUCCAUCUUAAGGAUUGGACUAGCGUGCUCAAUGGUCACCGCGGGAUCGGAUGGAUGUGGCCGAAAUACUUAAGGAACUGCAUAAGAUCUGAGCUAGGUAUGGAUCCAAGUAGUGGCUUGGUUGAAGCAAGACACUUGGACUAGACUUUGUCUUAAGAUGGUUCUUUUGCAGUACCAAUCGUGGAAAAGCAUGUUGUUUUGUGUUUGUUUUGAGAUAUUUUGUCCAAUUACAUGUUUAGUUAUAUCCAGUACAAGUUCUUACUUUUCCCUUCCCUUGAAACGCGUUUUUUCUUUGUUUCUUUGUUUCUUUGAAGUGCGAAUUUCAGAAGAUGUAGUACUUUUGUUAUUACUUAUGAAAUCUUGUUUCUACAAUCAGUAGGAACAUCGACUAAUCGAGGUCUUUAUCGUUGUGGUUCUAUUGUUUGUUCAGGUACUGGGAUUGAGACUGCACUUUUUUGAUUAUUUAGUCAUUGGGCGUUAUUAUUUGCAGGGGAUAACUCUAUGGUGAUGUAUUAAUGAAUCUUCAAGGACGUGCGGACCCCUGGAGUGCCUUAACUUUGCCCAAAUGGACACUUAAGUGCCAUAACUUACGAAAGGUACACUUAAGUGCCAAAAUCAGAGUAAAAGGAAUCACUUGAGUCCUAAUCCGGCCAAAACGUCGACGUGGCAUUUUUCCGGCGAACCGAGCCCAAAACGACGAUGUUUUGCAAGCUGACGUGGCCAAAUAAUGCAAAAACGGCGUCGUUUUGGACUAACGUGGUAAAAAAAUAUAAAAAAUUAAUUAAAUUAAAUUUAGUUAAAAUAUUAAAAAAUAAUAAUUUUAAAAUUAAAUUUAGUUAAAAUAUUAAAAAAAAUAAUNNNNNNNNNNNNNNNNNNNNNNNNNNNNNNNNNNNNNNNNNNNNNNNNNNNNNNNNNNNNNNNNNNNNNNNNNNNNNNNNNNNNNNNNNNNNNNNNNNNNCACGUCAUCGUGCAAAACGGCGUCGUUUGGGCGCACUUCGCCGGAAAAAUGCUACGUCGGCGUUUUGGCCGGACUUUGGCUGGAGUGGCACUCAAGUGAUCUGUUUUUCUUCGAAUGUGACACUUAAGUGUACCUUUCGUAAGUUAUAGCAUUUAAGUGUUUAUUUGGGCAAAGUUAUGGCACUUGAAGCGUUCUUUUGUCAAUCUUCAAGUUUAAAAAUGCGAAUGGUUGAUUUGACAGUUUUUUUUUUAUAGGUUUAGUACAAUUUAAAACAAUAAUUCACGUGUACCAACAUCCGUUGGCCUAAGUGGUAAGGAGCUUGGGUUCCCUUAAACAAUAAUUCAUGUGAAAAAUACCUAAAUACAAAACAAAAACAAGAAGAUGUACUCUUUCAAAAGGUGUACAAUAGCCUAUUUUCCUUGAUUAGCCGCCGCUUUUGGUGGUUUAUUACUCUCAGCCGCUGCCAUCUUGAGCCAGUUGGGUGCCCUUACGUGUCACGUAGUAUUAGUGACUGACAUUUAGACAGGUGAAUUUACUUCUAUGAAGAGUUAGCAUUCUCUUGACACUACAUUUAUGAGUUACUCUCUUAUGUACAUGCACGCAUUCACAAUAUAUACGCAUUCCCUAUCAUCACUAUGGGUGCGUUUAGUUGGACUUUUGGGGAAAACCUGUGGAAAAAUAUAAAGGACUUUGAGUUAAAGGGGUUUUCCAAAAUGCAAAUUGUGUUUGGUAAAUUGUAGUUUGAAAGUCCAUUGUAAAAUACUUUUGUGUAAAAUAGCAUUCGGAGAGAUAAAUUUACAAAUGACUUUGAUGAUUAAUAAAAAAAGAAAAAAAAAAUAUGAGGCACGGUGGGCACCAGAUCGAGCUCCUUCUUUCACCUCCUUGAAGGGCUGGAACACGACGUUGGUGAGCAGUCGGCUGUUCGACUCCUUGCUCGCGCCGACCACCAGGGAGCCUCCGUGCCCGCCGCUCGAGAACCGAAGCGUCGUCGGAUUCGCCCCCACGGGGGAAGACAACAGCGGCGGGGAGAGGCUGUCGCUGGCGGGGCCAAGGAGUGAAAAAGCAGGGGCGGCGUGGAGGAGCAUGGUUGGAGAAUCAGAAUGGGCCGAGAAUCGGUGGCGGAGCUUCGAGGGGAGAGAAAUGGAGAAGCGGAGGAGCUUCGACAGGAGCUUCGACCUCACACAAAGAGCGAGGUCGUGCGACCUCCUGGCGACUAGAUCUGGGUUCGUCGGAGGUCACGCAACCUGAGGCGCGACCCGACCUGGGUCGCGCCUCAAGUCGCGUGACCUCUGGCGCCGACGCGACCCAGAUUUGGUCGUCGCGAGGUUGCGUGACCUAAAUCUGGGUCGCGCCUGGGCCGUGUGUCGCGCGGACUAGAUGCCGCCGGAGGUCGCAUGACCCACCGGCGACGGUCGCCGUGACCGUCAUCGGCCUCUCGCUAGUCCGUCGUCCGCCCUCAGCAGCCCUGCACAAUCCAAACGCUUGAACGAAGAAGAUGAAUAAUAGAAAGUCUACGAAUAAGAUGAACAGUAGAAGGGUGAAACAAAUGCAAAGCCAAAGCUAAAAGCCCAAGGCAGGGUGCCUUGGGCUUUCAGCUUUCAGAAGGCUGGCUUUGGCUCAAUGGGGUUUUUAAAAAUUUUCCCAAACACCUUAUACUUGACCAAAAGACCUUUAGGUGUCUAAAGGUACUUGGGAAAGUAGUUCCCAAACGCAGCCUAUAACCUGUUAUUGGGUGGUGAUGCCCCUUUGCUACAACCCUUAAUAAAUAGGACCUUUCCCAACCUUCAACAAGGUGUCGGGGUAACUAUUUGAGUAGAGAAUGAUCAUAUGUUCCUAGAAAGCCACGAAUAUGCUUUCAAACUAUUAUAGAUGAUUUAUUGUCUGUCCUUUAUAUCAAUUUUUUUUAUCAGAAUCAUUUAUCAUGUUAAAGCUGGAAUUGAUUUUUAGAGAAAGGGUACAAUUAUUGCACUUGAAUCGAUGUGAAUGACAUUGUGAAAUUGGUGUGUUUAUUGUGUUAAACCUUUUCUUUGAAGAAGAUGACAAACAAACUCACGUUUUCUCAUUUUUACAAAGAGUGUUAUGAUAUCGAUAUUGCCCUUGAUGACAUGUUGGGUGGUACAUUCGUUGAUAAGGUUACCCAAUAUUUGGCGUCUACUGGGGAAGAAGCAUAAGGUCUGGUUGUUAAACUAAGAUACACUGAGCUUCGUGCUUGCCUCUAGCCUUCAAAUAUUAGCUUUUCAUAGUUUGAUGUAUGAAUGUAUGAUUUGACAUGAAGCUCAUAUGUGAGUGUCAGUCAUUGUUUAUUCUGCACCGGAAGUUUAUAAUGUGAGCAGUGGUUAUUUGUUUAUUGUGCACCGCAUUUCUUACAUAGUGAUCUCUUUGUCCCUGUAAAAAAUGAAAGACUGGAAAGGAGUGUUCACUGGAGUAAAAAAAUGAAGAGGAAUAGGUCCACAAUACCAAGUCAAAUAACUAGGACCUCGGGAUCAAGCAUUGCUAGCUAAGUGCGAAGGAAGAGGAUUAAAAGAGUGUUUUGAAGGCGUGGAGAUUGCUGUUUUGAAGAUGCAAUACUCUUGAUUCUUCAUGAUUAACUAUUUCUUUUACUUAACAAAAUUUGAAGUGCUAGACAUUUAAUAUAUAGUGGAUUCUCUAUCUUGAAUGUGAUCUAUGUGUUAGGGCUGGCACGCAUGCGGCUUAGGUUGUGCCAGACCCGUGUAGCUUUUAGAAAGUUUCAUUGGAAACAAUCCAUUUCUAUCCCUAUGGUCACAAGCCAAAUGUUUGACAUGCCAACAAGUGAAGGCACAACAUUGCAAAUUUGGUAAACUUUUGCAAUCUCUCGAGAUUCCCAAGUGGAAAUGAGAACAUAUCACAAUGGAUUUUGUGAUGGGAUUGCCAAGGAGUCAGCGAGGUAACGAUUCCAUAUGGGUUGUGGUUGAUAGAUUGACAAAGUCUGCGCACUUCAUCGCCGUACGAAAGGACUUUGCAUUAGAUAGAUAUACUGAAUUGCACGUGCGACAAAUUGUUUGUCUUUAUGGAGUGCUAGUGAUGAUCACGUCAAAUUGAGACCUAAAGUUUACAGCAGCUUUUUGGAAAAGUUUACAAACUGCCUAGAACAAAGCUGCAGUACAGCACGGUCUACCAUCCGUAGAUAGAUGGUCAGUCUAAGAGGACUAUUCAAACUCUCGAGGACAUGCUGCGAGCUUGUGUAUUGGACUUCAAAGGAAGCUUGGAGAAAUAGCUUCAUCUAGUUGAGUUCGCCUACAACAACAGCUAUCAGCAAAGCAUCAAGAUGGCACCAUUUGAAGCGUUGUAUGGCAGGGCCUGCAGGACUCUUGUUUGUUGGGAUGAAGUUAGAGAGCGUAAGAUUAUGAGCCCUGAGUUGGUUCAACAGUCAGUUGACGCUGUCAAAGUCAUUUGAGAAAGGCUCCAGACCACCCAGAGUCGUUAGAAGAGCUAUGUAGAUAAGCGACGUAGACCUUUGGAGUUCCAAGUAAGUGAACACGUAUUCCUCAAAGCGUCACCGAUGAGGGGUACUUCGUGUUUUGGCAAUAAAUGAAAGCUAUGCCCGAGGUACGUUAGCCCUUUUGAAAUUUUGGAGCGAAUUGGGACUUUGACAUAUCAUCUUGCGUUGCCACCAAGAUUUGCUCAAGUGCAUGAUGUCUUCCAUGUGUCGAUGCUAAAGAAGUAUGAACCGGACUCAAUCCACGUACUGAAUUUCGAGGAUUUAGACGUGGACAAGAGAGUGUCGUACGUGGAGAGACUAGUUUGAGUAACGGAGAGAAAAGAAAAGAGCAAGUGCUACGUAGCAAGACAAUUCCCUUGGUUAAAAUGAUUUGGCAACACCACGGAAUGGAGGGAGCCAUGUGGGAAAGCAAAGAGUCGAUGAGACGUCAACACCCUCAUCUUUUUGUGGGAGGGUUGUAGUAGUUUAAAUUUCGAUGACGAAAUUUUUGUAAGAAGGGAAGAGUUGUGAUGUUCCGAAAUUUGGCCCAUAUUUCAAAAUAUAUAAAAUAGUUAUUUUAUUGACGCGCUUAUGAUUAUUUUACUCUGAAAUGAUCACUCACGAGUUAACUAAUUUAUUAGGUGAUGCCGUAAAGGAUUAUAAGCAAAAGACUAGAGAAUUCGAUCAAAAAUCGACCGCUCAUCCAUAAGGAUCGACAAUGGUCAAUACUUUACUGUUAUAAAACAAUUAGUGGACUGAUAUAAGUUGAUUUGAUGGAAGUACGUAGUCGAUUCGUGGGUGAUUCCGCGUGAUUACGAUAUUCGCGUUGAACGAUAAUAAACCGAUUUUCUAUUAAUAUAAUAUUUAGGAUACGUAAUUGAACCCUUGCGAUUACAUGACAACUGAGGGUCGUCUACGAUUCGAAAAUGCACAAACGUGGGUUGAAAAUUAUCGACUACGAGUCAAACCCGCAAGAACCUUUAAAAGCUACCCAAUAGAUUAGGUUGUAUUAAAGUUGCAUUCAAUCGAUUUUUAACCGCGAAAUUUAAUUCAAUUUGGGGUAUUGAACUUUCGAGGGUCUCGCGAUUUAAUUAUCGGACGUCGUCUCAUCGUUCAUCAAAUUAUCGACGAGUCCGAAAUUUUUCAGAAAAAGAAAAUAUUGGACAAAAAAAAGGAAAAAGAAAUUCGGAUGAAGAAGCAAAUUGAAAUUUUGCUACCCAAAAAGGUUUAUUUUUAAAAAAUUAGAAUUAAGAAGAUAUUUGGGGGAUAAUAAUAGGCUUAGAAGACUUUAGGGGCAAGUGAAUUGAAUGUGAUGAUGAGUUUGGGGAUAUUAUCUUAGAAUCCCUUUUUGUUUUAUUUAUUUUCUUCCCUCUCCUUCUCUCUUCUUCCUCUCUCCCACGCCACUUUCUCUUCCCCCACCAGCAGAACAGCCCCUCCGUUUUUCCUUUAUUUUCUCCUUCUCUUCUCUAUUUCUCUUUUCUUCCCACACCACUUUUCUUUUCCCCCACCAAUAGAACAGCCCCCCCCCCCCCCCCCUUUCUUUCCUUAUCUCCUCCUGGCAACAUCCAUCUCCACCAUCACGCCAAUCCCAUCUUCCCUUCCUCUUUUUCUGAUUCUUUUUACUUCAUUUUGCUGUCUUCAUCAUCCCACCACCACCAUCGUCACCUUGACCCCAUCACCACCACCUUGGCCACACCAUCGUCACCGCCGUAAAGUCACUGUCCACUCCCGCCAUCCUUGUCGCCAUUGCUUCGCCAUCACCACCACCGUUUGUCACGCUCCGAACUUCAAGUCUGUGCCCAUCCCUCGAUGGUCGAUAAAAUUGCGACGUCCCAGGACGCGUUGCCAACCCAUUCAUUUUUUGCACAUGCAGAAGCGAAACAAAUACCCCUGACAACAAUCAACACAAGAUAGAAAAGCAGGAAACAUAUUCACAACGAAAACACUUUUAUAAACACCCCGGUUUAUAUACAACCCUAGUCUAUAUAUAGCCAAGAGUCUACAAAAGACCGACUCUCAAAAGAAGCUGUCUUAAGACCUACUAGUCGAACGCAUUCGCCGAUCCUUCGAUCUCCACAGGCUCCGAGGGCUCCGAGUCCUCCACAGCACCAUCAGGAGGGUCAGCUACACUCUUACCUAGAAUGACAUCAACUAUCACCACGGGAAUCUCAAAACCCUAGAGGGGACCCACCUUAUAUCCAUUGAAUCCGUGGCAAAAUCACACUCUAAAUUGAUGCGGUACUCUCUGAGGUAGACCCUCAUCGACCCAAAUGAUGGUCACCACGAGUUCAUAGACCUAGUGAGCCCUGGGGACAAGGUAGUGAAAACUCUACUCGGUAACCCUCAUAGGCUGACCAAAACAUUCCAAAGAAACCGCCAUUUAAAGACUUGAAAAGAAUGAGCCCAAGACGGGGUGAGACAAUGUCUCAGUAAGUUCACCUCCUAAACUCCGACUAGGAAGGAAAUACGCCUAAAGGCAGUCUAUGCACACAAGAUAGAUGACUUAUCUCGCCUCAGUUCCCUCAUACACAUCGGCACAAUUCUAUUCAAUCCAUUCAAUCAAUACAACCAAUUCAAUUGACCACAAGUUCCAAUUCAAUUGCUACUCUCACAAGCUGAUAUGAAAUGUUGCUCGCACAAGCUAACAUGAAAUGCUUUCACAAGCUGAUAGAUCAAUGCUGUCACAAGCUGACGUAUCAUUGCUCUCACUAGCUAACGUAUCAUAUUGAACUAGAAAAAUUGAUAUUCACACUUUUAAAAUCCCACAAUUUGAUCUAGUUCUUAAAAUCAUUUUCGGUGUCAAAACUCGACACCCGGGAUUUUUCUAAUUAAAUAUCAAAAUUUCAUAAUUUUGGAAUAAAUAACCAAAAUCACAAUUAUCACUCAAUUUACACAAUUUAACAUUCAAUUGCCUAAAUCAAGCACACCAUUACAACAAGCACGAUAUUCCAGUCACCGGCUAUCCCGGUAUAAUUUCUGAAAAAUAAUAAAUAAUUAAAUAAAUACAAAAAAUCAUUAAAUAAAUGCAAUUAAAUACCAAAAAUACCAACUUAGGUCGGAAAUGCUAAAUUAACCACCUAAACCAGCCUAGAAAAUUUCCGAACCUAUCUAGAUAAAUAACACAGCUUAUCUAGUCCUUAAUUAAUCAAAUCUACCAACCUAACAUGCACAAACGAAUAAUUAAAUCGCUAAUCCAUGCUAACUAACCACAUAAACCUUAAUUACCUUAAAUUAAUCAACCCCUAAGCAUCAUUAAAUCCAUAAGUAAAUUUUAGCAAGUAAACUCACCGAUUUAGCGAUUCGGUGAGUCCACGAUGAUGACAAUGCGGAGACGGGCAACAAACAACCCUGUGGUGAUACCAAACGAAGAUCGGACGAGCCUAAAAAUAGGCCACGAAGCCUCAUGGCCCUUGCUGACUUCGGUUUUUGGUCCUUUCUGCUAGGCUAGAUUGGAGGGCUGAAACAGCUCGGUAAAGCGACAUGGUGGGACGGUGAGGCUGCUAUGGUUAACGACGGGCAACGGCAGUUGAUCUAGUGACCUAGCGAGCUAUGACGGCGGCUUGAGGUGGCUCGGGAUGCAGUUGGGGGCGACAGGAGACAAGACGGGCAGAACGAUCGCGCAGGGGGCUCGGGCGGCUGCUCGGGCGAUGCAACAGCGCGGCAAAGGGCUCCGGCGGUGGAGAACGGGCAGGGGGGUAUUGCUCAGUUUAUAUAGUUUCUCUCUGGUUUUUGGAGCUCAAAAGGUGACCAACAAUGGAUAAAGUGGCCCCAAGCUUGAAGAAAAAGCUGCUGAAGAUGGAGGGUCCCCUUUGGGCCACAAAGUCUUCACAUUCUAUCUCAUUUCUCUCUUGGCAAGGCCCCACCAUGCAUAGUUGUCUUCCUCAUCCAAUUUGCAACAGCCAAAGCUUCCUCAACAAGUCUCCAAGUGGUCCAAAUGUUGCACCCUAAGGGACCUACAAAUUUUGGAACAUUUUCCCUCAAAUUGAACCAAAUCCCCUACAAUUGAGCCUAAAUUGAUGCCCAUAAAUACCACCAAGAUGUCCACACUUAAAUUCACAUUUUUCCUUACCAAUUGAACCAACUUGAAUCCCAAAAUUGUGAUAAAAAACAACCCUCUAAUUUUCCCGGUCAAAAAUACCCCUACUUUGAAAUUUCGCCAAAAUUCCCAGUUUGCAAAAAAAUCUUCGGAGGAUGAGUUGACAUUCCUAAAAUGAAUUGUUACACGACAGAACUAAUCGGAUUUAAAUUCGCGGUUAAUUUCAAUCUUGUGUGAUUUUAGCAUAACCUAACAUAUCGGGUAACUUUUAGGAUUUUUUUUGUGCAAUUGACCCGUGGUCGAUUAUUUUUUAGCCACAUUGUACAUAUUCAAGACAUUGAUGACUCUCGGUUACCGUGAAAAUCUCGAUAUUUCAAAUACAGAUACAUGGUACCUAAAAAAAUAGAAAAAUCAGUCUGGUAUCGAUCGACGAGAAUUUUGCAAUUAAGUGGAAUCACCCACACUAAAUCACAUGGCUCAGUCGAAUCGAUCUAUCUCCGGUCUCUAAUCAAUUUUUAACUGUGCCGUAAUAACCUUUGCAGACUAGUACGGUUGAGUAGUAGAUUUCUAGUCGAAUUAUUAAAUCUAUUGCGUUAAAAUCCUUUAACGACUUCACUAGAUAGACUAGUUAUCUCGUGAGUGAUCAACUUAGAGAAUAGAAUUAUAGGUGCAUCGAUAAAAAGCCAUACUCAUUCAAUUUAAAACAAAAUUGGAAAAUCAGGAUGUCGCAUUGUCCAUCCAAGUUAGCCCUGAGGCCACCAUCAAGACGAACCACCCUAGGUGGUCGUGGGCUUGAGGAGCUGCCACCUCCACCGUCGAGCCUCCAUUCGAGCUACGAGCGUCACGUUCUCGACGUCGUUGCGUCGCCGUCGUCACAAGCCCACUGUCGCCAAAAAUCCAUGAGUUAAUUUCCUAAUCAUGGAUUAGGGCGUUAAUUGCGUUUAGGGGUGGUUAGUUUAGUACUAAUGGAGAUUAGUGUUAGUUAAUCUUAGUUUAUUCUUAAUUGCAAAUAAGGAUAGUUUAGAUUAAAUUUAAUUAUGAUUAUUGUAAAUAAUUUUUAUUAGUCUAAUUAAUCGUGUUUAGAUUAAUUAAUUGAAUUUAGCUUUAUUAAUCGUGAUUUAUUUAAUUAAUCGCAAUUAGCGUAAUUAGUGACGGAUUAGUCAUUAAGUAGAAUUUUAUGCUCGUCUUGUUGGAUGAGAUUGUGUGUGAUUUCAAUUGUUUGCACGUGCAAUGCCAUGUUAUUGAUUGCUCUAUGAUAAGUUCCUCUUAUUAUUACAAAAGAAUGUUUUAUAGGCAAUUAAAUGGCAAAGUUUGAGGUGUCGGGUUUGGAUGCCAAAUUUUACGUGCUAAAUAAAACAAUGGAGUUUUAAAAUAGAAGUGUGCAAAGUUUGACAGAUCGAUUUGAAAUACGUGACCACAUACGAAUAUUUUACUGGGAUUUUUAAAUAUGAAAAAUUGCCCAAGUUCAUUAUUUGAGAAUGACAUAUUGUGUUCUUGGCUAAUUAACGGCAAUAAAAGUUGGUUUGAUCGAUGGUGUGCUUGAGUGGUCAUUUAAUCAAACCCGUCACCCAAUGAGAGUUGGGGGCGAUGCUCGAUUUUAUCGGAUGCCCGGUGAGAGUCUGGAUGCCAAGUCCCGGUUAAGGCUGGACCGAAGGUCCUUUAUGGAAUGCCAUCUAGGCGGGGGUUUUAGAUGAUACCGUGCUCAAUGGGGGUGGGACAAUGCUCGGUCAUGCCGGAAAACCGCCGACUCUUGUGUUGGUCGUGGCCCGAGAGGUCAUAAUAAUUGGAACACGGGUGUUGGCAAUGCGCAUGAGAUUUUUAGUAUGUGCUAUGAUUGUUAUUUAUGCAUGUUGCACUAUUAUUGCCGUGUGAGACGUAUUAAUAUGUAGGGGAGUGCCGAGGCGAGGUAAGUUUAUGUGUGGUGCGUGUUUAGGCUGCCUUCGAGGCGAAUUCGCGUCCUAAUUGAAGCUUAGGGAUUUAACUCGUUGAGAUUUUAUCUCACCCCGUUGUUAUCAAACAUUUUCAAGUCCAUAGUAUGGAGUGUCACCCCGUACGUUUUGGGGUCCCUUGGGACAUGGACGUGGAGACUACUCUAUAUCCAAUCCCUAGGACUGACCAAACUCGCGAGCUGGUGGUCACGACAAUAUGGGUAGAUGAGGGGUUUGUACAUGUGGUACCCCACAAUUUCAAGGUGUGGUUUAUUAGGGAGGCGAACGGUGAUCGGAUUGGUCCACUUCAUGGUUUUGAUGGAUCGCCCUCCAGAAACGUGGGAUGGCAAGUUUGUGACCCCAUGGAUAUCGACAUCCCUAAUGGUAUCGUUGUGAAUCUAGAUUCCAAUCUAGAUGGGCUCAGGGAGCCGUACCCCCCUGACUACGUGCUUGACUUUGCGCCUGGAUACUAGGGCAAGUGUUUGGAGCUUGUAUAGCUAAAAGUUGACCCUGAUCUUCUAACCCUUUUUUAUUGUAGGUCACGUAGGAGUUUCUUUUUGUUGUAGGCCUGUACAUAUUAAACUCCUUGAUUUUAACCAGUUGAUAAAUAAAUUGUUGUUUUUGGAAAAUCGUUUGUUGUGUUUUACUAUUCUUAUUUUGUUGAUUGACUGGGUGUUUAUUUUUUUUUUUGCUUAAUCAAGAGAUAAGAAGAAUGGGUCGGCGACAUAUCUUGGGACGUCGCAUUUUUAAUCGACUACCGAGGGAUGUGCACAUACUCAGAGUUCAGGACGUGACAACAAAACAUGUCCCAACAGCAGAAAAUUUGUCAGUUUGUGCAGUCUUGUCUACCGGCUAAGAACUUUUGGAAAGUGCACCAAGUGCUAAACACAAAAUUUCAGUUAGAAUCUUCAUGAAAAUGCAUCUUUUAGAUUAACACGAUUAUUUUCUGGUUUAUAUUCAUCUUGAAGUGAAGAAAAUUGCAUCUUAGGUCGUGCAACAACCCUAUAUGUUUCUUGUGAAGAAUUAUUGCAUCAUUGGCAAAAAGAUGUUGGACUAGUUAUCUAGUCCUCAGUCCCAACCACUUCUAACCUGUUCGUUAUACUAGACACCCUUGCUUUUGGUGAUAUUUCCAAAAUCUUAGAUAUCGCAGAGAAGCUGUCCGAAAUUCUUAUUUUACCAAAAGCUUUAAGACGUUGGAUCAUUGACCGAUCUUGAAUUGUAUGGCAUUGUAAGGCAUAGAGGCACAAGGCCUGUCGACACCUAAAUUUUGGCGAUCCAUUUAGUCAUUUAUUGCAUAAAAAUUAGGGGUUAAUUUUAUCCUUAAAAAAAAAUAUUAAUUGCAUAGCUAUAUUUAGUUUGCAUAUUUUGCAUUUUAUUUACUCGACCGGUGGCGGAUGGGUCGAAUUGGUGUUUUUGAGUUUUAAAUUAACAAGUCGGAGUAAGCCCAUGAAGAGUACAAAUUGGCCCAAGCCCAUUUUCUGAAAUUGAGAUUUGAAAUGAGGAUUUUUCGGAAUUUAAGAAAAUUGAGGUUAUGAUCUUAUCUUUAAAAAUCAGUAGAAAAUAUUAAGGAGGAUAAUGAAUAAUCUAAAAUAUUUUGUUGCAGAUAGAGAUCUCGAAAGAUUUUAGAGUUGGAUAAUAGAGUUUUAUCUUGAGUGAAUUAUCUGGAAAAUCUUCACAAAAAAAUUUCAGAUUAUCUUAAAUCGCUGAGUCAGUAUAUAAAAUCUUCAAUGGUCGAGUGAGUCAGCUUGGAAGAUUUUAACAAAUGAUUUUAGAUUUUGGAACCUCUUUUUGGUUGAGCACAUCUCGUUUUUUUCGAAGGGUAAUCCUCAGCGAUUGGGUUGUUAUGCAAAUCUUCGUAGGUAGAACAGACUGGGUUUUCACUCUAUAAAUAGGGGGAGCUUCUUUGGAAAAAAAAAUUUUAAAAAGGGAAAAGAAUUUUGGUGCUUUAGGGAGCCGUCCGUGGAGUCCUCGAGAGAAAAGGAGAGAGGCACAAAAAGGGAAGAAAGGAAAAAAGUGAAGGAAAAAGUAAAAGGGGGUAAAGGUGAUUGGACAUUUACUGUUCAUCACCCCCUUCCUUCUACCGUUUCCGCUUCUGCCUCCCUCCUACCGGAUCCGAUUCUGAUCCGCCCUCCAUGCGACGGCCGGCGCCACCUCACCGCACCACCACACCAGAUGGCCCCGCUUCCGAUCUACGCCUGGACCUGAAGUUUCUCGUCCCGCGACGCCCUUCGCCGGUGGUCCGAGCUGCUGCCACACGAUUCCAGCGCCCUUGCCCCGGCGACCCGAAGCUCGACGCUCCACCCUCCGCGAGUAGGCCCGAGCCGUGCCACAGCCGAGCCUCUUUCCCCGCGCCGACGUCGCCGUCGGUCUCCGUCCGCGAGCCUCGACGACCCGCGCCACUGCGCCGGAGCCCCACUCACCCGCGCCUGCCUCUCCACCGCAUCGCUCGUCUCUGUUGCCCCUGUCCCUGUUUUCCUGACGCUGUGCCGCGUCUGUCGCCACCCUCAUCGCUCCACUCGACAACCUGCAAUCCGCAAUCGAGAGGCGUUGCCCCCGUGAAGCCGCUCUGUGCCCUCUGCUCUAACCCGACUACAAUCCGAAGCUCCACCUGCAGAGCCUUCGCGUCGCCGCCACACUAGUGCUGCCGUUGCGCCGGAUCCGCACCGCCGCGCCUGCACAUCGCCGAUCAACCUCACUCGCGACCGCCUCGCUUGAAGCCCCACCGGACGCUGAGCCGACGCCCUUGCAGCAACCCGCGAAGCUGCUUUGCCUCGACGUGUUUCUGCCGCCCAAUCCGCCCCUGCCAAGCCGUUCCAUCCGUUGCUGCCUUUCGCCGGAGCUCCGACCGACAACAACCCUUUGCUCACCGACGAAUUUGCUACCCCAAUAUUCCUUAGGUUGCCCAUUUUUUUCUUUUAUUUUUAUUUUUCUUAUUUUAUGUUUAUUUACUUUAUUUUAUUUUUAGUUGGUCUUGCUAUUAUUAUUGCUUAAGUUUGAAUAUUGUGAGGUGACUUUUGGGUUAUGGAUAUUAGGCAUUAUCGGCAGGAGUUAUCCCUAAAAUAAUUGUAAUUAUUAAUUUGACCCGUAAGAUGUCGGGUCAUUUUUCUAAUUAUAUUAAUUCUUGGGGUUUGUUGAUAGCAUAUUAAUUGUUGAAUCAAUAUAAUUAUUAAUUUGAUCCGUAAGAUUUCGGAUCAGAUUUUUAAUUAUUUUGAUUUCUUGUCGUGAUGUUUUGAGUUAAAAGUAAUCGUUAAUUUGACCUGUGAGAUAACAUGUUAUUUUUUCGUUUAUUUUAAUCCUUUAUUUGUUGAAUAUCUUGUUUGUUUAGAUUUAAGGUUUAGUUGAUAAUCGCUUGUUUUGAAAUACCACUAAAAAAUCCAAAAAAAUUUGAAUUAGGAUUAAGUUUGUUUUGGAAUAUUUCUUGUUAUCUUGCAUAUCUAGAAUAGGGAUUUCAGUUCGAACAAUAUAAAAAAUGCAUUAAUUUAGGAUUUUAGUUGCAUGUUUAAUUACGUGGCACUUUCGACUUUUUUUAAUAAAAAAUAAAAAAUAAAAAAUAUCAUGCAUAUGUCAUGUAGAAUUAGGGCAUGCCCCGCACGUCAUUGCAUAUUAGAUAGAUUGCAUGUUAGAUUAAGAUAAUAUCCUGGUUUAAAUUAAGAUUUAAUGUGACUUAAUCCUUAAUUUAAAUUAGAUAGAAUUUUAAUCUAGCUAGAUCAUUUUUGCAUUUUUAAAAAUAGAAAUAUCAAAUGCACGUCAUUUAGUUUUUACUAGGUUCAUUUAAUUAGAACUUUCUCGUCAUUAGACUAAGUCACUUAAUAAAUGUCGCAUGUCAUAUAACUCGCGUACUAAAUUGUAUGCUGCAUGUCAUCUUAGUUUAAAUAAUUUUGUAUGUCAUUGCAUCGCAUUGCAUGUCAUUAAAAUUAGGUCAUUUAGAUUGCAUUUAAUUAUUGCAUUUAUUCAUGUCAUAUAGUUUAGGUCGUGCUGCCAUGUCAUAUUAGAUUAUUAACAUGCAUCGCAUGAUUUUCAUUAAGAAAAGCGAAAACAAAAAUUAAAAUUGCGUGUUAAUUAGAAAUCAUAUCUAGGAUGGUUGAUGUGAAUUAUGAUUUAAUAAUGCAGAUGCUUUCGUUGCUUCGAAGUAUGUUUUGCAUUAUUUAAUUGCUUUCUUGAGUGUUAAAUUGAUGGUAUGCGCACAUGUAUGAUCAUCUCACAUGUUAGGAAAGUGAAUUAAAAAUCAAUUUAAGCUGCUUGCAAAAAUAUUUUUUUAAAAACUAAAUAAAGAAAUGGUACCGAAAGGGCACUAGGAUAGUCUAGUGUAAUCAAGUCCCUGUACCCUUAAUCUCUGGUUCGUAGGAGUAAAAUAAAGCUCUCUUUAUUUUACUUGGGUGUCUAAUCGACCUACCGAAAACUGAUUAGUGGCGACUCGUAGAAAAUAAUCAUUUGCAUAUUUUAACCUUAAGUCGCGAAUUGGUAUGGGUUUGGGAGAGCCCGAGCUAAGCUUAAAGACUUAGUAGUCCAUUAACCUAGUUUUAGGUGGUACACCCGAAAAAUUGGGUCGCGACAGCUUGGCGACUCCGCUGAGGACUUGUGUUAAAACACUUAGUGGACUUAGGCCAAUUUUUCUUUUUAAAAAUAUUUUUGUUUGGCAGCAAGGAUCUCAGGUAUGUCCCUAACAUUCCUAAGGUGUUAAAUGUUCUUGCAGAUGGGAGGUAUAAGGGGAGUAGUCUUUGCUAACCCCUAUCCUGUAGGUUGGAGUUAGGGGUGAAUGUUUGAAUUAAAACUAUAGAAGUGUUGUUUGCAUUUAAACUUCUGUGCAUGCUUUAUUGCUUUAGCACCACACUAUUGGCACACACAACUUGCAGUCGGACCUGGGCUGCGAUAGGAUUUCUAGGAUGGUGUUGAGAAUGAUACUUCCUCCAAAGCGAGACUGCUAUGUAGAGGUUGACAUUCUCUUCCCCGAAAUUUCUUUCAUGGUGUCAAAUGUGUUUGUCCAUAUCCGCGAGACUGCGUGAUUAUUGGGUAUUCCAUUCAACUGAGCCGGAAUUAGGGGGACCUGACACAUUAAUGCGAGACUGCAACGGUCAGAUUAUCCUCUUAGCUCCACCUUGUUAAGCCAUUUAGACAGAAAUCGAGCCUCACAUCUCAUGUGCAUGUCUAUGUGAUUGCCAUUAAUUUCCCUUGGUGAAGUAAGUCUUCUAUCUCUAUACUAUGCGAUUUACUUACUUUGUCAUGCUUUUGGUCCGCCCAUGACAAUUCAGGAUAAUCAUUUGAUCUAAUUCCUUUCAUGACUGAAAUGAGGAAAUUGCCAUUAAUCAUUUGAAAAAUAAAAAAUUGGAAAUUUGUUUUCAAUUCAAGUCUUGGCUCUUCCUAGUUCAUAAGUAGGAAAUUUUGCCCCUAUUGGGGCAUCUCAUAUCUUUGUUUUCCUAGUCCGUUGUUAGGAAAUCCUCUUCAUAUGUGGAUUUUUCUUGACUAAAAAUAAAUUGUUGUCAUGGACUAGCUCUCUAUUUACACCUCAUGCUUCCAUGUUCUCAUUUUCCUUAGGUGAUUAUGAAGCGAUCUCGCUCACCCAUCCGUACACGGUCGAGAGCUAAAAUGGCGGAUCGAAACGAGGCGCUGGACCGUAUCAUUGACAAUAUGAACAAGCAAAUUGCACACCACCAAAAUCAAGUCAAUGAAUUGUCUACUACUGUGACUUUUCUCAUCAAGCAAAAAGGCUGCGAUGACAUAGGUACUCCAUCUUCAAUAAGAAUUUGCGACUCGAAGAAGAGAGCCAAGAGAACUUUUGAAUCGUCUCACUUUCCCGAGGUAGCUGAAUUUGAUGCCACCAUGAAGAGACUCGUGACAUAUCUAGAAGGAAGAAUCUCUGACUUGAAGGGUUCGCAUCACAUGAGCAAGGAGGGUGAAGAACUCAAGCAUACAUGAUUCAUAGUCCUAAGUAGUUCACUUUCCUUGUUUAAUUAGGGGCAUGCUCGGUUGCAUCUUCCCCUGCGUGGGAAUUCUUAUUGCUAUUUAGGAAUUAGUUUUCGCUUUUUAGGAAUCGUUUUCGAUUUUUUCUCUUUUAGGGGGUUUAGGAAUCACAAUUUCCAUUCCAAUAAUGUAAUUCAUUUGAUGAAAUUACAAUUUUAUUUCCAAUUUUGAGGACAUGAUGGGGUAUACAAAACCAGUCCAAUGACGAUAUCCAACCAUGAAAAAGAAAAAUAUCAUCCACGGAGAAAUCCUGAGGGCUGGACUUUUUCAUGUUUCCUCCCAAAAACCUUUUCGAAAAAAAAAAAAAGCAUUUCAUUGUAAAAAAUUAAAAAAAAAAACAAAAAAAAAACAUUUUCCCAAAACUUGUAGCAUAUUAAACUUGUUUGUUUGUCUGACUCAUUUGCUUCUUGUCUCAGAACAUGAUUCUAUAACUUUAUGACAAGGGACAUCUGAGAAUGCUGUAUCAAGUCUCAAUGAUCAUAAACUUUACUUGUGAUCAACAGGUUUAGAGCGCACUUGUAAUGAAAAAGAUUUGGGGCAAGUAAAAGAGGACCAUCAUUCCCUGGUGGAAGAGAUGACCAAUUUGGACAUAACAGAUUUUGGUAGUGAUCCAACUGGGAUAAAGUCUCGACCCGAGCCAAAAUGGAUGUGCAGUUCAAAUUUACUUUAAUGUUGCAUAGCACGUUCUCUUGUGCAGGGGCAAAAGUGGAUUUUCAAUCUUGAAUGAUAGGAACAAUCCAAAGACAUCAACUGCUAAGGCAAUUCCCAUUGUAGAGGAAUCCUUGAAUGAAUGCUUAAAACCAUUUUGCAAUAGAGAAAAUUGUUUGAAGUUGACAUGCUUAAAGUUGUUGAAUUCUUUUUUGCAUGAUGACUCUUACAUGUUUUAUCCAUCAAUUCCACUAAAGAAUAUCAAGAUAGACUAAUUUAAUGAAUGAUGUGAAAUUGAUUGAGCCUACUAAAUGAGACGAGUCGGGAUGAUGAAAGGCAAACCUUAUCAUAUACACAGUUCCAUAUUCAUACACUUGUGAGAUGAGUGUAGGAAGGUUCAUAUCCAUAAGGUAAAGAGUUCUCUCGCAAAAGGUACGGCAACCAAAAUGAUGAGAGGCAAUUCAUAUCUCUAUCCCAAACACUACAGGUGAUCCGUUGCUUAACCCUUUUGAGCCCAUACACUUAUGGAUAUUCUUUUCAAAUCACCCCUGUCAAGAAUCACCCCACAUCGGGGCAACUAAGAGAUCAAAUGGCAUCAUGAGGUGAGAAAGAUGAAUUGAAAUUUUCUUGCUCUCACUUGCAUCAAUCUUCAAGUCAUGCUAUUACAUUGAAUUCAUGUGUUAAGUUAAGUGCCUUAGGAAGAGCAUUUCUUUCUCUAUCCUAUACACUUAUAUCCUUUGCAUAGCCCACUUGAGCCUGCAAUUUCAUUUCUUUAAACCCAGUUGGUGAUCAUCCCCCACACUGGGGCAAGACAAAAGGCAAAUGAAGACUCUUGAAAAGUUCAAGUGUCAUUCAAAGUGUAGUUUGCUUGACGCAUGCAUUAUGCGCAAGAAUUGAAUUCAAAAUAGAACUAAGGGGCAUGAAAAAGUAGUGUGCCUGGUAAAAGCAAGGCCAAUGCCCAUGAAAAGAAGUGAAGAAAAGUGAAUGAAAACUAGGGGGCAUAAAAAGCAGUGUGCCUGGUAAAAGCAAAGUCAAUGCCCAUAGAUGAGAAAAAAGAGUCAAGAUAGGUGACUGUCAAUUACAAGAAUUGAAUCCCAAUGGAGCAAUAGUCAAAGAACUCAAAUGCCGAGUUUCUACAAUCAAUGAGGGACUUCAUAAAGGCAAUCCCCAAUGGUGAAAAAGAAAACUGGUGGCAAUGCCAAGAUGAUCAUCAACUCACACCUUUUACACACAUUUUGAGCCUAAUGAUCCUUUCAUUUCUCAACCCAUGAACCCAACCUACGUUGCGUCCCUUACAAAGUCUCUUCAGAUUAGGGGGCAUUUGAAUUAACGUAAGAGUUCAUAUGUUUAUAAGCAUUACUCGAAGAAGUGCGAGCAAUAUUAUUUCUUUUUCAUUUUGCAGGGUUCUUGACUUGUAAACCCGGAGAUGAUUACAAGACAGUUCAUUCAAUAGCUUUGACUCAAAGAGUCAUUUUGUUAAGCCGUUGACCAAGCCACAUUAUGGUCCUUGUUAAAGACCUCUCAGAUUGGUAAGAUCGUACCGCUUGCGAGAAUACUCGGACCCAUGUCGAUAUGAUAAAAUUGAGUGAUUCUCAUAAAAUAGUCAUUCUAAAUGAGAGUGAGUGAAAGUCCUUUCUAACCGAAAGUCUCUCAUUUAGUAUUCUUAAGAAAUCCAUGUCAUGAGUGAAGAUUGUCUUAAAUGAUAAUUCUCUCCAGUGGAAAUUUGGGUGAUGCAAAGGACAUUAUGCAUAAACCCUGAUUGAGCUGAUGAAAACCUCACUGAAUUUUGAAAUGUGCAUUCUAGAGUAGCUUAGAUUGUCUAUCUCUUUGAUGAAUGCAUAUCAGUUUUUGCUCUGAGUCAUGUCUAACAGGUAAUUCAAGUUCCUUUCAGAAUGUUUCAUGAUAUUAGAAGAUGAGAAACCUCCAUCAGGAGGUGAAAGACCUCCACAGGAUAUCUAAAUAUCCCCAAGAAUUAGAGAUAUCACCAUGUAAGUAUAUCUCUACCAUAUUCUAAAAUACUUGUCAUUGUGCAGGUAUUCUCUCUUAAGUGUAUCGACACUUGACUUGGUCAAGCUGUCCAGUUUUAUCGACCUGGCGUGCUUUUGUAGCCCAGAGUCCCUUUUAAUCGACACUCGACUGAGUUGUCCCCCAAAGUUUUUCCUCUAGACUCAAUCUGAUUAAGGCGACCAAAGAACGGUUUGGGUCCUGGUCAGUUGAUCUCUGUUGCAAGGUUGGACGACCGAAGAAUGGUUCGAGUCCUAGCCAAGCAAAACCUCGUUUAGGCGACCGUAGAAUGGUACGGGUCCUAGACAAAACCUAUUUCCCUAUUCAGGCGACCGUAGAAUGGUACGGGUCCUAGACAAAACCUAUUUCCCUAUUUAGGCGACCGUAGAAUGGUACGGGUCUUGGAAGGUAAAUCCCCGUUUAGGCGACCGUAGAAUGGUACGGGUCCUAGACAACAUCUAUUUCCCUAUUCAUGCGACCGUAGAAUGGUACGGGUCCUGGAAGGUAAACCCCCGUUUAGGCGACCGUAGAAAGGUACGGGUCCUAGACACAACCAAACACUGCCCUACUAGGCGACCGUAGAAAGGUACGGGUCCUAGGAAAGUGGUCUUUUUGUUACUAUUUUAAGCGACCGUAUAAAGGUACGGGUCCUGAACAUGUAACACCAACUAUCUUGAAUCACUCUAUCCUCCUUAAAGGUAAGAUAUUCCAGGUAGGUUCCUUUACCAUUUGCAUACAAAUUGCAUUCCAAAAUUUUGACAUCUCAGUUUGGAUCUGAAUGUCUCAAUUCUCUUCGUUAAAUAUUUCACUCUGGAUGUGAAUGUUUUUUCGAUCUUUCUCGUUAUACUUAGUCUGGAUCUAGGUAUCUCGAGUACAAAAAUCUUGACAUCUCAGUCUGGACCUGGAUGUCUUGAUUAUUUUCAUUCAAACAUUUCACUCUGGAUGUGAAUGUUUGUCAAUCCUUCUCAUUAUACCUUAGUUUGGAUCUAGGUAUUUUGAGUUUUUAAAAAAAUCUUGACAUCUCAGUCUGGAUUUGGAUGUCUCAAUCUAUUGCAUGUUACACUUUUCAAGGAACCUAAGUGAGAGAGUUGGGUACUUGUGGAGUAAAUAGGGAUUUAUCAUGUACCUCAAGAUGCUUUACCGCACUAAUUGGGAAGUAAUUGUAGGUACGUACUUUCCUUUGACAUCAUGCAUUUGCAUUAGCAUUUCCACGCAUCAUAUAAAUUGCAUUAAAAGAUGGAAUUCAUUUUCCGAAAAAAAAAUCAUUCAGUGCAUUUGCAUGGUCAAAAUUUAGAUCUCAAUUUGUCUUUGAAGGCAACCUCUUUGAGCUCACCUUCAAAGAGGGGUAGCUAUUGACACCUAAAUUUUGGCGAUCCAUUUAGUCAUUUAUUGCAUAAAACUUAGGGGUUAAUUUUAUCCUUAAAAAAAAUAUUAAUUGCAUAGCUACAUUUAGUUUGCAUAUUUUGCAUUUUAUUUACUGGACCGGUGGCGGAUGGGUCGAAUUGGUGUUUUUGAGUUUUAAAUUAACAAGUCGGAGUAAGCCCAUGAAGAGUACAAAUUGGCCCAAACCCAUUUUUUGAAAUUGAGAUUUGAAAUGAGGAUUUUUCGGAAUUUAAGAAAAUCGAGGUUAUGAUCUUAUCUUUAAAAAUCAGUAGAAAAUAUUAAGGAGGAUAAGGAAUAAUCUAAAAUAUUUUGUUGCGGAUAGAGAUCUCGAAAGAUUUUAGAGUUGGAUAAUGGAGUUUUAUCUUGAGUAAAUUAUCUGGAAAAUUUUCACAAAAAAAUUUCAGAUUAUCUUCAAUCGCUGAGUCAGUAUAUAAAAUCUUCAAUGAUCGAGUGAGUCAGCUUGGAAGAUUUUAAUAGAUGAUUUUAGAUUUUGGAACCUCUUUUUGGUUGAGCACAUCUCGUUUUUUUCGAAGGGUAAUCCUCAGCGAUUGGGUUGUUAUGCAAAUCUUCGUAGGUAGAACAGACUGGGUUUUCACUCUAUAAAUAGGGGGAGCUUCUUCGGAAAAAAAAAAUUUUAAAAAGGGAAAAGAAUUUUGGUGCUUUAGGGAUCCGUCCGUGGAGUCCUCGAGAGAAAAGGAGAGAAGCACAAAAAGGGAAGAAAGGAAAAAAGUGAAGGAAAAAGUAAAAGGGGGUAAAGGUGAUUGGACAUUUACUGUUCAUCACCCCCUUCCUUCUACUGUUUCCGCUUCUGCCUCCCUCCUGCCGGAUCCGAUUCUGAUCCGCCCUCCUUGCGACGGCCGGCGCCGCCUCACCGCGCCACCACACCAGAUGGCCCCGCUUCCGAUCUACGCCUGGACCUGAAGUUUCUCGUCCCGCGACGCCCUUCGCCGGUGGUCCGAGCUGCUGCCGCACGAUUCCGGCGCCCCUGCCCCGGCGACCCAAAGCUCGACGCUCCACCCUCCGCGAGUAGGCCCGAGCCGUGCCAUAGCCGAGCCUCCUUCCCCGUGCCGACGUGGCCACCGGUCUCCGUCCGCGAGCCUCGACGACCCGCGCCACUGCGCCGAAGCCCCACUCACCCGCGCCUGCCUCUCCGCCGCGCCGCUCGUCUCUGUUGCCCCUAUCCCUGUUUGCCUGACGCUGUGCCGCGUCUGUCGCCACCCUCAUCGCUCCACUCGACGACCUGCAAUCCGCAAUCGAGAGGCGUUGCUCCCGUGAAGCCGCUUUGUGCCCUCUGCUCUAACCCGACUCCAAUCCGAAGCUCCACCUGCAGAGCCUUCGCGUCGCUGCCACACUAGCGCUGCCGUCGCGCCGGAUCCGCACCGCCGCGCCUCCCUCUCGCCGCGCAUGCACCAUCGCCGAUCAACCUCACUCGCGACCGCCUCGCGACCGCCUCGCUCGAAGCCCCACCGGACGCUGAGCCGACGCCCUUGCAGCAACCCGCGAAGCUGCUUCUGCCUCGACGUGUUUCUGCCGCCCAAUCCGCCCCUGCCAAGCCGUUCCAUCCGUUGCUGCCUUUCGCCGGAGCUCCGACCGACAACAACCCUUUGCUCACCGACGAAUUUGCUACCCCAAUAUUCCUUAGGUUGCCCAUUUUUUUCUUUUAUUUUUAUUUUUCUUAUUUUAUGUUUAUUUACUUUAUUUUAUUUUUAGUUGGUCUUGCUGUUAUUAUUGCUUAAGUUUGAAUAUUGUGAGGUGACUUUUGGGUUAUGGAUAUUAGGCAUUAUCGGCAGGAGUUAUCCCUAAAAUGAUUGUAAUUAUUAAUUUGACCCGUAAGAUGUCGGGUCAUUUUUCUAAUUAUAUUAAUUCUUGGGGUUUGUUGAUAGCAUAUUAAUUGUUGAAUCAAUAUAAUUAUUAAUUUGAUCCGUAAGAUUUCGGAUCAGAUUUUUAAUUAUUUUGAUUUCUUGUCGUGAUGUUCUGGGUUAAAAGUAAUCGUUAAUUUGAUCUGUGAGAUAACAUGUUAUUUUUUCGUUUAUUUUAAUCCUUUAUUUGUUGAAUAUCUUGUUUGUUUAGAUUUAAGGUUUAGUUGAUAAUCGCUUGUUUUGAAAUACCACUAAAAAAUCCAAAAAAAUUUGAAUAAGGAUUUAGUUUGUUUUGGAAUAUUUCUUGGUAUCUUGCAUAUCUAGAAUAGGGAUUUCAGUUCGAAAAAUAUAAAAAAUGCAUUAAUUUAGGAUUUUAGUUGCAUGUUUAAUUACGUGGUAAUUUCGACUUUUUUUAAUAAAAAAUAAAAAAUAAAAAAUAUCAUGCAUAUGUCAUGUAGAAUUAGGGCAUGCCCCGCACGUCAUUGCAUAUUAGAUAGAUUGCAUGUUAGAUUAAGAUAAUAUCCUGGUUUAAAUUAAGAUUUAAUGUGACUUAAUCCUUAAUUUAAAUUAGAUAGAAUUUUAAUCUAGCUAGAUCAUUUUUGCAUUUUUAAAAGUAGAAAUAUCAAAUGCACGUCAUUUAGUUUUUACUAGGUUCAUUUAAUUAGAACUUUCUCGUCAUUAGACUAAGUCACUUAAUAAAUGUCGCAUGUCAUAUAACUCGCGUACUAAAUUGUAUGCUGCAUGUCAUCUUAGUUUAAAUAAUUUUGUAUGUCAUUGCAUCGCAUUGCAUGUCAUUAAAAUUAGGUCAUUUAGAUUGCAUUUAAUUAUUGCAUUUCUUCAUGUCAUAUAGUUUAGGUCGUGUUGCCAUGUCAUAUUAGAUUAUUAACAUGCAUCGCAUGAUUUUCAUUAAGAAAAGCGAAAACAAAAAUUAAAAUUGCGUGUUAAUUAGAAAUCAUAUCUAGGAUGGUUGAUGUGAAUUAUGAUUUAAUAAUGCAGAUGCUUUCGUUGCUUCGAAGUAUGUUUUGCAUUAUUUAAUUGCUUUCUUGAGUGUUAAAUUGAUGGUAUGCGCACAUGUAUGAUCAUCUCACAUCUUAGGAAAGUGAAUUAAAAAUCAAUUUAAGCUGCUUGCAAAAACAUGUUUUUUAAAACUAAAUAAAGAAAUGGUACCGAAAGGGCACUAGGAUAGUCUAGUGUAAUCAAGUCCAUGUACCCUUAAUCUCUGGUUUGUAGGAGUAAAAUAAAGCUCUCUUUAUUUUACUUAGGUGUCUAAUUGACCUACCGAAAACUGAUUAGUGGCGACUCGUAGAAAAUAAUCAUUUGCAUAUUUUCACCUUAAGUCGCGAAUUGAUAUGGGCUUAGGAGAGCCCGAGCUAAGCUUAAAGACUUAGUAGUCCAUUAACCUAGUUUUAGGUGGUACACCCGAAAAAUUGGGUCGCAACAAGGCCCUUGAGCCAACCCACUGAACUCAUAGAGUCUUGAAUGUUCACAACCAAACGAUUUAUGAUACCAGCUUUUGUCAAAGUUAUUUCAUAUAAACUUGGUCUGAGAUUGCAACAUGCCUGUGGUCAAGCUAAAAUAUCCAUGUAUCUGAUCUUGUAAUCACCUUGGGUCAAUCUUGUGGAUAGAGGUCCAAGCUGUUUAGGUUGCCUUUGCUGUGAGCCAUUCUUUGGUUCGGCUUCCAAUUGAGUUGAUUCUUCGUUGUUUUUUUUCUUUUUUUUUUAAUUCCUUUUUUUGGUCGAGUCCUACUCAGGAACCAUAGUAGUCCGACGUAAAGAUAUUUUCAUCGACUUGGUCCUUUCCAAUAAGAAUGCUACUGGCUAGGCUCUUUUACUAGAGCCUGGCACGCUAUGAAGCUUGAAAAAUAAGCACAUGGAAGCUAUCCCUUGAAGCUUGUUUUUUCGGUUCAGCUCCAAUUUUGCACAAUUGCAGCUUAAAAAUUUUCUUGGAAAUCCUCAUUCAAAUCCUAUUUUCAGGUAACUUGGCAGCUGUUCAAGCUCUUUUUACUUUGCUUUUGUACAUAAAAACUAUAGAGCCUCCUCUUUGUGCCUGCCAAACUCUUUUUUGGUCCCAUCCAUCUAUACGUGCAUGCGCAAAUAUAUGAUUGAAAUGCCGAUAUGUGACCUUGGAAACAGAGAUUAGGCGGUUUCUAGCUAUUGCAAAUCUUUGCUUUUGCCUAUUGCUCUCGACUCUUUUCUCUUGAAAUCUUCGACAUUUUUUUAUCACUUGCCAUGUUGUUGUCAUAUUUAGGUCCUUCAAUAAAAGACGAGGAGAAAUUCUCAUGUUUAACCGCAUCAAUUUCUAUGGCGGAUUGUUUCUAUUCUUGGUCAGAUGGAUGAUUCAUGCUUUUACAUUUAUAGAUUCUUCAUGUCCCUUUCUUUUUGCUGUUUGUCUUGACCGAUUUUGCUUUUUGGUAAUAAUCAUUCCACUUAAAUUAUUUCACUGGCACAGCCCACAAUCACCUUAAAAUGCUUAGACAUGAAUGGAUUUCUAUAAUUUUCUCGAGAGAAAAUUUCAAAAAAGUACCCGAAAUACCCUUAUUCUCUCAAAUAAAGAUCCGAAGUGAAUUUUGUUUCAAAUAAAGACCUAAAAUAGUCUUGGUUAUUUCAAAUAAGGGCCUCAAGUGGCUUUAGUUGUUUCAAAUAAGGAUCCAACCUCGCCGGUCGCUGGCUGGCUAAAUUUUCCAACCGGUUAAGAGUAUUUUUGUCAUUUGGCAUUUUCUCCUUUUUCUUUUUCUUUCCUUUCUCUUUUUUUUUUUUUUUUUUCCUUUUUGGUUCUUCUUCUUCCUCUUCACCAAUAAUCGGCCGGCCACCGGUGAUGCCCAUAGAGGGCUAGGCGAGAGCCACCCACACCAACCAUAGGCGAGGGACGAUCUCACCUGUGCGUGGCGACCCUCGCCAAGGGGCCAUCCACAAGGUCAGCCCUUGCCAAAUCUGGCAAAUGAGGCCUUGCCCAUGGCCAACGAGGGCUGGGCGACCUCAUGUUGGUAAGGGCAAGCGAGGGCCUGUAAGCCCUCACUGGCCUUGGGCGAGACCACCCUUGCCAAAUCUGACAAGGGUCGGCCUCACCCAAGCAUCACCUUUGGCGAAGGUUGGCCUUACCAGGGGCCAACGAGGAUUGACCUAGCAGAUGGCCCUUGGGCGAGGGUUGCCCAGCCCAGACAAGGCCGUCCCUCACUUGUGGCCGACGUGAAUGGCCCUCACCAACAAGGGUGACCCUCACCCAGCCCUUUAUGGGCAUAGCUAGUGGUCGACUAGCCACCAGCGAAGAGGAAGAAGAACCAAAGGAAAAAAAAAAAAAGCGAGAGAGAGAAAAAUGACAAAUGACGAAAAUAUCUUUGAUCGCUGGAAAAUUAGGUCCUUAUUUGAAAUGAACAUAACAACUUCAAGUCCUUAUUUAAAACAAAUAUAACCAUUUUAGGUUUUUAUUUGAAACAAUAUCUACUUCAUAACUUUAUCUGAGAAAGUGAUUGUAUUUUAUAUCUUUAUUUGAAAUAAGAUCAACUUCGAACUUUUAUUUAAGAAAAAGAAGAUACUUCGGGUCUCUUUUUUAAAUUUUCCCUUUUCUCAAUUUGGGCCGGCUUCCAUGAAAUUUGUUUUACAUGCUGCUGCUUUAAUUGAGAGCAUCUUCUCUCACUGGAGAUGUUAACGUCGGAGGCGCAAUAGGGAUCCACUACGUGUACACAUGGAUCUGGAUGCUGGACGAAGGAGAUCAGACCGAGAAGAUAUCUUCAUUAGUGACCAUGCAAAAGAAGAUGUCCAAUCAACCUAUGCUGGAUCACUUUUCCACAAUGGUUGAAAUUACCACGUGUCUUUUUAUAAGGACAAUGUGAGCUGUCAUCUCGUCAAUCCUUCUCGAGUCUCAUCUCGAUUCUCUCCCUAUUAACUCAUGAUCCCCUAAAUGCAUUAAAUCUUGUUUUUGCACCCCAGGAGACGCUGGGUCAUUGGUCUUCCUCUCGUUGCCUUCCUCAAAGGAACGAACUUGCAGAAAAGCUCCUCAAGUUGCUGCCUCACCAUUCAUUUGGCAAGUGCUUAAAUAAUGCGGCGGUCUCGAUAAGGCACUUUCUUUCUAUCCCGAGUGUGCCAACGAUGCCAGUGCCACUCCAAAAUGGUGAGACAAUUUGCACUGCGCCGUUUCUCAUUAUAAGUUUGUUUUCACAAUCGAGAACACCUGGACAGAAAGUUACGUGACGGAGAAGCUAUUUUAUGCUCUGGACUCCGGGGCGGUCCCCAUCUAUUUCGGUGCCCCCAACGUCAUGGACUUUGUCCCUCCACGUUCGAUCAUAGACGGGAACAAGUUUAGCUCCAUGGAGGAAUUGGCAACUUUCGUGAAGUCCCUAGCGAACGAUCUAGUGGCGUACACCGAAUACCAUUCGCGGAGAAGAUGUGGUGUAUUAGGUAAUUAUGGAAACUCACGAGUGGCAAGCCUCGACAGCUUGCCGUGUCGGUCAUGGGAGUUCAUUAGCCAAAAAGGUGGCAGGAAUGCUAGAGCUUUAUGAAGAGUUGAUUCUUUUUGAACACCCGUUUUGUUUCCUGAUCAUCCGAUUAGGAGAUGGUAGAUUAGACAUUGAUGUAAACAGGCCACUAAAAAAAUCAUCAUGGUAAUGAAUACAAAGUCAUUAUGAACUUAAAGUGUUUAGACUUCUCUCCGAUUUUGUGAAGCGAAACCGGCCUGGACUUCUCUCCGAUCGGUUGUUGGCGUACUUGUUUUGUCAUUUUUUGAGUUCACACUGUCUUUCUGGGUUGCUUGCAACUCAUAUGAUCAAGGAUUGGAGAGGAGAGGUGGAAGAAAAGGCUUGUGAUGAAUUUACGAGUUUUUGCGUGAGCUGUGUGCAGUGUGUGGUGAGAGUUGCACAAAAGGUAACGAGGGGGGUCCGCAUCUAUGCAGAGAUACAUUGCUUUUGUUAAAUUAAUAUCCCAAGUUUGAAUUCGGAUAAUAAUUUGUUAAAUCGAAUUUUAUUGAUAAAGAUUUUUCAAGUAAAAGAAAUUUCACCAAUCUUCGUGAAGGAUCACAAAAACAGGAAAUAAAAGGAAAAUACGAAUUUUUUCCUUACCCGCGGAGGCUGGCCGAAAGUUGUUGCGCACACACAACUUUCACGCCUAGAUUUCCUUGUUUCGCCGAUGGAAAUUGAAGGAAUUCUACACGUGAAUCAGAAGGAGGUGGCCCCAAAAGUCAAAGUCAAGACUUUGACUUUUGGGCACACGCAUAUAAAAGGGAAAACGAAUCCGCCGCCUAAGCCCUAUGUAGAAGAAGCCGCAAGAAGCUGCACGUUCGCCAAGAGAGGAACUGCACAAAAGAAAGAAAAAAUACGCGGGAGUUUUUAUUUUCUUUUUGGUAUACGACUUGAACACGCGGUAAUUUUGUGCCGUGAAUUUAUGUUUAAGUAAAUUGUUUAUUUAUAAAUACUUUGGAUUUAGGAUUAAAUCUAGAUGUGGGAAACACUCAAGCGUGUGAGCCAUUGUAAACUCUGAGUCUCCGAUUAUAAUGGAUUAUUUAUUAUUGGCUCUUCUCGUGAACAUAGGUAUCGAUACUCGGACCAAACCACGUAAAUUUCUAAUAUCCUUAUUAUUUCUCGUUUAUUUUUCUGACGAUUUCACAUUGACAUAAAUUGUAAAAUCCUGUCGUUUUCACAUAUUAUAUUCCAACAAUUUGUAUCAGAGCUUAGAGUUGGAUGUUUUGAUUGCGAUUUGGAGUUUUUGCUUGUUUGAUUAUUAUUUGAAAAUUUUGUUAUUGUAAUUAUAUUUGAGAGGAAAUCUGAAAUUGAGAAACUUAAUGAGAGCAAUAACUUUGUAUUAUGGAGCAUCAAGAUGCGAGCUUUAUUAAUAACUCAAGGUUUGGCCAAAGCACUGAACGGUGAAGAUGAGUUGCCAAUUAUAUUGAAAGCUUCGGAGAUGGUAGAGCUAAUGGAAAGAGCAAAAAGUACAAUUCUGUUAAAUUUAUCGGAUGAGGUCUUAAUAGAGGUUGCUGAAGAGAAGGAUGCCGCAACAUUAUAGGCAAAACUUCAAGUACUUUAUGUGAAAAAAAAUGUUUGAACAAUCGCUUGUACAUGUUGAAGAUGAUGUUUCAAUUUAGAUAUAUUGAAGGUACGUCUAUCAGAACCCACCUAGAUGAAUUUAAUAAACUCAUAAUAAAUCUAAAUAACAUCGCUAAAAUACUUGAUGAUGAAGAGUAGGGCAUAAUGUUGUUAGCCUCUUUAUCAAAAUCAUGAGAGUACUUUGCUGAUUCAUUGUUGCAGGGAUGUACUACAAUUACCUCAGAAGAGGUAAAGUCCGCCUUAUUCUCUAAAGAGUGGCGGAUAAAGUUGCGAGAUGAAGGUCUAGUGCAAGGAGUAGAGCAGGCACUAACGAUUCGAGGUAGAGAACAACAUCAAGGGCCUAUUAGCAACAGAGGUAAAAGUAAAUCAAAAUCACGCCAUAGAAAGUCCAAGGGAUGCGUGAAGUGCUUUGAGUGUCACAAAGAGGGGCACAUCAUGAGAGAUUGUCUAAAGCGGAGGAAUAAAGUUGAUAGGCAAAAUGCUAUAAGCAGUGUGGCAAAUGUUGCCGAAGGCAGCGCUAGUGAUGUAGAAGCUUUUUUAUGUGUGACUACCAUUUCGUCAGGAGACGAAUGGAUGCUAGAUUCAAGGUGUUCUUAUCACGUGAAAUCUCAUAAGAAUUGGUUUAUUACUUACCAGGUUGCAGAUGAUAGUAGAGUUCUUUUGAGGAAUAAAGUAGUUUGUAAGGCUGUGGGGAUAGGGACAAUUCGGAUCCGGAUGCACGAUGGGGUGGUGCACACAUUGACAGAUGUGAGGCAAGUACUGAGCUCAAGAAAAACCUUAUUUUUCUAGGGACACUCGAUGACAUUGGGUGUAGGUACACCGCUGAAGGUGGAGUAUUGAAGAUCUCUCGAGGUGCCAUGAUAAUGAUGAAAAUGGAAGAAAGUGAAUACUCUAUCAUCUACUGAGAGAGAUUGUGAUCGGAACUGCUGCAGUUUCAUUAGGUGCGUCAAACUCUAACUUGACUUAAUUAUGGCAUAUGCAUUUGGGGCACAUGAGUGAGAUAGGUAUGACGAUACUGAGCAAAAGGGGGUUGUUAAAGGGUCAAAAGAUAGGGAAGCUGAACUUAUGUGAGCACUACAUCUUUGGGAAGUAGUGACGAGUUAAGUUUAUUAUAGCUAUUCAUUCGACUAAACGACCAGUUGAAUAUAUUCAUUAAGACAUCUGGGACCCGUCUUCGGUUCCUUCAAAAGGAGGUGUCCGAUAUAUGCUAACAUUUAUCGACGAUUAUUCGAUAAAGAUAUGGGUAUACUUUCUGAAGCAUAAAUAUGAAGUGUUUGAUCGGUUCAAGAAAUUUAAGGCAUUGAUUGAGAAGUGGUCAGAUAAACAAAUCAAGUGCCUGAGAACCGAUAAUGGCAUGGAGUUAUGUGGUAAAGAUUUUACCGAGUUCUGCGAGAAAGAAGGUAUUGUGAGAUAUCGCACAAUACCUGGGAUACUACAGCAUAAUGGCGUGGCAGAACGAAAGAACAGACCUUUGCUUGAACGAGCUCGAUGCAUGCUUUCGCAUGCAAGACUUGGCAAGGAAUUUUGGGCCAAAUUACGUAUAUUCAAAUGUCUUUCGUAUGCUCAUGCGAGUGAUGGUAAGCUUGAGCCGAGGGCGAAUAAGUGCAUAUUUUUAGGUUAUGCACAUAGGGUGAAAGGUUACCGGCUGUGGUGCACCGAUCCCAUAACACCUGGUUUUCUAAUCAGUAGAGAUGUGAUCUUCGACGAGACUGUAAUGCUUCAAAAUAGGAGUUCUAAAACACAACCAACAAAGAAGACAAAUUAUGGUAUCAUUAGUGAGGUGGAGCUUCAAGUUGAGACUUCGGAGAACUCGAAGGUAACAAAAGUUGAGACUGCAGUUGAAGCCGCAAUUUCUAAAGUUAGUGAUAGUGAACAACCAGUAAAGCCGCAGCACACUAUAGCCGUAGAUAAACACAGAAGGAAAAUUGGUUAUACAAAUAUUGCUUAUGCAUUGAUUAUAGGUGAUGAGGUGGAGAUAGAUGAGCUUUCAUUUUACUCUGAAACGAUGGCUAGUUCGGAGUCGUCGCAGUGGUUAGGGGCUAUGAGCGAAGAGAAGGAAUCACUUCAUCAAAAUCAGACAUAGGAGUUGGUCAAAGUACCCAAGAGCCAAAAGAUUGUCGGAAGUAAAUGGUUCUUUAAACGGAAAGAGGGCAUUCCCGAUGUCGAGGAAGCGAGGUAUAAGGCGAGACUUGUGGUGAAGGGAUAUACACAACGUGAGGGCAUUGACUAUAAUGAGGUGUUCUUUCCUGUGGUAAUACAUACUUAUAUUUAUGUUUUACUUGCCUUAGUUGUUUCGCAGGAUCUCGAGUUAAAGUAACUAGAUGUGAAAACUACGUUUCUUUAUGGUGAGUUGGAGGAGUAGAUUUACAUGAGGCAACCAGAGGGAUUUACUAUUCCGCAUAAGAAAUAUCAUGUUUGCUUGUUAAAGAAAUCUUUGUAUGGGUUGAAACAGUCUCCUAGGCAAUGAUAUAAAUGUUUUGAUGCUUUCAUGGCUAGUCAAAACUAUUCAAAAAGUCAUAUAGAUAGCUAUGUUUAUUAUAGGAGAUUGGAGAAUGGUUCUUUGAUUUAUCUACUCUUAUAUGUUGAUGAUAUGCUGAUAGAAGUUAAGAAUAUAUCUGAUAUUGAUGUGUUGAAAAGGCAAUUAAAUGUUGAAUUUGAGAUGAAAGAUUUAGGUGCUGCAAAGAAAAUAUUGGGUAUGGAGGUUUCGCAUGACAAGACUAUAAGAGUUUUACAUCUAUCUCAAAAGAAAUAUAUUGAGAAGAUCGUGACACGUUUUAAUAUGCAAUCAGCAAAAUCUGUAAGUACACCUUUAGCGAAGCACUUUAAACUUUCAAAUAAAUUAUCACUACAGACUAAGAAGGAGGAGAAGCAUCCUUAUUCUAAUGUCAUGAGUAGUAUUAUGUAUGCUAUGGUGUGCACUAGGGCUGAUAUUUCACAAGCUGUAAGCGUGGUUAGUCGCUAUAUGAAGCAUCUUGGUAAAGCUUAUUAGGAAGCUGUGAAAUGAAUCCUCAGAUAUUUGAAGGGGACAACGGACGUGGGUAUAAUGUACCGGAGGGACAACAAUGGUAGUAAGACCACUGAUUUUGUGGAUUCGGAUCACGCCGGUGACUUGGAUGAUUGCAAAUGUUUAGCAUGGUAUGUAUUUACGCUAGCGGGUGGUGCAAUUAGUUGGAAAGCGUCCUUACAAGAUCACAUUGCAUUGUUUUCGAUUGAGGCAGAGUACAUGGCACUAACUUUUGUAGCGAAGGAGGUGAUAUGGUUAUAAAGUUUACUCUUAGACUUUGAUUUAGAAUAGAAAAGUGUGAAUAUACACUAUAUACACUGUGAUAAUCAAGGUGCGAUAUAUUUGGCGUAUAAUCCAGUUUAUCACAAGCAAAUGAAGUAUAUUAACAUUAGAUAUCACUUCAUCUGAGAUGUCUUAGUUAAGAGUAAUAUUAUUGUAAAAAAGAUUGUUUCAGUAGAUAACCCGGCAGACAUGAUGAUUAAGUUUGUUCCUUUGGUGAAACUCAAGCUUUGCUUGUGCUCUAUUGGCGUCUGUGGAGAGUGAGCGUCAAUCGGAGCGUUGUGAGAGUAGCAUGGAUAAUGAGCAUUAUAACUUGGUUUCAAACAUCGAGUCAAGGUAGAGAAUUGUUAAAUUAAUGUCUCGAAUUUGAAUUCGGAUAACGAUUUGUUAAACCGUAUUUUAUUGAUAAGGAUUUUUCAAAUAGAAGAAAUUUCAUCGGUCUCCACGAAGGAUUACAAAAAGAGAAAAUGAAGAUACGAAUUUUUUCCUUACCUGCGGAAGCUGGCCGAAAGUUGUUAUGCAGGUGGGGCCCAAGUUCUUGACUUUUGGGCGUGCGCACACACAACUUUCACGCCUGGAUUUCCUUGUUUCACCGAUGGAAAUUGGAGGAAGCUUCUACACGUGAAUCAGAAGGAGGUGGGCCCAAAAGUCAAGACUUUGACUUUUGGGCAUAUGCAUAUGAAAGGUAAAACGAAACUCUACGAAGCCGCCUAAGCCCUAUAUAGAAGAAGCCGCGAGAAGCCACACGUCUGCCGAGAGAGGAGUUGCACAAAAGAAAGAAAAAAAGACACAAGAGUUUUUAUUUUCUUUUUGGUGUACGACUUGAAACGCGCGGUAAUUUUGUACCGUGAGUUUAUAUCCAAGUGAAUUGUUACUUAUAAACACUUUGGGUUUGGAGUUAAAUCUAGAUGUGAGAAAUACUCGAGCGUGUAAAAGAUUGUAAACUUUGAUUCUCCAAUUAUAGUGAAUUAUUUGUUGCCGGCCCUCCUCGUGGACGUAGGUACCGAUAUUCGAACCAAACAACGUAAAUUUCUAGUAUCCUUAUUAUUUCUCGUUUAUUUCUUUGGCGAUUUUGCGUUGACGUAAAUUGCAAGAUCUUAUCGUUUCCGCAUAUUAUAUUCCAACAGUCUUCUCCUCAAAGGAUUGUACAAUCAUAUCAUGUAUGCCUACUUUUAUGGGUUGAUGGUGCGAAACAAGUGAGAAGAUUUCAUUUUUCGCUAGGCCCAUGUUUUCCACGAAGAAGUGGUCUUCCUUUGGGUGCACGACUGACCCUGUCUAAAAGAGCAAUUCACACAAGGCACGAAAUUCAUGGUAAGCAUCCACCCAUUCUUUCUUUGUCUCUUCUCUUCUAUUUCUAAAGUUAGAUCCGUCCCCUCUUCUUUUUUUCUAAAGCAAGAUUUGAUUUGCCAUCUGUUGAUCCACCAAAUCGAUAGCUCUUCGCUUUCCCGAGUAGUUCCUUUGGGUUCACAACUAACCCUUUCUCAAAGAGCAAUUCAUACCUAAAAUGUUGAAACCGAUGGUUCAGGACCCAUGAAAUGACAAUAUAUCAUACGAGAGGUAAAUCUUUGUUGUAGAAUUAAUGAACGCGGAAGCAAAUGAAGAUCUUACAAUUAACUCAAUUUGAGAUCACCGAAAAAAUAAACGAGGAACAAUAAGGGCCAAAGAUUUACAUAAUUCAAUACGAGUGUUGAUACCUAUAUUCAUGAGGAGUGUCGACAACAAAAAUUUACUAUAAUUAGAUAAUCAGAGUUACAAUCGCUCAGCAUGGUCGAGUGUUUCCCAUGCAUAAAUUAAAUCCAAACCCAAUAUAUUAAUAAAUAAACAACUCAUUUUGGAUGUAAAAAACUCAUAGCACAAAUUACAUGCUUUGCCCAUGACCAAAUAGCAGCUCUCUUUGAAACGGCCGAAAAUCAAGGACCUCGUCUGUGCUUGAUUUCCUUUCUUUGCAGCACACAUGGCUUUCCAAUUGCUGCACAUAUAAAAUUAGACAAGCAUGUGUAUGCCCCUUUCUUUGGUUCGGCCAGUCUGUAUUACUUUUAAAGUCCAACUCUCAGUCUAGGUCUUAGUCUUGGUUAAACUUGCAUAUUUUUUCCAAAUGGGUGGGGUUUCGCCGUGUGAGAAGGUGUCUUGAUCAACGGAAAAGCAUAUGCUUUUCAAAGUCAUCAUCUCUUAUUUAGUUCAAUCUGGAAGAAACUUCACUUGCAGCAUCUUAGAACACAGAAACCACUCACAAUGGAAAAGCAUAAGGUGAUUAUAUUCCUGUUUUUCCAUGCCCAGCUCAUAUUAUGGAUGAGUUCAGCAAUGCAAACUAACCAGACUGAUCGGCUUGCUUUAAUCUACUUCAAAGACAGUGUGGAUAAGGAUUUGCUUAGAGUCUUGAGCUCAUGGAAUGACUCUUCUCAUCACUGUAAGUGGCCAGGUAUUGUAUGCGGUUGACGGCAUCCCGAAAGGGUCGUGUCCCUCAACCUGAUGUCGAAAGGCUUGGGCGGUCUUCUAUCGCCUCAUGUCGGAAACCUCUCUUUCCUUAGAAGCCUUGUUCUACAGAACAACAACUUUCGUGGCAAAAUUCUGCAAAGCAUUGGCCACUUGUUUCGCUUGCAACGUCUCAUUCUUAGUAACAACUCUUUCGAUGGACAAAUGCCCACAAAUCUUUCUCAGUGCUCAAACCUUGAGGUUUUGAAUCUCAUUGAUAACCAACUUGUGGGAAAAAUAUCUCAUGAGCUUGGCUCUUUGUCAAAGCUUCGAGAUUUAUUUUUGGCUAAAAAUAGUCUUACAGGAUCUAUUCCUCAUUCUAUUGGAAAUCUCUCCCAACUUUUGUCUCUUUCCGUUGGACGUAAUGGGUUGCAAGGAGAGAUUCCCAAGACAUUGUCCAAGCUUCGUGGUUUGAGGAAUGUUCAACUAGCAUUUAACCAACUCACUGGCAAGAUCCCACCAGCAAUCUUCAACAUGUCCAGCAUUAUCUAUUUUAGCGCCGGUGACAAUCAAUUGAGAGGGAGCAUUCCCCCUAAUAUCGGCGAUACUCUUCCUUCUCUUAGUUAUCUUGAUUUUCCUAGAAAUUUGUUUACUGGCAUUAUACCUCCGUCCUUAUCGAAUGCCUCCAACCUUCAGUACAUCUACUUUAACCAUAACAGUUUUCAUGGACCAAUGCCUGCAAAUCUUGGAAGGCUAAAAGCUCUUGAAGGAAUGUUUCUUAUGUCUAACCAGUUGCGAGAUGACUUCAGUUUUAUUACCUCAUUGACUAAUUGUUCAAUGCUGGAAAUUAUUGGGGUAGACCAUAAUUUUCUUGAGGGUCUCUUGCCGGAUUCCAUCGGCAAUCUUUCCAACAGCGUUAGACUAAUUGCUAUGUCAUCCAACGCAAUGUAUGGAACCAUUCCUCCAAGUAUUGGCAAUCUCUUCAACUUGUCUUUUCUUGGCUUGUCAAACAAUUCACUUAGCGGCCAUGUUCCUUCUUGUAUUGGAGCACUCUAUAACUUGCGCAAUUUGUACUUAAGCAUUAACAUGCUAACAGGAGAGAUCCCAUCGUCGAUCGGCAAUUUGACGUUAUUGAGUCUCCUUUACCUACCAUUCAACAACUUCUACGGGGAAAUACCGCAAAGCCUUGGUAACUGCAGGCAGCUAAUCGAGCUUGAGCUUUCAAACAAUAAUCUGAGUGGUCCAAUCCCGAGGGAGGUUCUUAGUCUUUCCACCAUUUCGAUUAUCUUCAACUUGGCACAUAACCAAUUGAGUGGAUCUCUUCCAUCCCAAGUUGGGUCCUUGACCAAUCUCGUGGAACUAGAUCUGUCUUACAAUAAGUUGACGGGACCAAUUCCUAGCUCCAUCAACAAGUGCUUGCUGUUGGGGCGGCUCAACUUAGCAGUCAAUUCCUUUCAUGGUGAAAUACCUCCGGCUUUAGGCACAUUACGAGGCUUACAAGAGUUGGAUGUUUCCCAUAAUGACUUAUCUGGGGAAAUCCCGAGCUUUCUCACUCAACUUACGAAUCUAAAGUACUUGAAUCUAUCUUCAAACAAGCUUGAAGGAAAAGUUCCGAAGCAAGGAGUAUUUCUCAAUGCUAGUGCAGUGUCCGUCUUUGAGAAUAGGAAUCUUUGUGGAGGUAUUGCAGAACUAAACCUUCCUUCUUGCAAAUCCAAUACCUCUAAACCAUUACUAACCAAACCAUUACUAACUAAAAUAGUUAUAGUAAUCGCCAUAGUGAUGACCAUCUUGUCAAGCUUCAUUCUGUGUAUUUGCCUGUUUAUCAUUUAGUAUCAGAGAAAGAAGUCAGAAAGAAAAUAUCUCUUCAACUAAAUUGCCGUUUGAAUACCAAUUUCUUGAGGUCUCUUAUGCAGAGCUCUCUAGAGCCAUAGAUGGAUUCUCUGAGAACAAUGUGAUCGGUAAAGGAAGAUAUGGUACUGUCUAUAAAGGAAAUACAGAGGAACACAGCUGGUAGUGGUUAAAGUGCUCAACUUGGGCCAUAGAGGUGCUUUGAAGAGCUUUAUCUCAGAAUGUCAAACCUUAAGGGCCAUAAGACACUAAAAUCUCGUGAAGAUAUUGACCGUGUGCUUAAGCAUGGACUAUCACAGCAACGAUUUCAAAGUUCUCUUAUACGAAUACAUGGUUAAUGGGAGCUUAGAGAAUUGGAUACACAAGGGAAACGAAGAAGACGUUGAGCAUGAACAUGAACAUGGAAAGCCAGGACAUUUGGGACUAAUGCAAAGGUUAGACAUUGCCAUUGACAUAGCUUCCGCAAUCAAAUAUCUUCAUGAGGAUUGCAGCCCAAAGAUUGUACAUGGAGAUCUGAAGCCAAGUAACGUCCUUCUGGACAAUGAGAUGAUGGGACGAGUUGGGGAUUUUGGGUUGACGACAAUCAUCUCCGCUGCGACAACAGAGGUCAUGGACAUUGACGACCGUAGCAGAUCAAUGGCAGUGAGGGGUUUCGUAGGCUAUGUCCCUCCCGGUAAGAAAAUUUUCUCAUUAAUUGUCUAAGUUUUAUUUGUGUUGGCCUUUAGAUGAAAUAUUUAUUUUCAUUGCAUAUUGCUUGAUGUACACUAUUUUAGAGUAUGGCAUGGGGGACAUGGUUGAUAUAGCUAGUAUACGUGCCUAGAGGGGGGGUGAAUAGGUAUAUAAAUGAUUUUUCUCGAUAAUUGCACAAUGAUAGACAGUUGAUAGAUUUGAGACAAACAAUAGUCAAAGUAAGACUGAGAGAAGAGAAAAUUGAACACGCGGUUUAUAGUGGUUCGGCUUAUUUCAAGCCUACGUCCACUCUUCUGCACUGACAGCCUAUUGGCUAGAUUCCACUAUGAUCAAAGAGAUGUUACAGCAAUGUUCUCCCUUGAUUUCUCGGUGUAGAUGAUCUACCACACUCGCUCAAGAUAUCAUUAAGUAUAGACACUCUUUGUGUAUACAAUUUCGCUCAAAAUGUAUUGACUAAUAAUCAAGGUGCUUCAGACUCUGGAAUUUCUCUAUCUGCCAUGCACUAAAGCAACUAGAAUGUCUUCAUUUUGUACUCCUUUAUGCCAUCAUACCCGUUGGCACUUACCAAAGGAAUUCCUCCAAUCUACCCAUUGGACGGAAUCAAUCAAGAAGAUCAUUCGAGCUAUUAAAGGAACUUGACGAUAGCCCAUCAAUCCUGUUCGCCCAUACAAUCAGGAUCUUGGUUUCCAAGAAUAGAACCUUCCAAGAAUAUUUCGUCGACCAUCGGAUCUUCAAACAAUCUUGAUUACGAAUAAAAGAAUCCAUUAUUUUUAUCUAGCCAAGAGAUCUUCUCCAGAGGAUAGGACUAAAUCCUCAACCAAAUACUUCAACUCUGGAUUGCCUUCGUCACUGGAUUAGAAAAAAAACUGUCAAUGAGAAUAGUCUUGAGUCUUGAGUCUUGAGUGCUGAGUCUGGUGAUCUGAAAGUCUUCAGACUCUAAACAAAAGGUCUGUAUUUAUCCAGACUAGACUGAUAGAAACGUUUUGUCAGCUUCAAAAUAUUCUGGAAAGAUUUCUCCAACAAUGGUAUCCACACAAGGUGACGUGUACAGCUAUGGUAUUGUUUUAUUGGAAAUGCUAACCGGGAGGAGACCAACAGAAGAGGCUUUCAAGGACCAUUUAAAUCUCCACAACUUUGUCAGGAUGGCUCUACCAAACUGAGUGAUGGAGAUCGUGGACUUGGCCAUUUUUAACAUAGAAAGAGAGAAUGACAUUGAGAGGAUAAGAGAUUGCAUCGCCUUCGUCCUAAGGAUUAGAGUUGCAUGUUCAAUGGAGUCAUCGCAGGAUCGGAUGGAUAUGGCCGAAGCACUCAAGGAACUACAUAAGAUUCGAGCUAGGUAUGAAUCCAAGUAUAGGCUAGGUUGAAGCAAGUUUAGCUCCCAUACACUUAGGACGCGCAUGAUAAAAUUUUUAUUUCUCUAUUUUUUUAUUUCUCUAUCCCCCGAAACAAGUUUGGAACAAAAAUCCAUGGUAACGCAAUUUCAAUUUUCUAUUUUUAGAACGGAUUUCUAUAUCAGAAAUAGAUUUGGAGUGGAAAUUAGAAGUUAAAAUUUUUAACUUUUCAAUUUCUAGAAUAAAAGUGAGAAAUUAAAACAUUUUUCAUCGUUCACUCUCGUCAUUGCCCGUUGCCCAUUCGCCGCCCAUGGGAUGCUAGACGCCCAUCGCCCAUCACUUGCCAUCGGUCAUUGGACCCGCCACUAGCCGCUAAACGCCAGCCACCCAUUGCCGACCGGCCACCCACCAAUAGACGCCGAACUUCGACCACCCAUCGCGGGUCAUUGGCCACCAAUCGCCGGCCGCCAACCGCCGAUCAUCGGCCACUCACCACCAAAUGCCAGCCGCUAACCAUUAGACACUUGCUGUCGGACGCCAAACAUCGCCGAUCAACCGCCCAUCGCCAGACGUUGGACUUUGGCCGCCCAUCGCCGGUUGUUGGUUGUCGGACGAUGGAUGCCUGCCGCCGGUUAUCAGCCACUCGCCACCAAAUGCCGGCCGUCGACUGUUGGACACUCGCCGCCGAACACCAGACGCCGAUCGCCGAACCCUCGUUGUCGAACGCCCGUCGCCGAACGCCGGCCGUCGCCACCACUAGAAAUAGAAAUUUUAUUAUUUUAUCAAACGAAUUUCUAUUCCAAAAACAAAAAUUUUGAAUCGUUAUCAAACACAUUUCUUUACUUAGAAACUUAUCCGAGGAGUAGAAUUUAGUUUUUGUUCCAGAAUUUUUAUCAUGCACGCCCUUAAACUAGACUUUGUCUUAGGAUUAAUUUUGCUUUGAACAAGAAAGAUCCUAAUGGUUCUAUUCUUUGUCUUGGUUGUAACUAUUUUCCACUAGGCUCAAAGACGAACUCAUAUACUAGUUCAAUGUAUGUAAUCUAUCUCCAUCUCUAUUCUCCUUCCCCUGCUUACGAUCUCAUUAUUUUCUUUAUAUCAAUUUUCUGUUUCUAGUUUUUCCUCUUAAAGUCCAUCUCUAACAAUUCGAUCUCAUUAUUUUCUUUAUAUCAAUUUUCUGUUUCUAGUUUUUCCUCUUAAAGUCCAUCUCUAACAAUUGUCUUUAGAUGCAUAGUUUAUAUAUAUAUUUAUAGAUUUAUAAAUGUAGAGAAAUAUAAAGUACAGGCGUAUCUUAAAAAAGGUAAUAAAUUAUGCCAAUGCUGAUUAAUUUUUAAAUGAUAAUUCAUAUUGUGGAUUAAUAAGAGAAGCAAAAGUAAAGUCAAUAAGAUUAUUAAAUUUCGCCAAGGUUGAUUUUAGGUGGUGGCUUUUUUUUUGGUAACGGGAAGGCGGUCAUUUUAACAAUAUAAAAUCUUAGAUCAUGCACGUAGAUGUUAAAAAUCUAAGAAUUCAAUUGUAUAAUUUAAAUAAGUUGAGGAACUACAAAUGAGAUUAUUAAUUAAUUUAAUAUUAUGAAAAAUCUCAAUUUGGUUCACUUGAAAACCCCAAGUUAUAUAUUUGAAUAAAUUUAUUCUCUAUCAGUAUCUUUAUCAAAUUACUUAUUUAAAUGACAUGUAACAAUAGACACUUGUACCAAUUUGAGAUUUUACUCUUCAUUUAACACAUAUUUAUCAGUUUGUAACUUUUGUUAAUAUUAAUUUAAUUUAAUAAAAAUUAACGGAAGAUAAAUUUAUGAUAAAUAUACUAAUUUAAGAUUUUUGAUAAUUUAUCAUAAAUGUAUUUUGAAAUUUUUCCUGGUAUUUAUCCUUAAAUUUUAUUAUCGCUUUCUUAUCACGCACCACGGUCUAGAAGAACUUUUUAGUUUCUCUUCAUCUCUGAGAGCGUCUGUCUCUCCCUCCCGCCCUCGCCGUUGCGCUUCUGCUCAGCCCACCGUCGCCUCGUCACCUCCGCUCGUCGCCGUCUAACUCGUGCCUUCGCCUCUGAAACAGCUGCCAUAUUCGAGAAAAUAUUCAGUGGUUCGUUCGCGCCACGUCAUCCGCUGACGUGGUGCGCACAUACCACCCAGCUUUCGACACCUGUCCUGGGGGACCCGCUGGAAAAUGAAAAGACUCGCUCGGCUCGGCUCGUUUCGGCUCGGCGUGGGACCCACAAUCUGGUCAGACUGAGGAGAAAAUCAGGCGCCAUUUUAAAAAAAUUUCGGACUUGAGCGAGGUUUUCUCCUUCUUCUCUUUCUUCGCGCCUCUCACUCUGCCCUCCCUCUCUCUCUCCGACGAACAGGACGCGACCUCCCAGUCGCUCUAUGCCCUCCCUCUUUCCGACCGGCGAACCACCGCCAGCAACCGACGAACCACCGCACCGGACCGGCGAGAGGACCACGAGAUCUAGCUCCCUCCCUUUGCCCUCCCUCUUUCCGACCGGCGAACCACCGCAAGGGACCGGCGAGAGGACCGCGACCUCCCUCUCUCUCUACAUUCCCUCUUUCCGACCGACGAACCACCGCACGGGCAAGAAGACCGCGAGCAAAUAAGAUGUUUUUGUAGAGAUCUCCCAUCGUCGCCUUCAUCUUCUUCCUCCUUUUUUUUUGUUUUGUUGUUGUUUUUUUUUUCCCUAGUGUUCUAAUGGUGGAUCUGGAGUUGCAUAUGAAGGACGACGUGAUGUCUCACAUCAACCUCGACGGCUUCUUCGGCGACCUCCCUGAGACCGGCGACGUCAUCGGCGCUUACUCCUCGACGAUCGCGUCGUCGUCGUCUCCAGACUCGGGGCUCUCGUGGUUCGACGAGAUCGAGAACAUCCUGAUGAAGGACGAGGAUGUCCACGUGCUUGCUGAGCCGGGGGCUGAGCGGGCCGUGCCGGAGGGACUCGAGCUUCCCGCGGACCUUCGCUUCCCCGGCCCCUCGCCGCCGGCUUCUCCCCGCCUCCUGCAAGAUGCGGCAGCGCGGCCUCAGGUGCUCCGCUAGCUGGCUGAUUUCCUCGGUUUCCAUGGCGCGUGUUCGGGAUUCUCAUUUUUGUUUUUGUUUCGUGUGUGGAUGACUACUAGUUCUGGGAGCAGGAGGCCGCAAGUCAAGAAGGCUUCGCUGGAUAGGCUACCGUCGAUUGUGGUUAAUGGAGAGGGCGAAGAGGACGCUGCUUUGGCGGAGAGCGUGCGUAGCGCUGAUUGGGAAAUUGUGGCUGAUGAUUCUGAGGACGAUGAUUCCGAUGGCCCUUUUUGCAGAUAAUACUUUACCGUCAGUACACCCCCUUAUCUGUACCCCUUUUUGCAGAUCAUGGGCAUUGGAGGACAUGAAUUGUUUCAACAUCCAAUUUCAGCUGGAUUUAGUCUUUGGAGAUUUACUAAAAGAAAGAGGCAGGUUGCUUUCAACAUCCUCACCCCUGGAGGAUUUGUCCACUCGAGGAUCCAAGGUAUGUCAUCUUUGUGAACUUACUCCCCUGCAGUUAAGUUGCAGUUACCGAUAUCCUUUUUCCUGCCUUAGUCAUAUAGUGUUGUCCAUUGGCAUGAGAUAAUUUGUGCAAGAAAUUUAUAUAUAUUAUGUUCCCUUAAUAUGCUCUUGUUAUCACAUUAGUUGAUGUUUUAUGAUGACUUUUUGGUCAAUUGGCACGAUCAGGUGUGGGUUGUUGUCCUUAGUGGAAUGGGUAUCGCAUUCUCUUUCUAUUAUGUACUCUGAAAAGAAAAAAAUUAAACGGCUCAUUGGUCAACUAUCACUUGAUUAUAGAAGCUAGAAAUUAGUUCUUAGUACAUAUGGUUACCUGAAUAUCUUUCUGCUCGCAAUUAAGUAGCUAUUAUCACCGUGGAGAAUUUGUAAUCUGAGGCCUCUGCACUCUUCUUGUUCAUAUUUUGCCAGCAGGCUAUCAUUGUUUUAAUUAAUUCUCUUGAGGUUCUUAUGGUACCUCUGACGCCUAGUACUGUGAUCACAGUGUUAUCUGUGGGUUUGUUGCCUGGCUAUACUAUUGAUUUGUUGAUCAUUGUGUUAAGAUUUUCCUUUGGAGUUAGCUGGUUAAAAGACCCUUACAUAAACAGACUGAAAAGUUAGCGGCUUUCUUGUUCUUUCAGCAGUUUAAUUUGAACAUGGGACAUGUUUUUCUUGUGAAUUACUAAAUCCCAUUGCUUUUUGUUUGGAGCUUUUUCUGCCAUCAAAUUUUACCUUUUUGGAAGGACUCAUUAGACCUUGAUCCUCAUUGAUGUAGUAAUAAACCAAAGCUUGCAUAUCUUUCAAAGAUUUUGAUUGCACUUUUAAGCUAUGGCGGGUCCCUAAUGAAUUUCUUUUGGACAUGGUGGAGAAUGCUCUGGGAGAUGCAAAUAGCGUAUUCUCUAGUAAACGAGCAGCUCUAAGAGGUAGUAUUCUUCUGAACUUUUGGACUGUUGAAAUAUUGUCUAUUCUUAAAACAGUCCAAAAAGAGAUUUUUCUCCAAUUUUUUUUUUCUAUACUUGGAUGUGCUUCUUUUAUUUUUCUUGAUUCGAAAUAUGCAUAAGUAAAAAAAUGCAUCUCUAUUCAUCUUUGCUGGUUUUUUUUCCCUUGGGUGCGUAUUUCCUUCAAUUGCCAUUUGAUGUGUAAACAUUUUCCUUUGUGUUUUCCUUUUGUUCUUUUACCGUAUGAACAGUUUUGGUGAAUCAUGGUGAGAAGGAUGGUUUCACUGCGGCCAGAAUGAUCUUAUCUGGGAUUCCUCUGGACGAAACAUACCUACAAAAUCAUCUGUCCAUCCUGAUGAAUGAUGAAAAGAAGAGUUUGAAAGGAGGAAGGAUUCCUAUUCCAGAUUUUUACUAUCUAAUGGGGACAGCCGAUCCCACAGGAAUUCUUAUAAGUGAUGAAAUUUGUACAAUUGGUUGAUUAUGAAGUAUGAGAACAUCCUUUCUCGCCUCUCGAACUAUCCGCUCAUCGACUUUGCUGGAGAUAAAAGAACCCAUUGCUUCCCGGAUGCCAUUGUUGGUCUGAAAAUCCAUGAUGACCUUACUGUGGAUCCUUCACUGAUGAAGGGGAAUAAGAGCAUCCUCGAUUUCAGACACUUCCUUGACCAUGCUUACCAGCCGCGGAUAAAAGGUUCAAUACCAGACAAGGAGCAAGGGGUACAGCUGAAACUGAAUCAAUCGGCUUCAGUGCCAACUUUGGGGUGAUCGAUGAAAAUUAAUAAAGACGACCAGAAACACCAGGUGAAGAAACCGAAGCUAGUGAUAUUAUCGUGCAGUGGGUCCAGGGCGUUAGUUAACGAAGACUGCUUGGUUAAAAUGGCAGAGGAUAUGGGGUUCAGAGUAACGACUGAACUGGCGAAGAUGUAUCGCUUGCUUAAUAAGAGCGAGGUUAUGGUUGGUGUACACGGGGCUGCUUUGACCCACUUCCUUUUCCUGAAGCCUGGUUCUGUGCUCAUCCAAGUCAUUCCUUUAGGGACGGAUUCACCAGCUGAGACAUGCUUUGGUAAACCUGCUAGAGAGCUUGGUCUCAAGUAUAUUGGCUACAAGAUUUCGCCUAGAGAGAGCUCACUGUAUAAUGAAUACGAUCAAGAUGAUCCAGUCCUUACGAAUCCAAAGGGUUGGCAAUACACUAAGGAGAUCUAUCUCGACAGACAGAAUGUGAGCUUGGACAUGAGGAGAUUCCACAAGCGGCUGCUUCAAGCCUAUGACUAUUCCUUCAAGAAAAUAAACAGGCAAAUUAGCUACAAUCAAACAACCGACUUGUUUAAGCUUUGCUAACUACUUCCUUCUCUUCACCUUCCUUGAAUAAUUGUCGAUAUUUCUUUCCAUUGACUGAAUGGUUGAAACUUGAAUAAAGUACACUCAUCUGUGAAUCAGUUUUUCAGGUUCAUCAUAAACUUGUAAAGAAGGCAUUUUUAACAAUUUGGUGAACUGGAUGACUUGUUAAUGAUGCUCCUCUUAACCUUCACGUCUGUUUUCCUGACAGUAGCACUUUUGGGUAAAUCUAAGGCAAUGGCCAUCUGCUGGUUUGCAUCUUCAACUAAAUUAAGCUGAACUUCAAAGAUGGGCAUGGGAUCCUGUUUCGGAAAAUGAAACAUGGAAGUUGUUGCUAUAGUUGUGUGUGUGUUUUUUUAACUGACUAGCCCCUCAGUUACAUUCGAGGUUUAUAACUGAAUAAGUAAACUAUGUAUGAUCCAUACCACGCAAGGUAUCGCUGGAUAAACUGAGGGAUCUCGGUUUCAGGGCCUGUGAAGCUAUUAUAAUCAACUAUACUAAAAACAAGAACACUUGAUUCUAUAGUACCACAUUGGCGUCACGUUAUAUGAAUGUCGUGCUAUAAUCUUUGAUUUUUAGCUAGCUAUACAAUAGAAGAGCAGCCGGUUUAUUAGCAGAGGCACCUGUCAUUUCCUCCAUUUCUGUUAAAAGAUGCCGAUAGCUUUGAUGACUUAAGUCAGAGAUUCAGAGAACAAUGGGCAAGAGCAGUUUGAAAACAUUGCCAUAGAAAUUUCGGGCAUUAUUUGAAGAACUUGUGUCAAUAUGUACAUAAGCAGUGUGUUAAACCAAAAAAUUGCUAUUGCGUUUGUCGGGUAACUCUUCAGUCUUUCCCUCGUCAAUUCUCCGUGUCUCAUCUAUCAUGUCAAAACUUCAGUCAGCUUCGAGUCAAAGCAUCACUUCGCUGGUCAUUGAACACUAAAUUUCGCCAUCUAUAGCUACAGCCAACGCUUUGCUAUUGUAGAUGAUGGGUGGACUGGAGGAGGCGUCUUGGCAUUCCUUGUGUCUUUUACAUCUUAUUGAAGAAACAAAAACAAAUAAUCAGAUGAUGGACAUAAUGAGAUGAAAUAUAUACUGUGAAUUAAAUUUAAUUAUGCUGAUUCUGCUUACUGGAAUUAGUGGACUUGCCACCCAGAGAAGACCGGCGAGACUGGUCUGAACCAGCACCUGUUAGUGAUUGUCUCCUAAGUGUCCGUGUGUUGGCUGCAAUUGCCAAUACUCUAUUUUGUGUCCGUGUGUUGGCUGCAAUUGCCAAUACUCCAUUUUUAAUGCAAGUAGUAGAGCCUCUGACAAGUGAACGAGCUUCUGUCACAUUUCUUUGGUUCCUGCAGUUGCGUAGAAACCAAGUCUUAAUGGCAAGAUAAUGAUGUGAGCAAAUUCUCAUAUUACCCGUCAUUUUGGAAUUUUUUGGUUUAACACGCGCCAUGGAAACCGAGGAAAUCAGCCAGCUAGCGGAGCACCUGAGGCCGCGCUGCCGCAUCUUGCAGGAGGCGGGGAGAAGCCGGCGGCGAGGGGCCGGGGAAGCGAAGGUCCGCGGGAAGCUCGAGUCCCUCCGGCACGGCCCGCUCUGUGAAGAAUACACGAACAGGAAGGAGAAACAGAGAAGAUGAAGAAACAAGCUUGACAAAGAUGAAGACUCAAAAGAAAAGGAAAUGAUCUUGAGCUUCUGUAUUUGGUUCUCUUGCUCUUCAGAAAAAGAGAGAGAGAGAGAGUAAACGUUUUAUAAAGUGCUUCUUGUAUUCGUUCUUUGUACAUUCCGUAUUUAUAUGCGAGAAACAAAACUUGUACAACUGUUUUAACAGAAAUGAAAACAGAAGGAGGGAAAAUAACAGAACACGGAAAAUAUUCAGUUUUGACUUAAAACUGAAUAUCUAUUAUUCAAUGAGCACGUGUUGUUGAUGUAACUCAUGCUUUCUUUGUUCUUCUUUUCUUUAUCCUCGCAAGUAGAGUUGAGUUUAUCGUUUCCAUCCUUGAUCGAAUCAUUAGCACCAGCAUUUGUUAUUGCACUUCCCAAGCCAGCAGUCUGCCUUGUCUUACUUCCCCUGUUUGCACCAGAACUUAACUCCCGUACAUCAGUAUCUAUCUUUGACUUUAAUUUGAACUUCUUUACUUCAUCUUCCUUGUUUCCAUUCAAGCUCGGCUCUUGAUCUCCAGCAUUUGUUUUUGACUUUGGCUUAUAUGCUUUAACAUCCCCCCGCAAAUUGGGAAGGGGUAAAGUACCAAUUCCCAAUUUGGUACGAAUGUCAAAAUGAGCGAACCGUGAGAUAGGUUUUGUAAAAAUAUCAGCAAGCUGGUGAGCGCUUGGAAUAUAACACACAUUGAGAGAGCCAGAAGCAACCUUCUCUCGUACAAAAUGAAAGUCAACUUCGAUGUGUUUGGUGCGGGCAUGUAAAAUGGGAUUAGCAGUAAGAGCAAUAGCAGACUGAUUAUCACAGAAUAAACGAGUUGGUGAAGAAAGUGACAGACCAAUAUCACGAAGAACAAAGCUGACCCAUGUCAGCUCAGCAGUUGCAGAGGCAAGGGCACGAUAUUCUGCUUCAGUAGAAGAUCGACUUACAGUAGGUUGUUUCUUUGCUGUCCAAGAAAUGAGAUUAGAGCCGAGAAAUGUACAGAAGCCAGUUGUGGAUCUUCUAGUCUCUGUGCAACCAGCCCAGUCUGCAUCUGAAAAACCAUAGAGUUGUUUGGAACUUCGAGAGUGGAGAAAAAUACCACAGCUGAUAGUUCCUUUAACAUAACGCAGAACCCUCUUUAAGUUAUUAAAGUCUGCAAUAGUUGGUUGCUGCAUUUUCUGGCAUAACAUGUUUGUAGCAUAGGCAAUAUCAGGAUGAGUCAAUGUUAGAUAUUGAAGACCACCAACAAGACUUCGAUAUUCAAGAGGAUUAGAUAAGGGAAUGGAAUCAGAUUGCAGGAUAUAUGGUCUCUGAGAUAGUGGAGUAGAGAUUGGUUUACAAUCAAUCAUUUGAGCUCGAGUAAGAAGAUCGAUUGCAUAUUUGGUUUGACAGAGAAACAGAUCAGUAGAGUUGCGUUUAGCUUCAAUGCCAAGGAAGUAGUGAAGAUAUCCUGGAUCUUUCAUGUGAAAUUGAAGGCUUAGAGAAUGAAUUAAACUCGAAAGUAAUGAGGGUGAGCUCCCAGUUAAGACAAUAUCAUCCACAUACAGUAAGAGAAGUACAGUGUCUUGUCCAUUACGAAGAAUAAACAGAGAGGGAUCAGUGGAGCUGCAGACAAAACCAUUUUCAAGUAAGAAGGUACUAAACUUAUCAAACCAUGCACGAGGAGCUUGUCGAAGACCAUAAAGAGAUUUCUUGAGGAGGCACACAUGAUUAGGUGUUUGUGACUGUAUGAAACCAGGGGGCUGCUCCAUGUAAACUGUUUCAGUCAAUGUGCCAUGUAGGAAUGCGUUCUUGACAUCAAGUUGAUGAAUAGGCCAUUGAUUCAUCAUGGCUACAGAUAGAACUAACCGAAUUGUAGCAUGUUUGACAACUGGGCUGAAAGUUUCAGUAAAAUCUACACCUUCUUCUUGGUGAAACCCUUUAGCUACAAGACGAGCUUUUAACCUAUCAAGACUUCCAUCAGAUGCCAAUUUGGUUUUAAACACCCAUUUGCAGCCUAUCACAUUCAUGUCAGUUGUUCGAGGAAUUAAAAUCCAGGUAUGAUUAUGAUGUAAAGCAUCCAUCUCUUCUUUCAUAGCUGUGUGCCAUCCUUGAUUAGCUAAAGCUGACUUAACUGAUCUAGGUUCAGCAGGGACUUUGUAUUCAGCAAGACAAGCAUAUUUAGGAUUAGUUUUGAUAAUUCCAGAUUUUGACCGAGUCUGCAUAUGGUGAGAUGUAGGUGUACCGUGUGAAGUAGAAGUAGUAGGAGCAUGGUUGCUAUUGUUUCCACUGAAGUGAACAACUGCAGGAUGAGUUAUAGUGCUAGAUAUUUCCUGAUCUUGUGAACAGCAAUGAUCCUGAUGAGUAGGAACUUCAGCCUGUGUUGUUGUAAGGGAAGUAAGGUUGUCCUGUUCUUCAGGAGGCAAAUAGGAUGAAGUAGAAUGAUUGAUGCCAUUAUUAUGCAGUUGUUGUAUAGAAUCUUGUGUUGAUGAAGAGAUAUCAUUUCGGCCUACUGGAUCCAUAAACUUUACCUCUUCUGUCCAUAGUUGAUAUAGUGUUGUAUAGGAUGUGUUCUUUGUCACACGGGUCUUAUUGAAAGGAAAGAACCUUUCAUCAAAGAUAACAUGCCUACUGAUGUAUAUUCGACCAGUAGUAGGAACAAGACAUCUGUAUCCUUUGUGACGUUCGCUAUACCCAAUGAAUAUACAGGUAAGAGACCGUGGAUCUAGCUUGUGUUGAGCAUAGGGUCUGAGACAAGGAAAACAAGCACAGCCGAAGACUCUGAGAUGAUCAUAGCUUGGUUCUUUCUGAUAGAGUCUACUAUAUGGUGAUUGCAUCUGUAGCUUUGGUGUAGGAAGCAUAUUGAUGAUAUAAAUGGCUGUUAGGAAAGCAUCAACCCAAUAUUUUAAAGGAACUUCAGCAUGAUAGAGCAUAGCUAGACCUAACUCAACAACAUGGCGAUGCUUUCUUUCAGAAACACCAUUCUGUUCUGGUGUAUGAGGAUAGGACACUUGUUGUUUAAUGCCAUGGCUAUGUAAAUGUGUCUGAAACUUGUGACUAACAAAUUCACCUCCACCAUCACAUUGGAAGGUCUUGAUUUUGCAGUCAAGUUGAUUUUCGACCUGUUUCUGAAACAGAAUAAAGAUGUCAUAGAAGUCUGCUUUUGCUCUCAUCGGGUAAAUCCAGCUGAAUCGAGAAAAAUCAUCUACAAGGAUGACAUAAUACUUGAAGUUUUGAAAUGAAAUGACUGGUGAAGGUCCCCAGAUAUCGCAGUGCACCUUUUCUAAAGGUGUAGAUGUUACAGAUUCAGACAAUGGAAAUGGUAGAGCAGUAUGUUUUGCAAUUUGACAACUUCGACAUAUAUUCUGUAUUCGAGUGUUACAGUAAAUGUGUUGUUGAUUUUGCAGGUACUGCAGUGUUUUCAGAUUGGUGUGAGCUAAACGCUGAUGCCAUAGAUCUUCUCCUAGAGCUCUGUGUCUCUGAGUUAGAAAUGCUUCUAUGGUGUGAGAAUCAACUCGGUACAAUCCUUUAACCUUCCUUCCAAGCAGCAGAGUUGUGUUGGUGUAAUUGUCCUUAAUGUAUACACCAAUUUUAUCAAAAACGAAGGAACAUGGAUAAUCAUCCGUUAGUUUCGAUACAGAUAGAAGAUUCUUCUUUAUAUCAGGAACAAUUAACACAUCAUUCAGAGGUAAUGAAUCCACUUUAGUAUGCAACAAUGUAUCACCAGUAUAAAUGAUAGGCAAGCAUGAUCCGUUUCCAAUCAUCACUGUAUCAGUUCCAUGGUAUCUAGAAGGAUUAUGAAGAAUACCAGAGUUGGCUGUAAUAUGAGCUGUUGCACCCGUGUCUGGAUACCACUCAUUUCCACUUGAAUCUUCGAUGUGUAGGGCUGCUAAGGCUGUUGGAACUUCCUCUGCUUGGUAUGAAUUAUCGAAACGAUACCAGCAGUGAAGUGCAUCAUGACCUGGUCUUCUGCAGAUUUGACACUCCAGUCGAGUGUUUUCUUUUGGUUUCUCCAUCUGAGCAUUUUUAUGGAGAGUGAAGUUUGAGGAAGGAUAGGUCUUGGUAUCUGUAUACCUUUGAGUUGAGCCAUUAUAUGGUCUAAAACCCUGACCAGACCCCAAAGCAGAGGAGGUAUUAAGCUGGUUAAACUGUUGACUGCCUUGUUCAUAGUUCGAAGUAUUGUUUCUGUAAUUCAUACUUCUUCCAGGAUAACCAUAGUUUCUAUAUCUGUUAUUGAAUGACCUUCCUCUUCCAAAACUUCUUCCUCCUCGACUAUAUCCUCUUGUACUUCCAAGACUACUAUUUUGCUGUACAAAAUCUCUGUUAACCUCCUCUUUGUGUAUAGCUUCAUUCUUCCUUUGGCCAUAGUAUGCUAAAUUUGGAUUGACCUGACUCGAGGAGUAGUUUUGUAGCCUUGUUUCAAAUCUUUCCAAAUGUGAAAUUACUUCAUCAUAUUCAGGUUGUUGCUUUAAACAAUAGAUUGUUGUUUUAAAGCUCUCAUACUCAAACCCUAGACCUUCCAAAAUACCGAACAGUUUUGUUAGCUCAUCCACUGGUUUCCCUAUUGCAUUCAACUGAUCACAUACAGACUUAAACUCUCUGAGAUAUGUUGAUAAAGAUCUAUCACGUUUCUGACAGGCUUGUAAUUUUCCCCUUAACUCAAACUCCUUUGCCACAGAUUUUUGAGUAAAUCGAUUGAGCAAGGUCUGCCAUAGUUCAUAUGCUGUGUUUAGGCCAAUUAUUAGACUGAGUAUGUUUUCGGAGACAGCACCACUAAUCCAGGAGGACACUAACUGAUCUGUCUUGAUCCAAUCAUUAUAAUCAAGAUUAGGGAUCUCAAUUGUUUGAUUUCCUUCUUCGACCUGCAGUGUUUUAGCAGGUGAUAGAACUUCUCCAUUAACAAACCCAAACAAGUCUUGACUCCUUAAGAAUCUAUGAAACUGAUCUUGCCAUAGAAGGAAAUUUUCCUCAGUUAGCUUGAUGGUAACGAAAUUCGAGAUAUUGACAUGAAUAGGGAAUGGAUAUUUCAAGCUUCUUGCUGCCAUUCUUUGUUUCCAGAUCUUCAAAUAGUUCUGUUUAUAAACUCAGACUUUUGCUAGUUUAGGAGUAUCGUUGUAGUACACCUAUUUAUGAUGUAGAUCUGGAUGAGAAUCAGAAUCAUUUACUCACAGAUCUAUGAAGCUUUGAAUCCUGACUUCAAGUUGCUGUAGAUUCAAUCAUACUGAUGCAGCAUCGAGGUGAUUUCUCCAGGAUAUACUGCUCUGAUACCAUGUGAAGAAUACAUGAACAGGAAGGAGAAACAGAGAAGAUGAAGAAACAAGCUUGACAAAGAUGAAGACUCAAAAGAAAAGGAAAUGAUCUUGAGCUUCUGUAUUUGGUUCUCUUGCUCUUCAGAAAAAGAGAGAGAGAGAGAGAGAGAGUAAACUUUUUAUAAAGUGCUUCUUGUAUUCGUUCUUUGUACAUUCCGUAUUUAUAUGCGAGAAACAAAACUCGUACAACUGUUUUAACAGAAAUGAAAACAGAAGGAGGGAAAAUAACAGAACACGGAAAAUAUUCAGUUUUGACUUAAAACUGAAUAUCUAUUAUUCAAUGAGCACGUGUUGUUGAUGUAACUCAUGCUUUCUUUGUUCUUCUUUUCUUUAUCCUCGCAAGUAGAGUUGAGUUUAUUGUUUCCAUCCUUGAUCGAAUCAUUAGCACCAGCAUUUGUUACUGCACUUCCCAAGCCAGCAGUCUGCCUUGUCUUACUUCCCCUGUUUGCACCAGAACUUAACUCCCGUACAUCAGUAUCUAUCUUUGACUUUAAUUUGAACUUCUUUACUUCAUCUUCCUUGUUUCCAUUCAAGCUCAGCUCUUGAUCUCCAGCAUUUGUUUUCGACUUUGGCUUAUAUGCUUUAACACGCUCAGCCCCCGGCUCAGCAAGCACGUGGACAUCGUCGUCCUUCAUCAGGAUGUUCUCGAUCUCGUCGAACCACGAGAGCCCCGAGUCUGGAGACGACGACGACGCGAUCGUCGAGGAGUAAGCGCCGAUGAAGUCGCCGGUCUCAAGGAGGUCGCUGAAGAAGUCGUCGAGGUUGAUGUGAGACAUCACGUCGUCCUUCAUAUGCAACUCCAGAUCCACCAUUAGAACACUAGGGAAAAAAAAAAACAACAAAACAAAAAAAAAGGAGGAAGAAGAUGAAGGCGACGAUGGGAGAUCUCUACAAAAACAUCUUAUUUGCUCGCGGUCCUCUUGCCCGUGCGGUGGUUCGUCGGUCGGAAAGAGGGAAUGUAGAGAGAGAGGGAGGUCGCGGUCCUCUCGCCGGUCCCGUGUGGUGGUUCGCCGGUCGGAAAGAGGGAGGGCAAAGGGAGGGAGCUAGAUCUCGCGGUCCUCUCGCCGGUCCGGUGCGGUGGUUCGUCGGUUGCUGGCGGUGGUUCGCCGGUCGGAAAGAGGGAGGGCACAGAGCGACUGGGAGGUCGCGUCCUGUUCGUCGGAGAGAGAGAGGGAGGGCAGAGUGAGAGGUGCGAAGAAAGAGAAGAAGGAGAAAACCUCGCUCAAGUCCGAAAUUUUUUUAAAAUGGCGCCUGAUUUUCUCCUCAGUCUGACCAGAUUGUGGGUCCCACGCCGAGCCGAAACGAGCCGAGCUGAGCGAGUCUUUUCAUUUUCCAGCGGGUCCCCCAGGACAGGUGUCAAAAGCUGGGUGGUAUGUGCGCGCCACGUCAGCAGAUGACGUGGCGCGAACGAACCACUGAAUAUUUUCUCGCCAUAUUCAUGCUGAGCGCCGAAUUCUCCUCGCAACGGAAGGGAAAAACUGAGUGAACUGAAGCGAGGACGUUUCCAGCAUGAGUGAGUGGGGAAAAUGAGAGCGUCCUCAUUGAACGGCAACAGUUCAUGUCUUUUUCUUGGAAGCAUCGUCCGUAGUUGCGAUUCUCUUGCUUUAGGAAGCGUUUGGAGUCCUCUUAAGGCGCGAAACCCGGCUAAAACAGCAGGGCUCUUGAGUUGCAAAUCGAUGUCGACGAAUUCGCCGGUGGUGCGAGUGAAGGAAAAGAUCGAUUUGACAGAGAAGGAGAAGAUGAUCUUCGAUAGGCUUCUCGCCACCGUUGGCCAUUUCGAUCUCUCUACCCGGCUGCGGGUGGCUGGUGGCUGGGUCCGUGAUAAGGUUGGUGUAUUUGGUAGUGCUGUUCGCUUCGAUGCGCCUUUUAAGUUCUUUUGCAGUACCAAUCGUGUAAAAGCAUGUUGUUUUGUGUUUCUUCUGAGAUAUUUUACCCAAUUACAUGUUUAGUUAUAAUUAGUUCAAGUUCUUACUUUUCCCUUCCCAUAAAACACAGUUUUUUCUUUGUUUGACUGGGGGUUCUUGUUUCUUUGUAGUGCAAAUUGUAGAAAAUGCCUUGCUUUUGUUAUUACUUAUGAAGUUUUGUUUCUACAAUCAGUAGGAACAUCAACUAAUCGAGGUCUUUAUCGUUGUGGUUCCCUUGUUUGUUAAAGUACUGGGAUUGAGACUGCAUUCUUUUGAUUAUUUAGUCAUUGGGCGUUAUUGUUGCCCCAAUCAUAAAUAGAUAAAGGGACGAGUGGGAUAGGAACCUGAUUGAUUCUCCACCGAUGGAAUAUGACCAAAAACCACUUGGGGGGGGGGGGGGGGGGUUUAACUUUAUGGCGAUGCAAGUAACAAAUCUUUAAGUUUAAGAAUGCUAAUGGUUGAUUUGAUAGUCUUUUUUUUAAUAGAUUUAGUGUUACAAGUUACAACAGUAAUGUGAACUUCAUAAUUUCGAAGGCUGUUUUGGGGAAAAAUAGGCAUCUGCUAGUUUUUCUGGCAAUUGCCUCGACAGUCAACACUAAUAGCCAGUGAAGUAAGAUGUUUUCCUAAUCCACGUGAAAUUUACCUAAAUACAAAACAAAACCAAGAAGAUGUACUCUUUCAACAAGUCUAUAAUAGCCUAUUUUCUAUGAUUACUCGCUGCUUUUGGUGGUUUAUUACUCUCAGCUGCUGCCAUCUUGAGCCAGUUGGGUGCCCUUACAUGUCACGUAAUAUUAGUGAGUGACAUUUAGACAGGUGAAUUACUUCUAUGAAGAGUCAGGAUUCCCUUGGCACCACAUUUAUGAGUUACUCUCUUGUUGAUAUGCACACAUUCACAUUAUAUAUGCUAUUGAUUACUAAAUUUGCAUCCCCAUACCAUCAUUAUGACCUGUUAUUGGGCGGUGAUGCCCCUUUACUACAACCCUCAAUAAAUAGGACCUUUCCCAAGCUUCAACGAGGUGCCGGGGUAAUUAUUUGAGUAGAGAAUGAUCAUAUGUUCCUGGAAAGCCCCCUAGAUGCUUUCAAACUGUUAUAAAUGAUUUAUUAUCUGUCAUUUAUAGCAAAAUUUUUGCUCAGAAUCAUUUAUCAUGUUAAAGCUGGAAGUGAUUUGUAGAGAAUGGGUACAAUUAUUGCACUUGAAUCAAUGUGAAUGACAUUGUGAAAUUGGUGGAUUUAUCGUGUUAAACCUAUUCUUUGAAGAAGAUGAUGAACAAACUCACGUUUUCUCAUCUUUACAGCUUCUAGGAAAAUGUUAUGAUAUCGAUAUUGCUCUUGAUGACAUGUUGGGUAGAACAUUCAUUGAUAAGGUUACCCAAUAUUUGUAUUGGGAUUCAUUAUCUUGUAUUUGUUUAAUGUAUCCAUAUUCCAGAUCAAGUCUAAAUUACGAAGGCAUCAUGUUUUGUUCUAACCAAAUCUGUAAGUUCUGGAGAAUUAGAAUCAAAUCAGAGUGCCAUAUCUUUUUGGGGAAGGAUUAUCAUCAUUCUACAUCUGAAAAAAUGUCCAUUGCUGGGCACGAACAUGUCCUUCCAGGACAGUUAGCAAUGUAUUACAAGAGUAUUAGAUGGCUGAAAUGUGAAUCCUGCAAGCACAGUGUCAUUUCUAGCAGGCAUGGUAAUCCCGCUUUGUUUUGAGUGGGGGGACAAAGUCUACGAGCUGAAGUAAUUUUAACCUGGAAACCUCGCCAGGCUGCUGGCCACAUACUUCACACUUUGGUGUGAUUUCGCAGAAUUCCAUCUGGGAUUUUAGUCAUUUGACAAUGGUAUUGGAUUAGAAGAUAAGUAUAUAAUAAAUUGAACAUUGUGGAGAGCGCUUGUCAAAGUGCAACCUCCCUUCCUUUAGAUAAAUAGAAGACUCUCUCCCAUGCUAUCCUUUUGGUAAAACCUAUCAUUUCAGCAUUUAAGGAAGGCCCAUUAUUCAUGUCAUCCAAUUCAAAACAUGUCCUAACAACAGGGAAUUUGUUAGUUUUUUUUGUCUUGUCUACUGGCAAAGAAUUUUUGGAAAGUGAACCAAGUGCGAAACCCAGUUUGAAUCAUCAUGAAGUUGCAUCUUCUCAAUUAACAUGAUUAUUUGCUGGUUAAUAUUCAUCUUGAAGUGAAGAAGAUUGCAUCUUAGGUUGAGCAACAACCCUGUAUGCUUCUUGUGAAGAAUUAUUGCGUCAUGGGCAAAAUGAUGCUGAACCAGUUGCCUAGUCCUUGGUCCCAACCACUUCUAACUAGUUUAGUACUACCAAAAGCUUUAAAAGGUUGGAUCGUUGAAUGGUCUUGAAUUGUAUGGCACAGUAGCACAAGGCCCUUGAGCCAACCCACUGAACUUAUAAAGUCUUGAAUAAUUUAGACCAAGGGAUUUGUACUACUGGCUUUUAGUUUUGUCAAAAUAAUGUCAUAUGAACUUGGUCUUGGUCUGAGAUUGCAACGUGCCUGUGGUCAAGUUAAAAUAGCCACGUAUGUGAUCUUGAAAUCACCUUUGGUCAAUCUUGUAGAUAGAGGUCCUAGUGGUUUAGGCUGCCUUUGUUGUGAGCUAUUCUUUGGUUCAGUUUCCAAUUGAGUUGAUUUUUUUUUUCCUUUGGCCGAGUGCUACUUGUGAACUAUAGCAGUCCAACAUAAAGAUUUUUUCAUCGACUUGUUUUUCUUUUAUUGGUGCUCUCCCAUAAGGAUGCUACUGGCUAGGCUCUUUUACUAAAGUGUGACACAUGGACAUUGCAAUGAAGCUUGAAAAAUAAGCAAAUGGAAGCUGUCCAUUGAAGCUUGUUCUUGUUUGGUUCAGCUCCAAAUUUGCACAAUUGGAGCUUACCAAUUUUCUUGGAAAUCCUCAUUCUUAUCCUAUUUUUAUGUAACACGGUGCCUUUCAUAGCUCUUUUUCCUUUGCUUUUGUCCAUAAAAACUAUCGAGCCUCCUCUUUGUGCCUGCUAAAACUCUUUUUGGGUCCCAUCCAUCUAUAUGUGCAUGUGCAAAUAUACGAUUUAAAUGCUGAUAUGUGACCCUGGAAAUAGAGACUAGGUGGUUCUAGCUAUUGCAAAUUGUUUUUUCCUAUUGUUCUCGACUCUUUUCUCAUGAAAUCUUCGACCUUUUUUAUUCCCACCCCCCCCCCCCCCCCCCACUUUGCCAUGUUGUUGUCAUAUUUAGGUCCCCCAAUAAAAGGCGAGAAGAAAUUGCCCUGCUGUGUAGACAUUUGUUAUGGAAUAGGAAACAGUUAUUCGUGAAAUCCUCAUGUUAUACUGCAUCAAUUUCUGUGGCGGAUGGUUUUUUUUCCUAGUCAGAUGGGUGGUUCAUGCUUCUACACUUACAGAUUCUCAUGUCUCUUUCUUGUUGCUGUUUGUCUUGAUCGUUUUUGCUUUUUGGUAAUAAUCACUCUACUUAAAUUAUUUCACGGGCACAGCCCAAAAUCAGCUUAUAUGCUUAGACUGAAUGGAUUUCUAUAAUUUUCCCAGUUGAUAUCUGCUUCCGUGAAAUUUGUUUUACAUGCUGCUGCUGCCGCCGCUGCCGCUGCUUUAAUUGAGAGCAUCUUCUCUCACUGAACAUGCUAAUAUCAGAGGCGCAAUGGAGAUCCACUACGUGUAUACAUGGAUCUGGAGGCUGGACGAAGGAGAUCUGGCCGAGAAGAUAUCUUCAUCAGUUACCAUGCAAAAGACGAUGUCCAGUCAACCUAUGCUGGAUCACUUUUCCACAAUGGUCGAAAUUACCACGUGUCUUCUUAUAAGGACCAUGUGAGCGAUCAUCUCGUUAGUCUCUCUUGAGUCUUAUCUUGAUUCUCUGUUUAUUAACUUAUGAUCCCUUAAAUUUAUUAGAUUUUGUUUUUGCACCCCAGGAGACGCUGGUUUAUUGGUCUUCCUCUCGCUGCCUUCCUCAAAGGAACGGACUUGCAAAAAAUCUCCUCAAGUUGCUGCCUCACCAUUCAUUUGGCAAGUGCUUAAACAAUGUCGGCGGUCUCGACAAGACACUUUCUUUCUAUCUUGAGUGUGCCAACGAUGUCAGUGUCACUCCAAAAUGGUGGGACCAUUUGCACUGCGCCAUGUCUCAUUAUAAGUUUGUUCUCGCAAUCGAGAACACUUACGGAAAGUUACGUGACAGAGAAACUAUUUUAUGCUCUGGAUGCCGGGGCAGUCCCCAUCUAUUUCGGUGCCCCCAACGUCAUGGACUUUGUUCCUCCGCAUUCGAUCAUAGACGGGAACAAGUUUAGCUCCAUGGAGGAAUUGGCAACUUUCGUGAAGUCCCUCGCGAAUGAUCUGGUGCCGUACGCCGAAUACCAUGCAUGGAGAAGAUGUGGUGUAUUAGGUAAUUAUGGAAACACACGUGCGGCAAGCCUCAACACCUUGCCGUGCCGGUUAUGUGAGUUCAUUAGCAAAAAAGGUGGCAGGAACGCGAGAGCUUUAUGAAGAGCUGAUUCUUUUUUAACACCCGUUUUUUUUCCCUUAUCAUCCCAAUGAUGUGCGGUGUUUUAUAAGUUUAGUCCAUGGUCAUCGACAUAUAUAAAGAGAGAUGGAUAUAUGAGGAGACGGUAGAUUAGACAUUGAUGUAAACAGGCCACUAACAAAGUCAUAUUAAUGAAUACAAAGUCGUCAUGAUCUUUGUGUUUGGACUUCUCUCCAAUCCUGUGAAAGGGCUUAGGAUGGAUUUAGGAGUCUUCAUGUGACCCGUAUGUGGUGAGAGUCGCACGGAUGGUAAUAAGAGGGGUUUGAGCCGUAUGUAGUGACAGUCGCACUGAGGGGGGUUCUAGCCGUAUGCGGUGAGAGUUGCACGGACGGUAAUGAGGGGAGUUCACGUUUAUGUGGAGAUGUAUUCUGUCCUUUCGAUGGGUUGUACAUUCAUAUCAUGUACACCUACUUUUAUGGGUUGAUGGUGCGAAACAAUUGAGAGAAUUCCAUCUUUUACUGGGCCCAUUUUUCCACUAAACAGAUAUUAAUAACUAUUUUGAGAACAUUUAGUGCAUUUUUAGUACACUUAAGUUUUUAAAGUUUACCUAGAAAUUAAAAGGUUCAAAGAGGAACGUAGUUUAUAUUACACUACCGAAGCUUAUUGCUAUUUCUUUCUUGUUGACUUAGGCCUUAUUUGUUUAGGAUCAAGUAAAGAGUAAUAAAUACUUUUUUUUUUUAAUAUUUCCAUUAAAUUUAAAAUAUUAUCCCAUUCUUUUAAAAAAAAAAAUGAAACAAAUUGUGUGUGAAUCUAGGUGAUAAUAUAUUACUUGUUGUGAGAGUUUUAGAUGUUUGGAGAUAAAAACAUUUAAAACACGUUUACUUACCUAUUCAGACACGCCCUUAUGCGAGAUCUUUCUUGUGGCUCUCAUUGAUUGGAGUAGGAUCUACAGUAACAAUUAGAUGCUUAAUAUAUGCUACUCCAAGAAUUAUUAUCGAACCUCAUUGAAAGUUGUUGAGAACUAGUAAAAACAACUUUUUUAGGGUUUUAGGACUUUUACUCUAUCCUCUUGAGAAGUUGUUGCCUUGUCGGUAGACAACACUUGCAUAUAUCUGCAUACAUCUAAUUGUUAUUAAUACAAGAUAAUAGUACAAAUGGACUCUUAACUUUGGUCAAAUAUGUAAUGUUGUCAAUGAAUUUUUAAUUUGUGCAAUAUGGUCUCUGAAUUUUGAUUUAAUAUACGAUGUUGUUCUAAACUUUUAAUUUAUUUAAUGUGGUUCUUGAACUAUUAGUAAAUGUUUAAAUGUAUUUUUUAGACUACAUGAAAAUGUCGAAAGAUUCAAAGACCAUAUUGAACAUUAGACCGUGGUGUAGAAACCACGUUAAAUAAAUUAAAAGAUCAAUGAUGACAUUACACAUUAGAUUAAAGUUUUGGGAUCAUAUUAAAUAAAUUAUAAAAUUGUGCAUUAGACCAAAAGUUUAACGACGUUUGUGUCAUUUUCCUUUAUGAAUAUCGUGAAAUUCUUAUUACACUUUAGAUGGUUAUUAUCACGAGAGAUCAUCCCUUUUUUUUGGGAACGAGAUGAAAUGACUCGGUAGGCAUUUGCCUGUUCCUUUUUUUUUUUUUUUUUUUGUCUCUUCUCUUCUUUUGCUAAGCAAGCUUCGAUUUGCCAUAUGUUAAUCAGCCAAAUCGAUAGCUCUUCCCUUUCUUAAGCAGAACAUCUUUCAAGACAGGUUAUUCACAUUUCAUGUGAUGGUAAGAGGGAAUUGAAAGUUAAGUAGUGGUCUUCCUUUGGGUUCACAACUGACCCUUUUUCAAAGAGCAAUUCACACGACAAAAGACGUGCAAUAGGCAUCCGCAUGUUAUUUCUUCGUCUUUUCUCUCGUUUUUCUAAAGCAAGAUCUGAUUCGCCAUCUAUUAAUCCACUAAAUUGAUAGCUCUUCCCUUUCUUGAGCAGAAGACCUUUCAAGAUGGGUAAUUCACAUUUCAUUUGAUGGUAAUAGGGAAUUGAAAGCUAAGCAAUGGUCUUCCUUCGGGUUCACAACUGACCAUUUCUUGAAGCGCAAUUGACAUGAGUCAAAAGACCAACGGUAGGCAUCCGCCCGUUCUUUCUUCGUCUCUUCUCUUCUUUUCUAAAGCAAGUUAUGAUUUGCCAUCUGUAAUCCCCCAUAUCUAUAGCUCUUUCUUUUCCUGAGCAAUUCCUUUGGGUUCAAAAUUGACCCUUUCUCAAAAAGCAAUUCACACCUAUAAUGUUGAAAAGCGAUUGUUUAGGACCCAUGAAGUGACUAUAUAUCAUAUGAGAAGUAAACCUUGUCGUAAAAUUAAUGAACGUGGAAGCUAAUCAAGAUCUUGCUGUUAAGUCAUUGCGCAAUCACCGGAGAAAUAUACGAGGCAUAAUAAAGGACCCCAAAGAUUUACGUGGAUUGAAUAAUUUGAAUGCGAAAUCAACGAAGAAAUAAAUGAGGAACAAUAAAGGACUCCAAAAAUUUACGUGAAUUGAAUGCGAAAUCAACGAAGAAAUAAAUGAGGAACAAUAAAGGACCCCAAAGAUUUACAUGGAUUGAAUGUGAAAUCAACAAAGAAAUAAAUGAGGAACAAUAAAGGACCCCAAAAAUUUACUCGAUUCAUUCUGUGUCCGUAGCUACAUUCACGAGGAGAACUAGUAGCAAAAAUUUACUAUAAUCGGAGAAUUGGAGUUACAAUUACUUAACUUGUUCGAGCGUUUUGCAUGUCUAAAUUAGACCCAAACCCAGGGUAUUAACAAAUAAACAACACAUUUUAGAUGUAAAUAACUCAAAGCACAAAUUACACGCUUUGAUCGCGACCAAAUAGGAGCUCUCUUUGAAGCGGCCGAAAAUCAAGGACCUCAUUUGCUCUUGAUUUCCUUUCUUCUCGGCAGGGCUUUCCAGUUGUUGCGAAUAUAAAAUUAGACAAGUAUGUGAAUGCCCCUUUCUUUGGUUUGGCCAAUUUGCAGUACUUUUUGAGUCCGACUGUUGGUCUUGGUCUUGGUCAAACUUGCAAAUUUAUACAAUCGGGUUGGGUUUCGCCGUGUAAGAGGGUGUCUUUUGAUCAAUGGAAAUGCAUAUGCUUUUGAAGGUCUUCAUUUCUUAUUCAAUUCAAUCUGGAAGAGACUUAGGCCACGUUUGGUAACCAUUUUGCUUCGGGGAACAAUUUUUGAUCAGAAAUGAUUUUUUCUGAUUUUGCUCCUGGGAAUAAUUUAUGAGUAAAAAAACGCAUUUAAUAACUGUCCGAAAUUUCUACUUACAAUAUAAAAAUGCGUUUGGUAAAAUUCUUAAUUUUUAAAUACUUUUAUUAUAUAUAUUUUUUCUCUUUUUCUCUUCUUCCUCCUCCUUCUUUGUAGCCGGUCGCCGGCCACUGCCGUGGCCAGUGACCGGUGACUUGCUGGGCGAGUUCAGCGAGCUUGUCAGAGCCUCACCAAGUUAGGGCGAGGUCUGGCGAGUUCGCUGAAGGCGAGCCUGGUCAAGGCGAGUCGAGCGAGGUCGGCCUCGCCUAGCCCAACCCAGCCAAGGCGAGGUCGUGCCUAGCCCAGCCACGGCGAGGCUCGGGCCGAGGGCCGGUGAUGCUCUGGCGAGGUCACCAGCUCUCGUCUGGCCGACAACUGGUCAAAGGGAAGAGAAGAGAAAAAAAAUAGAAGAAAAGAAAAAAAUAGAAACUGAUUCUAGAAAUUAUUUUCGGGAACAAGAAGCAAAUUUUUUCUACUUCUUGAUCUGUUCCAAAUUUACUUUCGGGAACAAAAAAACUAUUUUUUUGUUCCCGGGAAAUUUACCAAAUGCAUUUUUUUUUUUUUGUUCUAGGGAACAAAAUAAUAUAAUCAGAUACUAUUUGGAGUAAAAAUAAACAUGCCCUUAGCUUGCAACUUGUUAGGACAUAGAACCCAGUCAUGACUGGAAAAGCAUAUGGUGAUUAUGUUCCUAUUUUUCUAUGCCCAACUCCCAGUAUGGAUGAGUUCAAAAUAAAGAUUUAUCUUUUUUUUUUUGGUCGAGUGCUUCUUGUGAACCAUAGCAAUCCAGCGUAAAGAAGGUGUCUUUUAGAGUCCAAAUCUUAGUCUUGGUCUUGGUCUUGGUUAAACUUGCAAAGUUAUCCAAUCGAGUUGGGUUUUGCCGUGUAAGGUGUCUUUUGAUUAGUGGAAACGCAUAUACUUUUAAAGGUCUUCAUUUCUUAUUCAAUGCAAUUUGGAAGAGACUUUGCUUUCCACUUGUUAGGACACAGAAUCCAGCCACAAUUGGAAAAGCAUAUGGUGAAUAUGUUCCUGUUUUUCUAUGCCCAACUCCUAGUAUGGACGGGUUCAAAAUAAAGAUUUAUAUAUAUAUAUUUGUCGAGUGCUACUCGUGAACCAUAGCAGUCCAGCGUGAAGACUUUUUCAUCAGCUUGUUUUUUUUUUUUUAAUCAUUAUUAUUAUUGGUGCUUUCCAAUAAGAAUGCUAAUGGCUAGGCUCUUUCACUAAGGUGUGACACAUGGACAUUGCAAUGAAGCUUGAAAUAAGCCAAAUAAGCACAUGGAAGCCGUCCCUUGAAGCUUGUUUUCGUUCGGUUCAGCACCGAUUUUGCACAAUUGGAGUGUAACGAUUUUCUUGGAAAUACUCAAUCAUAUCCUAUUUUCAUGUAAUGCGGUGGCCGUUCUAGCUCUUAUUACUUUGCUUUGGUCCAUAAGAAUAAUCGGGCCUCAUAUUUGUGCCUGCUAAACUCUUUUUUGAUCCCAUCCUUAUGUGCAUAUAUGAUUGAAAUGCCGAUAUGUGACCCUAGACAAAGAGAGUAGGCGGUUCUAGCUAUUGCAAUUUUUUUCUCUAUUGCUUUCGACUCUUUUCUCAUGAAAUCUUUGACUUUUUUUUUUAAAAAUCACUGUACAGGGAUUGAUGAUCCUAAAUCAUGAAAAAUUGUGACACCUCUAGGCCCAAAGGAAACGUUUCUGGAUGAUCCCCUGCGUGUUCUUCGUGCUGUUCGCUUUGGUGCUGUUUUAUUUAAAUUUUGUUGAGCUUCUGUUUGUUGUGUUUAUUUAGUUCUGGAUAUUCUUAUUCAGUGUGCCCGAGACCAUUUAUGAUGCGACCCAUUGCUAUUUGUUUGUUAGUAGAACAAACGGAUGUAUAAUGUAUAUAGACAUGGGAAGUUCUAUUGUAUCUUCGUCAAUGCCAUAGCUUGUUGCCUUUGGACUAGUUGCAUGAAAUCGUGUUAAGAGUUGCAUGUGACAGUCUAGUACACAUGCAUAAAACAAAUGCCGUCCUCCUUCUAUUCACUUCCUUUUUUCUGUACAAAUGGAUGUAUUACGAGGGUAAACAUGUGACUGCAUAGGUAAGUAAAGAUUUAAUCAAGAAAGUAACAAUCGCAUGAAAGAUAUACAUACAAUAGAGUGUGCUAGAACCAUGAGCCUACUGUUUGUACUUUAUGUAUGAUUCUUUUCUUUCAAAGACUCUUGGAUCCUCUUGCAUCCUCCCAAUCCCUGAAUUUGGGAAUGCUUAAUGAUUUCAUCAUUAGAUUCGCUUUGUGAAACUUGCAUUUUCGCAACUCAUCCUACAAAGAAGCUUUUUUUUUCUUUUCAAUCUUCUGCCAUGUGAUGUGGAUGCUCAUUUUUCUUUAACUUGCACUAGAGUUUUGCGAGAUCAAAAAGGAGCUUUCUGUUUUAUUAUCGAUUGUCCGGUCGUCUUUGUGCCUCCAUGUUCAUAAUCAUGUGUUUAUUUCAGGCGCAAGGUUCACAUUUACGUUGGAUGAAGAGCUGAAGAGAGCUGCCGCAUCCAAUGAUGUCAAAGAUGCACUUGCAGCUAAAAUCAGUCGAGAGCGCAUUGGAACAGAAGCAUGUGUCUAUAACAUUCCUUUAUUGGCUGCUUUAUCUCAUAUAAAUGUUUUAUGGAGGAAGUUCUUGUGCGUGUGGUCUUUAUUUUUUCUUUCAACAUUUGUAUAAGAUUUGUAUUUUCCGUUUUGACGUUACUUCUCAUUGAUGAGAAGGGAUCAAUGUUUUUCUCCGUCUUCGGUAAGGCAGGUUGAUCUGAUGAUUUCACGCAAUGAACCGAUUAAAGCUAUCGCUUACAUCUAUGAGUUACAAGUGUUUUGGGCUGUCUCCAGUCUACCUCAUGAACAUGAACCUACAUUCCCAGAAGAGUCGAUGGGUUGGUUUGUUGAUUGGGUUCACAACUGACCAUUUCUCAAAGAGGAAUUCACGCCUAUAAUGUUAAAAACCGAUGGUUUUGGCCUCACGGAGUGACAAUAUAUCAGGUGAGAAGUAAACCUUCUUGUAAAAAGAGGAUUUUGUAAUUAAAUCAAUGUGAAAUUACUGAAAAAAUAAAUGAGUAAGAAAAGACCCAAAGGUUUAUGUGAUUCAAUCCGACUGUCGGCAUUUACAUCUACAGGGAAAGCCAGUGGCAUAAAUUUGCUAUAAUCGAAGAAACGGAGUUAUAAUUGCUCAACACGCUCAAGUGUUUCUUAUGCCUAAAAUUAAACUAAACCAAGGUAUUAUCAAAUAAAUAAUUCAUUUUGGAUGUGAAAAAUUCACAGCACGAAUUGCACGCUUUGCCCGCGACCAAGUAGGAGGUCUCUUUGAGAGUGAGUGUUGGAGUAGGAUUAGAGUAGGACCGACAAAAAAAAAAAAAAAUAGGAGGUCUCUCUUAAAUGGCCAAAAAUCAAGGACUACAUCCGUUCUUGAUUUCCUUUCUUCGCGGCACGGCUUUCCCGCAUGUCACUGCACAGCUGUCAAAUCCUCCAUUUUGAUGUACCUUUCUUUGGUUUGGCGAAUCGGCAGUACUUUUAAAGUCCAACUCUUGGUUUCGGUUAAACUUGCGUAUUGGGUCGGGUUUCGCCGUAUAAAAAGGUUCAUUUUGGUCAAUGGAAAUACAUAUGCUUUUGAAGGUCUUCAUUUCUUAUUUAGUUCAAUCUGAAAGAGACUUUGCUUGCAACUUCUAGGACACAUAACCCAAUCACAAUGGAAAAGCAUAUGGCAAUUAUGAUCCUAUUUUUCUGCGCCCAUCUCCCAUUAUGGACGAGCCCAGUGAUGGAAACUAACCAUACGGAUCGACUCACUUUAAUCUACUUCAGAGACAGUGUUGAUGAGGAUCUACUUGGAAUCCUAAGCUCGUGGAAUGCUUCUUCUCAUCAUUGUGAGUGGCAAGGUGUUGUAUGCGGUAGACAACAUCCUAAAAGGGUCGUGUCCCUUAACCUGACAUCAAAAGGCUUGGGUGGUCUUCUAUCACCUCAUGUCGGAAACCUCUCUUUCUUGAGACGCCUAGUUCUACUAAACAAUAGCUUUCAUGGCGAAAUUCCACAAAGCAUUGGCCACUCGUUUCGCCUUCGCCAUCUCAUUCUUAGUAACAACUCAUUUGACGGACCAAUGCCUACUAAUCUUUCUCAGUGCUCAAGCCUUGAGAUUUUGAAUCUCAUCGAUAACCAACUUGUGGGCAAAAUUCCUGAUGAGCUUGGCUCUCUGUCAAAGCUUCGGUAUUUCUAUUUGUCUAAAAAUAGUCUUACAGGAUCUAUUCCUCAUUCUAUUGGAAAUCUCUCCCAACUUUUUGAUCUUUCCGUUGGGGCGAAUGGGUUGCAAGGAGAGAUUCCCAAGACAUUGUCCAAGCUUUGUGGUUUGAGGUUUGUUCAAUUGGCGUUUAACCAACUCACCGGUGAGAUCCCUCCAGCAAUCUUCAACAUAUCUAGCAUUAUCUAUUUUGGUGCUGGUGACAAUCAAUUGAGAGGCAGCAUUCCCCCUUGUAUCGGCGAUACUCUUCCUUCUCUCGGUUAUCUUGAUUUUCAUAAUAAUCUGUUUACUGGCAUUAUUCCUUUGUCCUUAUCGAAUGCCUCCAGCCUUCGGUACAUCUACUUUGACGAUAAUAGUUUUCAUGGACCGAUGCCCACAAAUCUUGGAAAGCUAAAAGCUCUCGAAGCAAUGUUACUUGAUUUUAACUAGUUGCAAGAUGACUUCAGUUUCAUUACCUCAUUGACUAAUUGUUCAAGGCUGGUAAAUUUUGUGGUGGACCACAAUUUUCUUGAAGGUCAAUUGUCGGAUCCAUUGGCAAUCUUUCCAAUAGCAUUAGAGUAAUUGCUACGUCGUCCAACACAAUGUAUGGAACCAUUCCUCCAGCUAUUGGCAAUCUCUUCAACCUGUCCUAUCUUGACUUAUCAAACAAUUCUUUAGGUGGUCGUGGUCCCUCUUGUAUUGGAGCACUUCAUAACUUGCAUGAAUUGUACUUAAGUAGAAACGUGCUAACAAGAGAGAUUAUGUCAUCGAUCGGCAAUUUGACGUUAUUGAAUCGCCUUCACUUGCUGUUGAACAACUUCUAUGGGGAAAUGUCGCAGAGCCUUGGUAACUAUAGGCAGCUAAUCGAGCUUGAGCUUUCCAAUAAUAAUCUAAGUGGUUCAAUCCCAUGGGAGGUUCUUGGCCUUUCUACCAUAUCGAUUAUGAUUAGCUUAGUGCAUAACCAGUUGAGUGGAUCUCUUCUGUCUCAAGUUGGGUCCUUGACCAAUCUUGUCGAACUAGAUCUAUCUUACAAUAAGCUCACGGGACCAAUUCCUAGCUCCAUGAGCAAGUGCUUGCUAUUGGAGCAGCUUAGGUUAGCAGUCAAUUCCUUUCAUGGUGAAAUUCCUCCAGCUUUAGGUACAUUAAAGGGCUUACAAGAGUUGGAUAUUUCCCAUAACGACUUAUCUGGUGAAAUCCCGAGCUUUCUUGCUCAACUUAUUGAUCUAAAGUACUUGAAUCUAUCUUCAAACAAGCUUGAAGGAGAAGUUCCGAAGCAAGGAAUAUUUCUCAAUGCUAGUGUAGUGUCUUUUUUUUAGAAUAAGAAUCUUUGUGGAGGUAUUGCAGAACUAAACCUUCCUUCUUGCAAAUCGAAUACCUCCAAACCAUUACAGACUGAAAAGGUUAGAGUAAUUGCAACAGUGGUGGCUGUCUUGUCAUAUUUCAUUCUGUGUCUUUGCCUAUUUAUCUUUUGGUACCGGAGAAAGAAUUCGAAAAAAAAAAUACCUCUUCGACUGAAUUGCCAUUUGAACACAACUUUUCAAUGGUCUCUUAUGAGGACCUCUUCAGAGCCACAGAUGGAUUCUCUAAAAACAAUGUGAUUAGUAAAGGGAGAUAUGGUAUUGUCUAUAAAGCAACCACACAAGAAGGUGGCUGGGUGGCGGCUAAAGUGCUUAACUUGGGCCAUAGAGGUGCUUUGAAGAGCAUCAUCUCGGAAUGUCGAACCUUAGGGGCCAUAAGACACUGAAAUCUCGUGAAGAUGUUGAACAUGUGCUCAAGCGUGGACUAUCACGGCAAUGAUUUCAAAGCUCUAUUGUACGAAUACAUGGCUAAUGGGAGCUUAGAGAAUUUGAUACAACAAGGAAACGAAGAGAACGUUGAUCAUAAACAUGAACAUGGAAAGCCAAUACAUUUGGGAUUGAUGCAAAGGAUAGACAUUGCCAUUGACACAGCUUCCGCAAUCAAAUAUCUUCAUAGGGAUUGCAGCCUGAAGAUUGUACACGGAGAUCUGAAGCCGAGUAACGUCCUUCUAAACAAUGAGAUGAUGGGACGAGUUGGGGAUUUCGGCCUAGCAACGAUUAGCUUUGUCAUGACAACAGAGGCCAUGGACAUUGACGACCAUAGCAGCUCAGUGGCAGUGAGGGGUUCCGUAGGCUAUGUCCCUCUAGGUAAGCAAAUUUUCUCAUUAAUUGUCUAAGUUUUAUUUAUGUUGGCCUUUAGAUGAAAUAUUUAUUUUCAUUGUAUAUUGCUUGAUGCACACUAUUUUAGAGUAUGGCAUGGGGGGCAUGGUAUCCACACAAGGCGAUGUGUAUAGCUAUGGUAUUGUUUUAUUGGAAAUGUUAAUUAGGAGGAGACCCACAGAAGAGGCUUUCAAGGACCAUUUAAAUCUCCACAACUUUGUCAAGGUGGCUUUGCCAGAUCGAGUAAUGGAGAUUGUGGACUCGGCCAUUUUUAAUGGAGAAAGUGAGAAUGAUGUUGAGAGGAUGAGAGAUUGUGUUGCCUCUGUCUUAAGGAUUGGAGUUGCGUGUUCGAUAGAGUCACCGCUAGAUCGGAUGGACGUGGCCGAAGCCCUCAAGGAAUUGCAUAAGAUUCGGGCUAGGUAUGGAUCCAAGUAGAGGCUUGGUUGAAGCAAGUUCAACUCCCCGACACUUGGACUAAUCUUUAUCUUAAGAUUAAUUUUGCUUUUUGAAUAAGAAAAAUUUGGAUGGUACUAUUCUUGAUCUUGGUUUUAACUCUUUUCCACUUGGCCGAAAGCCAAACUCAUAUGCUAGUUAAAUUUAUGCAAUCUAUCUCCAUCUCUAUUCCCCCUCCCUUCUUUACGAACUCAUUUCUCUUUAUAUGAAUUUUCUGUUUCCAAAUUUUCCCCUUAAAGUCCAUCCCUAAUAAUUGUCUUUAGAUGCAUUAUUUUAAUAUAUAUUUAUAGAUUUAUAGAUGUAGAGAAAUAUAAAGUACAGAUGUAUCUUAUAAAAGGUAUUAAAUUAUGUCAAUGCCUAUUAAUUUGUAAAUGAUAAUUCAUAUUGUGGAUUAAUAGGAGAAGUAAAAGUAAAGUCAAUGAGAUUAUUUUAUUUCGCCAAGGUUGAUUUUAGGUGGCGGCUUUUUUUUGUACUUUUGUAUUUUUUGUUGUAAUGGGAAGAUGAUCUUUUUUACAAUAUAAAAUCUUAGGUGAUACACUUAGAUGUUAAAAAUUUGAGAAUUCAAUUGUACAAUUUAAAUAAGUUAAAAAAACUAACAAUAACAUCAUUAUUAAUUUUAGGAUUAAUGGCAUGAAAAAUCCCGAAUUAAUAUAUAUGUGAUAAAUUUACCCAACUUGAUUUAUUGACUAUAAAGAACUUCAAAUCGUAUACUUAUGACAAAUUUACCUUUUGUUUUGUUAAAUUUUAUUGUCAAAUUGCUUAAUUGGAUGAUUUGACUAAUUUGGGUUUUUAGCAUCCAUUUAUUACAUGUAUGCCGAUUUGUAAUUUUUGAUGAUAUUAAUCAAAUUUAACGAAAAUUAAUGAAAGAUAAAUUCGUCACAAGUAUAUGGUUUGGAGUUUUUGGUAGAUAAAAAAUUAACUUGAAAUAAAUUUAUUAUAGGUAUACUAAACUGAAUUUUUUGAUUUAAUGAAUCAAAAAAUUCAUUUGUAUUACUGUUAACGAUUUGAGAUUUUUGGUGUUGUUAAUCCGAAAUUUUAUUGUGGCUUUCUUAUCACGCGUCAUCGUCUGGAAGUCUUCCUCUCUGGGCGUCGGUUGUCUCUCCCGCCCUCGCCGUUGCGCUUCUGCUCAGCUCAUCGUCGCCGUGUCGCCUCCACUCGUCGCUGUUCUCUAUUAGAAAGUCUACAAUAGCCUAUUUUCCAUGAGUACUUGCCAUUUUAAGAGGUUUAUUACUCUCAGCCUCUGCCAUUUCUAGCCAGCCGGGUGCCUAGGUGUCACGUAAUAAUUGUGAUGGCCAUUUAGACUGGUGAAUUUACUUCUAUGAAGAGUUAGGAUUGCCUUGGCACCACAUUUACGAGUUACUCUCUUAUGCAUUUGCACACAUUCAUCUUAUAUAUGCUACUGAUUACUAAAUUUGCAUCCCCAUAUCAUCGCUAUAGCCUAUUAUUGCGUGGUGACGCCCCUUUGCCACAACCCUCAAUAAAUAGGACCUUUCCCGACCUUCGACAGGGUGCCGGGGUGAUUAUUUGAGUAGAGAAUGAUUAUGUUUUACUAGAAAGGCCCCAGGAUGCUUUCAAACUGUUAUAAAUGAUUUAAUGUCUGUCAUUUUAAGCAAAAAUUUUUGCUUAGAAUCAUUUAUCGCAUUCAAGCUAAAUGAUUUGAAGAGAAACAAUACAAUUAUUGUACUUGAAUCAAAGUAAAUGACAUUGUGAAAAAUGGUGGAUUUAUUAUGUUAAACCUAUUCUUUGAAAAAGAUGAUGAACAAACUCAAGUUAUCUCUUCUUCACAGCUUUAAGGGAAAGAGUGUUAUGAUAUUGAUAUUGCACUUGAUGACAUGUUGGGCCGUACAUUCAAUGGAUAGGGUUAUACCCAAUAUUUGGCAUUAACAGGGGAAGAGGCACGAGGGCUGGUUGAUAUCCCAAGGUUCAUUAAGGUUUGUAGGCAGAAGUACAGCUCAAGUGCCAUAACUUGGCACGGAUGGACACUUAAGUGCCAGUUUUAAAGUUAAAUGGGACACUUAAGUGCCACUCCGGCGAAAAUCCGGUCAAACGGCUGACGUGGCGACUUUCCGGCGAGUUUGGUCCAAAACGACGUCGUUUUGCACGCUGACGUGGCAGAGAAAAUGCAAAAACGACGUCGUUUCGUGUCUACGUGUAAAUAAUAAUAUANNNNNNNNNNNNNNNNNNNNNNNNNNNNNNNNNNNNNNNNNNNNNNNNNNNNNNNNNNNNNNNNNNNNNNNNNNNNNNNNNNNNNNNNNNNNNNNNNNNNGACCCUCCCCCCUCCAUCGCCGGCCCUUCCAGGUGACAGCGGGGAGGCGGCGGCGGCGAGGGCUCAGCCCUCAGCCGCCCCUUCGACCUCCCCCUCCCUUUUUUUAAAAAAUUUUAAAAUUUUUUAAAAUUUUAAAAUUUUUCUUAAUUUUUCUUAAUUUUUAAAAUUUUUGAAUAUUUGAAAUAAAAUUAAUUUUAAAUCUAAUUUAAUUAAUUUUUAUAUUAUUAUUUACACGUAGACACGAAACGGCGUCAUUUUUGCAUUUUCUCCUCUACGUCAGCGUGCAAAACGACGCCGUUUUGAACCAAACUCGCCGGAAAAUGGCCACGUCAGCCAUUUGGCCGAAUUUUCGCCGGAGUGGCACUUAAGUAUCCCAUUUACUCCGAUAUUGGCACUCAAGUGUACCAUUUUAAAGUUAUGGCACUUAAGUGUCCUUCCGUGCCAAGUUAUGGCACUCCACGUGUCCCAACCUCAAAGUUUGUACUUGCAUUUUGCCUUCAAAUAUUAGCUUUCCAUAUUUUAAUGUGUGAAUGUACGAUUUGACUUGAAGUUUAUGUGGGAGUGUCGGUCAUUUGUUUAUUCUGCACCGGAAGUUUAAAAUGUGAGCAGUGGUUAUUUGUUUAUUGUGCACUUCUUCGUCACUGAAAAAAGGAAAAGCUGGAAAGGAGUGUUCACUAGAGUAUAAAAUAAAGAGGAACAGGUCCACAAUACCUAGACAAAUAACUAAGACCUCGGGAUCAGGCAAUGCUAGCUAAGUGCGAAGGAAGAGGAUUAAAAGAGUGUUUUGAAGGCAUGGACAUUGCUGUUAUGAAGAUGCAAGACUCUUGAUUCUUCAUGAUUAACUGUUUCUUUUACUUGAUGAAAUUUGACGUACUAGACAUUUAUAUACAAUGGUUCUACAUCUUGAAUGUGAUCUAUGUGUUAGGGUUGGCACGCAUGUGUUUUAGGUCGUGCCAAACCCUUGUAGCUUUUCGUAAGUUUCACUAUCCAUUUCUAUAUGUGUGGUCACAUUGGCUUUUGACGGACCUCAAAACCCAAUCCAAAAACUAUUAAGUAAAUCAAAUAAGUCAAAGAAGGGUCCCAAUUGCCUAACUCAUGCAUAUCUUACGAACUCUAUAUCCCUUCAAAGAAAGACUGUCGUCAGAAGUUCAAACAAAGGAUGGGCGACCUCGCCGCCUGUUGGUAAGGGUGGGUGAGGGCCUGCAAGCCCUCAUUGGCCACCGGCGAGGCCACCCUCACUAGAUCUGGCAAGGGUCGGCCUCCCUUAAGGCUGAUGAGGGUAGACCUUGCAAAUGGUCUGUAGGCGAGGGUCGCUAAGCCCAGGCAAGGCCGUCCCUCGCCUGUGGCCAGCGUGGAUGGCCCUCACCGGCAAGGGCGACCUUUGCCUAGCCCUUUGUGGGCAUCACCGGUGGCCGGCCAGCCGGCCACAGGUGAAGAGGAAGAAGAUCUAGGAAAAAAAAACAGAAAGAAAAAAAGAAAAAAGAAAGAAAAAGGGGGAAAAUGACAAAUGAUGAAAAUACUUAUGAUUGUCGGAAAGUCAGGUCCUUAUUUAAAAUAGACAUAGUUACUUUAGGUCCUUAUUUGAAAUGGACAUAGUUAUUUCAGGUCUUCAUUUGAAACAACAUCCACUUUAGAUCUUUAUUUGAUAAAGUGAUGUCACUUUAGAUCUUUAUUUGAUAAAGUGAUGUCACUUUAUGUUUUUAUUUGAAAUAAAGUUCACUUUGAGCCCUUAUUUGAUAAAAAGAUGACACUUCAGGUCCCUUUUGGGAUUUUCCCUUUUCCUGAUUGGUGCCGGCUUCCACGAAAUUUGUUUUACAUGCUGCUGCUUUAAUUGAGAGCAUCUUCUCUCGCUGGACAUGCUAACAUCAGAGGCGCAAUGGGGAUCCACUACGUGUACACAUGGAUCUGGAUGCUGGACGAAGGAGAUCAGACCGAGAAGAUACCUUCAUCAGUUACCAUGCAAAAGAAGAUAUCCAGUGAACCUAUGCUGGAUCACUUUUCCACAAUGGUUGAAAUUACCACGUGUCUUCUUGUAAGGACAAUGUGAGCUAUCAUCUCGUCAAUCCUUCUCGAGUCUCAUCUCGAUUCUCUCCCUAUUAACUUAUGUUCCCCUAAAUGCAUUAAAUCUUGUGUUUGCACCCCAGGAGACGCUGGGUCAUCGGCGGUCUCGAUAAGGCACUUUCUUUCUAUCCCGAGUGUUCCAACGGUGCCAGUGGCACUCCAAAAUGGUGGGACUGUUGGAAGAUAUGCGGAAUCCCGGAUUACACAAUCAAGGAUCCGAUUUGAUUAUUGAUUUGAUUAGAAGAUUAAAAUUGUGUACAUAAUCAAUUAAGAUUAGAUCUAGGCAUAGAUUGAUUCGUAGAAUCAUUUAUUUCCUUUAUUUUUACACAACUUGUAUUAUAUUUACAACUAGAAUUGUACAGAUUCAUUAUUGAAGAGAAUAAAAGAGAACUCUUCCUUCUUCAGUCCUCGCCAUCUGCAGAUCUCCAUCUUCUUUCAUGGUAUCAGAGCAGCCGAGUCUCUGAACCUAGCUUCCGCUUCCGCUAAAUAUUCCUCUCCUUCUUGUGACUUUCUGACCCUGAAGUUCUGACCUACAAAGGGCUUUUUCAGGCAUAGUGUCACACUCAGAAUUUUUUUUUAUUUACCAUGGCGAAUCUACAAGAUGAAGCAUCUAUCACCAGGAACCAAUCUGCUGAAGAGAUCAUUCCCGUUGUUGGAGUCAUGCCUCAGAUAUCGACUUCACCUGUUACAACUCAAACAACAGAACAGGUGUUAUUUCCAACUCAACCCGUGCAAUGGCGGCCCACACAGGCUCAGUUCACUAUGGGGCAGCCCAUGACGGGCCAGCCUUUCCAAUGGAUUCCAUAUUCAAUUUAUGUUGGGCCAAGCCCAAACUCUUCAUCACCUGGGUACGUGGGCCACCAAAGCCACGUCCAAUCCGACGGGGGUCCGCCAACCACAGAAGGGGCAAACCCGACCAACGGAAUGGAGCGGAUGCAUGGAUCGAGUGAACUAGGUAUGGGUGCGAAUCCCUACCCGGGAUUUUUUAAUGCGGAUUUUUCAUUCGGGUUGAAUGAAUCGGGUCAAGAGACAAACCCCUACCCGAAUCAUAUGCCCGGCUUUUUGCCGUUUCCAGCAGCGGCCUUCGCCGGACAGCUAGAACCUGACGACCCCUUGUUCGUUUCCACAGCUGACGGGCCAGAGCUGCGACUAAUCAAUCAACAACUGACUGGGCCAGAGAGUUACCCCAAGUGGUCGCAAGAAUUCCGGCGUGCCCUAGCAACAAAGGACAAUGAUGGAUUUCUCGACGGAACCAUCCCGAUUCCCCUCAACAAGCAUCUAGCCCGACUCUGGAGGAAGAGCAACUGCCUGGUCCGAACUUGGUUCGGCAAUUGUCUCUCCACAGAGGUCGCAGCCAGAUUCCCACCAACAGAAGACGCCAAAGGCAUGUGGGAUAACAUCAAGGAGAUGUACGGGAGGUUGGAUCAAGCAAAAAUAUUCACCCUCAUGCAGGAACUCAGUGACUUAAAACAGGGGAAUUCGAUGGUCACGGCUUGUUUCAACAAGCUAUCGUCAUUAUGGAACAGCCUCGAAGUAGCAGAAGAAAAACUCGAGGGCCCCGAAUCCACACUCCGACAAUACAAAUCCAUCAAAGAAAGGGAGAAAGCAACACGAUUUUUGCUCAUUUUAAACGACAACUUCCUUACCUUUCGCUUGCAAAUCUUGGCUAUGGAUCCCAUGCCAUCAAUCGAGCGAAUUUAUCAACUGGCAGUACAAGAGGAAAGCCAGCGAUUCGCAUCACCGGAGAGUGUGAAGAGCGGCGAGAGUAUCACUCUUACAGUCCGCAGGGAGUGAAGAGACGAACCAAGCAAAACCCUAGCAGAAAAGAGACGCGGCAUGCUAGGGUUCUGCGGAGAACGGUCGCGACCCUUUAAAACAGAAGGGAUGAACGGCUCUGAUCGAGCGUGCACAUCCGACGACUCACAGGAGAUCGAUCUUUUAAAAGGUCGGACGGCCCAGAUGAACUUGCGACAAAAGGAUCCGAUGGACAGAUUUUUGCCACGUCAUCCAGAAAUUUCGGGCAAAAUUUUAAAGGAAAGGGUAAAUUAUUUUGUGAGUAUUGCAAGCACUCUAAUCACUCAAUUGACAGUUGUUGGAAGCUUAAUGGGAAACCAACAAAAAAAGGAAAAAGGAUUUCGGCGGCAUACCAAUUGAAUGGAUCCACCGGCCCAAAUUCUGAUCACCCCAUUACCUAUGGAUGGUACCAAUAACUGAUGCAAGCUCUGCAGAAAUUGGAUGUUUCUGACAAGGGAGGCAGUUUUUUAGGUAUCACACAUAGCUUGAUUAACUCUAUAUCAAGGAAAGCAUGGAUUAUUGAUUCAAGAGCAAGUGAUCAUAUUAUAUGUGACAAGAGUCUUUUCUCAAGAAUAAAUGAGGAGCUGAAUUUUCCCAUUUCCGUACAAUUGCCUAAUGGAAAUAUUAGCCAUAUUAAUGUGACAGGAACGGUUAAUCUCAGUCCUCAAAUUAUUCUUAAAAAUGUCCUCUAUGUCCCAGAAUUCUAGUUCAAUCUCAUUUCCGUGUCGAAAGUUUGCCAAGAAAAUUCAUGUCGAGUAAUAUUCAAUGCUGAUGCCUGUUUAUUUCAGGCCCUUUCGACUGGCAGAUUGAUGGGAUGGGGUAGUAUUUCAAAAGGAAUAUUUUUUUAGUCAAGACUCCUAAGUAAUUUUGAUUUAUCCAGCUUUCCAUUGAAUAAAUCCUCCUUGUGUAAUUUGAGCUUGAAUGACAAAAAUUCUCUUAUGCAUAUGAGAUUAGGCCACAGUGCUACCUUUCCUUGUCCUAAAUGUCUCAUUUGUCCACUAGCAAAGCAGUCUCGUUCUCCUUUUCCAUCUAGUAAUUCUCGUGCUAGCAAAAAAUUUUCCUUGAUACAUGUUGAUAUAUGGAGACCUUAUCAUAAGGUUAAUUAUGAUGGAUCACAUUAUUUCCUCACAAUAGUAGACGAUUAUUCUCGUGUGACAUCAAUUUUCUUGAUGCAAUCAAAGGAUCAAGCUUACUCUUAUUUAAAGACAUUUAUCACCUUAUCCAAAAAUCAGUUUGGGAAAUCAAUCCAGCGAAUUCGAACUGAUAAUGGAGCAGAAUUUUUCAGUCACAAUUGCUCCAUACUUUUCUCAUCUCACAGCAUCCAGCAUGAGAGUUCAUGCACUUAUACACCACAACAUAAUGGAGUGGUUGAGCGCAAGCAUCGGCACCUUUUGGAAGUCGCACAUGCCUUGAAGUUUCAAGCUUCAAUACCAUAUGAUUAUUGGGGGGAAAUUGCGUCAUCACAACAGCUUAUUUGAUCAACCGUAUGCCCACCAAGAUACUCAAUGGACGAACACCAUUUGAGCUACUCUAUGGAAGAAAACCAGAUUUACAACAUCUCAAGAUCUUCGGUUGUCUUUGCUAUGCUACAACAUUGGGCUCUUGAGACAAGUUGAGCCCAUGUGCUCGAAAGUGCAUUUUCAUGGGUUAUCCUAAUCUGCAGAAUGGCUAUCGAGUUCUUGAUGUAUCAACAAAGGAAUUUCUCAUAAGCCGUGAUGUAUCUUUCCAUGAAGACAUAUUUCCUUUCUCCAACAUGGGGUCACCAAAUGAGAAUCCCGACAUCAGUUCUAAUAUUCAUUGUCUCUCAUAUGACGACGCACUCUCUCCAGACCAUGGUUACAUACCACUGGUUCAAUCAAGGAAUCCAUCCUACACUCCUGCAAUUAUUCCAGGGGGAAUACCAUCUCCAGUGGAGAAUCCAGAAUCAUCAGCAAACCUAACAGAAGAAGAAGCUGAAGAUGCCAAUAAUACUGAGGAAGAAGUCAGCCAUGAUGUCUCGCCACUCAUCCCCAAUGAAACAAUUCCCACUUCUGCUGAAGAUCAUCCAAGACGCUCUCGUCGGGCCACUCGACCUCCGACGUGGACCAAAGACUAUAUAUGUGCCACUCACAACUCUCCAGGUAUCCAAUAUCCUGUCUCUUCUUAUGUUUCCUUUCAUAGACUAUCAGAGGAACAUAGAUGUUGCAUUAGUCGCCUAUCAGAAGAACAGGAACCAUCUAGUUAUGAUAAGUAGCUGUUGAUCCUAGAUGGCAGCAAGCCAUGGCAACGGAGUUAAAGGCAUUGAAUGACAACCACACAUAGGAUCUUGUCUCAUUGCCACCUAAUCGGAAACCAAUUGGGUGUAAAUGGGUCUACAAGAUUAAAUAUCGUGCAGAUGGAUCAAUUGAACGUUACAAGGCACGCUUGGUAGCCAAGGAAUUUACUCAAUUAGAAGGUUUUGACUACCACGAGACAUUUUCCCCAAUUGCCAAGGAUGUCACAGUCCGCUCUUUUUUUACUGUCGCAGCCAUCAAUGAUUGGAGUCUACAUCAAAUGGACGUGCAUAAUGCCUUCCUCCAUGGUGAUUUAGAUGAAGAGAUAUACAUGGAUGUUCCUCAGGGUUUAUGGAGACAGGGGGAGAAUAAAGUGUGUCGUCUCCGCAAAUCCCUUUAUGGGUUGAAGCAAGCAUCCAGACAAAGGUAUGCAAAAUUUGCAAAUGCUCUUACAACAGCAGGCUUCCAACAAUCAAAGCAUGACUAUGCAUUGUUCACAAGAAACAGAGGUAUGUCAUCUAUCUUUUUGAUGAUAUAUGUCAAUGAUAUUCUUCUUAUGGGAAAUGAUAAGGCUGCCAUAGAAAGAUUCAAGGAAUACUUGCAUGAUACCUUUCAUAUUAAAGACUUAGGAGCACCUAAAUAUUUCCUUGGAAUCGAAAUUGCUCGAUCCGAUUUAGGAAUCUCCCUCAGUCAAUGAAAGUUUAUAUUGGAGAUUAUAUCAGAAGCAGGGCUAUCAGGAUGUAAACCAGCAGCAAUUCCCAUCGAGCAGAACACUAAAUUGACCUCUGCAGCUUAUGAUGAAGGUAUAUCCAAAGAUGACGACCCCAUACUCAAAUCCAUCUGGAUAUCAAAGGCUUGUUAGGAAACUUAUAUAUCUGACAAUGACGAGGUUGAACAUCUCUUAUGCAAUGCAGACAUUGAGCCAGUUCAUGCAUAGCCCAAAACAAUCUCAUUUUGAUGCAGCUUUGAAGAUUGUGAAAUAUUUAAAGAAAUGUCCAGGACUUGGGAUACUUCUGUCAAAGAAAUGUGACAUGAAGAUGACGGCAUACUGUGAUGCAGUUUAUGCAACAUGUCCUAUAAGUCGAAGAUCAGUCACAGGAUAUUGCAUUAAAUUUGGGGAAUCACUCCUUUCAUGGAAGAACAAGAAGCAACCCAUUGUGUCUUUAUCUUCAGCUGAGGCAGAGUAUCGAGCUAUGGCUAAAACCACAUGUCAAAUAGUGUGGAUGCAAGGUUUACUUAAGGAUCUCGGGAUAGAAGUGCAAGGACCAACCAGGCUUUAUUGUGAUAACGAUGCAGCUCUAAAACUUGCAGCGAAUCCUAUAGUACAUGAGAGAACCAAGCACAUUGAAGUCGAUUGUCAUUUCACUCGAGAAAAGAUACAAGAAGGCGUGAUUGAGACAAGAGGAAUUGGGACAAUGGAGCAGCCAGCAGAUAUCUUUACCAAGCCUCUAUGUCAAAGAUAGCACGCAUAUCUAUUGAGCAAGCUAGGUGUUUUAGACAUAUACAAACCACCAGCUUGAGGGAGAGCGUUGGAAGAUAUGCGGAAUCCCGGAUUACACAAUCAAGGAUCCGAUUUGAUUAUUGAUUUGAUUAGAAGAUUAGAAUUAUGUACAUAAUCAAUUAAGAUUAGAUCUAGGCAUAGAUUGAUUCGUAGAAUCAUUUAUUUCCUUUAUUUUUGCACAACUUGUAUUAUAUUUACAACUAGAAUUGUACAGAUUCAUUAUUGAAGAGAAUAGAAAGAAAACUCUUCCUUCUUCAGUCCUCACCAUCUGCAGAUCUCAAUCUUCUUUCAGGGACAAUUUGCACUGUGCCAUGUCUCAUUAUAAGUUUGUUCUUGCAAUCGAGAACACCUUAACAGAAAAUUACGUGACAGAGAAGCUAUUUUAUGCUCUGAAUUCCGGGGCGGUCUCCAUCUAUUUCAGUGCCCUCAACGUCAUGGACUUUGUCCCUCCACGUUCGAUCAUAGACGGGAACAAGUUUAGCUCCAUAAAGGAAUCGGUAACUUUCGUGAAGUCCCUAGCAAACGAUCCGGUCGCGUAUGCCGAAUACCAUGCGUGGAGAAGAUGUGGUGUAUUAGGUAAUUAUGAAAACUCAUGAGUGGCAAGCCUCGACAGCUUGCCGUGUCGGUCAUGGGAGUUCAUUAGCAAAAAAGGUGGCAGGAAUGCUAGAGCUUUAUGAAGAGUUGAUUCUUUUUUAACACUUGUUUUGUUUCCUGAUCAUCCGAUUGAUGCGCGGUUUUUUAUAAGUUUAAUCCAUGGACAUUGACGUAUAUAAAGAAAGAGUUAGAUAUACUAGGAGAUGGUAAAUAGACAUUGAUGUAAACAGGCCACUAAAAAAAUCAUCAUGUUAAUGAAUACAAAGUCAUUAUGAACUUAAAGUGUUUGGACUUCUCUCCGAUUUUGUGAAGCGAAAUCAGACUGGACUUCUCUCCGAUCGGUUGUUGGUGCACUUGUUUUGUCAUUUUUUAGUUCACACUGUCUUUCUGGGUCGCUUCCAAUUCAUACGAUGGAGGAUUGGAGAGGAGAGGUGGAAGAAAAGGCUUGGGAUGAAUUUAGGAGUUUUUUGCGCGAGCUGUGUAGUGUGUGAAGAGAGUUGCACAAAAGGUAACGAGGGGGGUCCGCAUGUAUGCCUUCUUUUAUGGGUUGAUGGUGUGAAACAAUUGAGAAGAUUUCAUUUUUCGCUAGGCCCAUGUUUUCCACUAAGAAGUGGUCUUCCUUUGGGUGCACGACUGACCCUUUCUAAAAGAGCAAUUCACACGAGACAAGAAAUUCAUGGUAAGCAUCCACCCAUUCUUUCUUCGUCUCUUCUCUUAUUAUUAUUAUUUUUUAAAGCAAGAUUCGAUUUGCCAUUUGUUGACCCACCAAAUCGAUAGCUCUUCGGGAGUCUUUUCUUCUUUUUUGUAAAGCAAGAUUCGAUUUGCCAUUUGUUCCAUCAAAUCGAUAGCUCUUGGCCUUCCCGAGUAGUUCCUUUGGGUUCACAACUGACCCUUUCUCAAAGAGCAAUUCAUAACUAAAAUGUUGAAAACCAAUGGUUUGGACCUCUGAAAUGACAAUAUAUCAUACGAGAGGUAAACCUUUGUUGUAGAAUUAAUGAACGCGGAAGCUAAUGAAGAUCUUGUUAGAAUAUAAUACGUGAAAAUGACAAGAUCUUGCAAUUUACGUCAAUGCAAAAUCACCAGAGAAAUAAACGAGAAUUAAUAAGGAUACCAGAAAUUUACGUGGUUUGGUCCGAGUAUCGGUACUUACGUUUACGGAGAGAGCCAGUAGCAAAUAAUUUACUAUAAUCAGAGAAUCAAAAUUUAUAAUCGCUCACACGCUCGAGUGUUUUCCACACCUAAAUUUAAUCUCAAAUUCAAACUAUUUAUAAAUAAAUCACGGCACAAAAUUACCAUGCAUUCAAGCUCAAAGUAAAACGCUUUAUAUAUGCCAAAACAAGAACUGGACGUCUGUCUCUUCUCCACAUACGUAUAGCUUCGCGUUCUCUACCUCUUCAACGGUUGUGCGGCGUCUGGACGUGUGGACGUGCGGCUCCUUUUUUUCUUUUUCUCUCUCGUAGGGCUUCUAUGGUUCCUCUUCUGUUCCGCUUUUUUAUUUGCUUGUGAGCCCAAGGUCAACAAUUUGACUUGGGCCCACCUACUUUAGUCUUCAAUGUGAACAAGGCUUUUGGAGAAGAAAGAAAUCCUUGCUUUAUCUUUUAUUUUAUUUUCUCGUUUGUCUUGUAGUGAUAGGUUAACUUCAUUCUUUUGUUUUCUUGCUUAUUUUGCACGUUCGAAAGAAAGUCCAAUAAGAAGAAAGACUUCUUCAUCCCAUUUGUAAUCCGCUUGAAAAAUCUUUCUUAACAAAAUUUGAUUUAACAAAUCGUUAUCCGAAUUCAAAUUCGAGACAAUAAUUUAACAGAUCUUACAAUUAACUCAAUUUGAAAUCAUCGAAGAAAUAAAUUAUUAACAAUAAGGGCCAAAGAUUUACGUAAUUCAAUACGAGUGUUGGUACCUACAUCCACGAGGAGUGUCGACAGCAAAAAUUUACUAUAAUUAGAUAAUCAGAGUUACAAUUGCUUAGCAUGGUCGAAUGUUUCCUAUGCCUAAAUUAAACCCAAACCCAAGGUAUUAAUAAAUAAAUAACUCAUUUUAAAUGCAAAAACUCACAGCACAAAUUACAUGCUUUGCCUGUGACCAAAUAACAGGUCUCUUUGAAACGGCCGAAAAUCAAGGACCUCGCUUGUUCUUGAUUUCCUUUCUUUGCAGCACAUGUGGCUUUCCAAUUGCUGCAAAUAUAAAAUUAGACAAGCAUGUGUAUGCCCCUUUCUUUGGUUCGGCCAAUCUGCAUUACUUUUUAAGUCCAACUCUCAGUCUAGGUCUUGGUCUUGGUUAAACUUGCAUAUUUUUCCAAAUGGGUGGGGUUUCGCUGUUUGAGAAGGUGUCUGAUCAAUGGAAAAGCAUAUGCUUUUCAACGUCAUCAUUUAUUAUUUAGUUCAAUCUGGAAGAGACUUCACUUGCAGCAUCUUAGAACACAGAAACCACUCCAAUGGAAAAGCAUAAGGCGAUUAUAUUCCUGUUUUUCCAUGCCCAGCUCAUAUUAUGGACGAGUUCAGCAAUGCAAACUAACCAGACUGAUCGGCUUGCUUUAAUCUACUUCAAAGACAGUGUGGAUAAGGAUUUGCUUAGAGUCUUGAGCUCAUGGAAUGACUCUUCUCAUCACUGUAAGUGGCCAGGUAUUGUAUGCGGUCGACGGCAUCCCGAAAGGGUCGUGUCCCUCAACCUGAUGUCGAAAGGCUUGGGCGGUCUUCUAUCGCCUCAUGUCGGAAACCUCUCUUUCCUUAGAAGCCUUGUUCUACAGAACAACAACUUUCGUGGCAAAAUUCCGCAAAGCAUUGGCCACUUGUUUCGCUUGCAACGUCUCAUUCUUAGUAACAACUCUUUCGAUGGACAAAUGCCCACAAAUCUUUCUCAAUGCUCAAAUCUUGAGGUUUUGAAUCUCAUUGAUAACCAACUUGUGGGUAAAAUUCCUCAUGAGCUUGGCUCUUUGUCAAAGCUUCGAGAUUUAUUUUUGGCUAAAAAUAGUCUUACAGGAUCUAUUCCUCAUUCUAUUGGAAAUCUCUCCCAACUUUUGUCUCUUUCCGUUGGACGUAAUGGGUUGCAAGGAGAGAUUCCCAAGACAUUGUCCAAGCUUCGUGGUUUAAGGAAUGUUCAACUAGCAUUUAACCAACUCACUGGCAAGAUCCCACCAGCAAUCUUCAACAUGUCCAGCAUUAUCUAUUUUAGUGCCGGUGACAACCAAUUGAGAGGGAGCAUUCCCCCUAAUAUCGGCGAUACUCUUCCUUCUCUCAGUUAUCUUGAUUUUCCUAGAAAUUUGUUUACUGGCGUUAUACCUCCGUCCUUAUCGAAUGCCUCCAACCUUCAAUACAUCUACUUUAACCAUAACAGUUUUCAUGGACCAAUGCCUGCAAAUCUUGGAAGGCUAAAAGCUCUUGAAGGAAUGUUUCUUAUGUCUAACCAGUUGCAAGAUGACUUCAGUUUUAUUACCUCAUUGACUAAUUGUUCAAUGCUGGAAAUUAUUGGGGUAGACCAUAAUUUUCUCGAGGGUCUCUUGCCGGAUUCCAUCGGCAAUCUUUCCAACAGCGUUAGACUAAUUGCUAUGUCAUCCAACGCAAUGUAUGGAACCAUUCCUCCAAGUAUUGGCAAUCUCUUCAACUUGUCUUUUCUUGGCUUGUCAAACAAUUCACUUAGCGGCCAUGUUCCUUCUUGUAUUGGAGCACUCUAUAACUUGCGCAAUUUGUACUUAAGCAUUAACAUGCUAACAGGAGAGAUCCCAUCGUCGAUCGGCAAUUUGACGUUAUUGAGUCUCCUUUACCUAUCGUUCAACAACUUCUACGGGGAAAUACCGCAAAACCUUGGUAAUUGCAAGCAGCUAAUCGAGCUUGAGCUUUCAAACAAUAAUCUAAGUGGUCCAAUCUCGAGGGAGGUUCUUAGUCUUUCCACCAUUUCGAUUAUCUUCAACUUGGCACAUAACCAAUUGAGUGGAUCUCUUCCAUCUCAAGUUGGGUCCUUGACCAAUCUCGUGGAACUAGAUCUGUCUUACAAUAAGCUGACGGGACCAAUUCCUAGCUCCAUUAACAAGUGCUUGCUAUUAGGACGGCUCAACUUAGCAGUCAAUUCCUUUCAUGGUGAAAUACCUUUGGCUUUAGGAACAUUACGAGGCUUACAAGAGUUGGAUGUUUCCCAUAAUGACUUAUUUGGUGAAAUCCCGAGCUUUCUCGCUCAACUUACGGAUCUAAAGUACUUGAAUCUAUCUUCAAACAAGCUUGAAGGAGAAGUUCCGAAGCAAGGAGUAUUUCUCAAUGCUAGUGCAGUGUUCGUCUUUGAGAAUAGGAAUCUUUGUGGAGGUAUUGCAGAACUAAACCUUCCUUCUUGCAAAUCGAAUACCUCUAAAUCAUUACGAACCAAAAAAGUUAGAGUAAUCGCCACAGUGGCGGCCAUCAUGUCAUAUUUCAUUUUGUGUCUUUGCCUAUUUAUUUUUUGGUACCUGAGAAAGAAGUCAAAAAAGAUUACAUCUUCGACUGAAUUGCCAUCUUCGACUGAAUUGCCAUUUGAACACAAAUUUUCGAUGGUCUCUUAUGAGGAGCUCUUUAAAGCCUCAGAUGGAUUCUCUGAGAUCAAUGUGAUAGGUAAAGGGAGAUAUGGUACCAUCUAUAGAGCAACUACACAGGAAGGCGGCUGGGUGGCGGUUAAAGUGCUCAACUUGGGCCAUAGAGGUGCUUCGAAGAGCUUCAUCUCGGAAUGUCGAACCUUAGGGGCCAUAAGACACCGAAAUCUCGUGAAGAUAUUGGACGUGUGCUCAAGUGUGGACUAUCACAACAACGAUUUCAAAGCUCUAUUGUAUGAAUACAUGGGUAAUGGGAGCUUAGAAAAUUGGAUACACCAACGAAACGAAGAGGACGUUGCGCAUGAACAUGGACAUGGAAAGCCAGGACACUUGGGAUUAAUGCGGAGGUUAGACAUUGCCAUUGACAUAGCUUAUGCAAUCGAAUAUCUUCACAAUAAUUGCAGCCCAAAGAUUGUACACGGAGAUCUGAAGCCGAGUAACAUCCUUUUGGACAACGAGAUGGUGGGACGAGUUGGGGAUUUUGGGAUGGCGACGAUUUGCUUUGCCGCGACAACAAAGGCCAUGGACAUUGACAACCGCAGUAGCUCAGUGGCGGUGAGGGGUUCAAUAGGUUAUGUCCCUCCUGGUAAGAAAAUUUUCUCAUUAUUUUAUUUAAGUUUAUUUGUGUUGGCCUUUAGAUGAGAUAUUUAUUUUCAUCGUUUAUUGCUUGAUGUACACUAUUUUAGAGUAUGGCAUGGGGGAUACGGUAUCCACACAAGGUGAUAUGUACAGCUACGGUAUUGUUUUAUUGGAAAUGUUAACUAGGAGGAGACCCACGGAAGAGGCUUUCAAGGACCAUUUAAAUCUCCACAACUUUGUCAAGGCGGCUCUGCCAAAUCGAGUGAUGGAGAUCGUGGACUCGGCCAUUUUUAAUGGAGAAAGUGAGAAUGAUAUUGAGAGGUUGAGACAUUGUGUCGCCUCCAUCUUAAGGAUUGGAGUUGCGUGUUCGAUGGAGUUGCCGCGGGAUCGGAUGGAUGUGGUGGAUGCCCUCAAAGAACUGCGUGAGACCCAGGCUAGGUAUGGAUUCAAGUAGAGGCUUGGUUGAAGCAAGUUUAGCUCCCAAACGCCUGCACUAGACUUUGUCUUAGGAUUAAUAUUGCCUUUUGAACAAGAAAAUUCGGAGGAUUCUACUCUUCGUCUUGGUUUUAACUCUUUUCCAUUAGGCCUAAAGCCAAACUCAUAUACUAGUUAAUGUAUUUAAUCUAUCUCCAUCUCUAUUCCCCGUCCCCUCUUUAUGAACUCACUAUUCUCUUUAUAUGAAUUUUCUGUUUCUAAUUUUUCCUCUUAAUGUCCAUCUCUAAUAAUUUUCUUUAGAUGCAUAAUUCUAAUAUAUAUUCAUAGAUUUAUAAAAGUAGAAGAAUAUAGAGUGAAGGUGUAUCUUAUAAAAGGCAAUAAAUAAUGUCAAUGCCAAUUAAUUUUUUAAAUGAUAAUUGAUAUUGAGGAUUAAUAGGAGAAGUAAAAGUAAAGUCAAUAGAUUAUUAAAUUUCACCAAGGUUGAUUUUAGGUGGCGGCAUCUUUUUUUCUUUUUUUUGGGUAAUGGGAAGAUGGUCAUUUUAACAAUAUAAAAUCUUAAACAAUAUAAAAUCUUAAGUCAUACACUUAGAUGUUAAAAAUUUGAGAAUUCCAAUUUUAUAUAAGUUGAAUAAUUUAAUAUCACGAAAAAUCUCAAAUUAAUUUACUUAUGAUGAUAUAAUCCAAACCAAUUUUUGAUCACUAAGAACCCCAAAUUAUACAUAUAUUAAAUUUAUUUUUCAUUUGUAUCAGUAUCGUAUUAUUGAUUUGAAUGACAUGUAACAAUAGACAUUUGUAUUAAUUUUGGAUUUUACUUUUUAUUUAUAACAUAUGUACCAGUUUGUAACUUUUGAUGAUAUUAUUUUAAUUUAACGAAAAUUAGUCAAAGAUAAAUUUGUCAUAAAUAUACUAAUUUAAGAUUUUUGAUAAUUUAUCAUAAAUGUACUUCGAAAUUUUUCGUGGUAUUUAACCCAGCUUUGCAGUUUCUCUUCAUCUCUGAGAGCGUCUGUCCAUCUCUCCCGCUCUCGCCGUUGCGCUUCUGCUCGGCCUGUCGUCUCCGUGUCGCCUACGCUCGUCACUGUCUAACCGUGUCUGAGUGCCGAAUUCUCCUCACAACGGAAGGGAAAAACUGAGUGAAUUGAAGCAAGGACUUUCGCAGCAUGAGUAAGGGGGGAAAAUGAGAGCGUCCUUAUUGAAAGUCAACAGUUAAGGGCUUUUUCUUAGAAGCAUCGUCCGUAGUUGCAAUUCUCUUGCUUUAGGAAGCGUUUGGAGUCCUCUUAAGGCGCGAGACCUGACUAAAACGGCAGGGCUCUUGAGUUGCAAAUCGAUGUCGACGAAUUCGCCGGUUAUGCGAGUGAAAAAAAACAGAUCGAUUUGACAGAGAAGGAGAAGAUGAUCUCUGAGAAGUUCUCGCCACCGUUCGCCAUUUCGAUCUCCCUACCCAGCUGCGGGUGGCUGGUUGCUGGGUUCGCUUCGAUGUGCCUUUUAAGUUCUUUUGCAGUACCCAUCGUGUAAAAGCAUUUCGAUGUCCCUACCCAGAAUCGUUUAUCACAUUCAAGCUGGAAAGUUUUGAAGAGAAACGAUACGAUUGUUAUACUUGAAUCGUUGUGAAUGACAUUGUGAACAAUGGUGGAUUUAUUGCGUUAAACCUAUUCUUUGAAGAAGUUGCUGAACAAGCUCCCGUUAUCUCAUCUUUACAGCUUCUAGGGAAAGAGUAUUAUGAUAUUGAUAUUGCACUUGAUGACAUGUUGGGUAGUACAUUCGUGGAUAGGGUUACCCAAUAUUUGGCAUCAACUGGGGAAGAGGCGCGAGGUCUAGCUGUAAUCCCAAGGUGCAUUGAGUUUUGUGCUGACCUUUUGCCUUCAAAUAUUGGCUUUCCAUAUUUUAAUGUGUGAAUGUAUGAUUUGACUUGAAGUUUAUGUGCGAGUGUUGGUCAUUUGUUUAUUCUGCACCGGAAGUUUAUAAUGUGAGCAGUGGUUAUUUGUUUAUUGUGCACUCCAUUUCGUGGAUUGUGAUUCCCUUGUCACUGAUAAAAAGAAGAAAGACUGGAAAGGAGUGUUCACUAGAGUAUAAUAUAAAAGGGAAUAGGUCCACAGUACCUAGUCAAAUAAGUAAGACCUCGGGAUCAAUCAAUGCUAGCUUAGUGCAAUGGAAGAGGAUUAAAAGAGUGUUUUUAAGAUAUGGAGAUUGCUGUUUUGAAGAUGCAAGACUCUUGAUUCUUCAUGAUUAACUGUUUCUUUUACUUCACAAAUUUUGAAGUGCUAGACAUUUAAUAGACAGUGGAUUCUAUAUCUUGAAUGUGAUCUAUGUGUUAGGGUGGCAUGCAUGUGGUUUGGGUUGUGCCAGACCCUUGUAGCUUUUAGAAAGUUUCACUGGAAACAAUCCAUUUCUAUCCCUGUGGUCACACUGCUUUUCACUGACCUCAAAGCACAACCCAAAAACUAUGAAGUAAAUCAAAUAAGUUAAAGAUGGGUUCCAAUUGCAUAUCCCGUCCAUAUCUUACGAUCUCUACAUCCCUCCAAAGAAAAACUGUCAUCAGAAAUUCAUCAUCUCAUGAUUAUCUAAGCGGCCUCCCAAGAGAUAAAGCCACUCUGGAGGGAAUCGACACUAGCAAAAUCUUUUUCAUACUGAGAUUAAUUAGCCCUCUUACGUUUAUUUCUCCAAGGGCUUUGAAAUAUGAUUAAGUGAAGAACAAAUGGUUCACUUUUAAGUGGAAUAAGGAGUGUGUGCAGGGUAAGUAUGUACUUUUGAGAAUACCCCUUUUCUGCUCCAUCUUUUGCCCCUUGAUUUUUCUUUCUUGGGUCUUAUUAUCUGGUAGGUCUAUUGUCGUCAUGAGCUCUGUAGAAGGGCUUUUCUUUUUCUUCUCCUGCAAUUCUCUCUUAACUUGUUUUUGUACAUUAGUCAUGAAAUAUGGUCUUGUCGGCAUAGUUGAAUUUGGAACUUCUUAUUGCAUGAACAUUUGCCCAUAUUUUCUGAUUGAAUUAGGUUGUGGUACGUUAUUGUGGCAGAUGCUGUCUCCAUUCUGAUUGGGUAUUUGAAGACAUUUUUACAUAAAUUUAGUUUUGCUGCAACCCAGACCAGUCAAAACAUCUGGAAACGGCGAGGACGCGUCUCUAUGAUAUAUGAAUAGAUUUUGUGAACUCAAGUUGUGAAAAGUACAGUGACAAUAGCCACAUUCCCACGCAGAUGGUAUGCAGUAGUACAGCUGUUAAUUGAUCUGUCAUAUGUUUUCUUUCCACCUGUAUCUUAUUAUCUUGUUUAGGUGGGGCUUACUAGACAGUAUCAUUUCCAGUAAAUAGCAAAAAUAGUUUUUAGCUCUUUCGUGAACUUUCUUUUCUAGGGAAAGAAAGACAAGCAAAUUAGUUAGGUGGUAUCAAUGGGGCGGCCGCUUGCAUGCUCUGUGGUGGUCCUUGUACUUAAGGAAUGCAAGUGUACAAAUGACAAUUAUGUAGCUCACAAUCAACAGUAAAGUGACUUGAAUUCUGAUAAUCACAUGUCUCUUCUUGAACAGCCUUGGUCCAGGGACUUUCUUCUAAACUAUUUUUCUUUCUUUUGCUAAUUGAGAGACUUGUUGAACGGACAUUAUUUUCUUAUAAGUGUCAAGUAUAUCAUCAUAGAUAAGAGGGCCUAAGAAUCAUCAUGAGAGCUAAAUGCAAUGAGCUCAAAGCCUUUUACAUUUUAUGUCCAUGGCCAUUCAUUUGCAACAUUAACACAGUAUUUUCUCCUAGAUUGUUAAUGCUUGGAGCAAAUUUUUGUUUAUUUAUUGCUUUGUCCUCUCUCUCCAUGCACUGGUGCGUCCAAUGUGAUUGCGCUGUUGUUCAACUAUCUAUCACCCAAAAAUCUUGCUAUUUUUUUGGUAGUUACUUUUGUGAAUGGUCGUCCAAUUUGACUUCUCUUAUAGGAUUUUGGCACUACAGAAGAGGAUGCUUACAAAAGGGAUUUAACUAUAAACAGGUAUCUGUUCUGCCUUAUGUAUCUGAUAAAUUGUUCUCAAACAAUUCAUUGCUUUGUUUUGGGUGGUAUUUGAUCUAACACCCAUUAGUUAAAUAUAUUUUGAAUGAAUCAAAUCAUUCUAUUACUCUAUAAUUGAUACAUAACAAAUUAUUCUGUUGCCUUAUCUAACCUUAUUUCCAGUUACUAACAGUGGACAUAGUCUGCUCUUCUACGAAGCAUAUGUAGCUCGAAACUUACUGCCUGUUGAUCAUUUAAUGCCAAUUAACUAGAUGACAAUUAAAGAGGAAUUGGUGGUUGUUUUGAUUUUCGGUCAGCUGGCAAGAAGUCAUGGAAUGUAUAGUCUUACAAAUCUUUAUUUGGAUAUUGCUCUCUCUCUCUCUCUCUCUCUCUCUCUCUCUCUCUCUCUCUCUCUCUCUCUCAGCUAAUGAAGUGGUUUAGCACCACAUGACUUUCAUUAAUUUGUGAAAUUUGUAUGUUAAUCGAGGUAGGAUUCUGAAGACUAUAGUCCACUCUCUAUUUUAGACAUGACUGGAAAUCCACAUAACAGUUGCUUCUUUAUAUGUUUAAAAUAUGAAGUUUGUUUACUUCAGUCUGUUACUUCAAACAGCUUGCUACUCUUAUUCGUAUCGUUCCUCCCUACAUUGGUCCAUUUGUUUGAUGACCUAAAUUUUUAUCCGAAAGCAUGUUUUACAAUAUCAACACCAACUUAGUUGAAGAUUUAACUGAGAGGUUAGAAUAGAUCUUUUGACUUGAUUUUCUUUUCGUGAGACUUUUUGGGGAAUUACACUAUAUUAAUUCUUCUGCUUUUUGACCCAACCACGGGUAGCACAGUUGGUGUGUGUUCUCCUUUCCACUGCAGAGGUCAGGGUUCGAACCCUCUUGUUGCUAAAGUGUCUUAAGCAGGGGAUCCUGGUGUUGGGGUCCUAGGCUAGCCUCCCCCAGGGUAUUGACGCUUGGUCUGAGGUGCACCAUGCACUGUAAGGGCCGUGGGUUGCCGAUUAGCGUAAGUGAAAAGCAGGCCCGGCGGAUCCUCGGUUACCAAAAAAAAAAAAAAAAUCUUCUGCUUUUUGAAUUUUGCUCACUGUACAGGGAUUGAUGAUCUUAAAUCAGAAAAAAAAAUUGUGACACCUUUAGCCCCAAAGGAAAUGUUUUGGGAUGAUCCUGUUCGUGCUCUUUGUGCUGUUUGCUUUGGUGCUGUUUUAUUGGAUUUUUUGCUGAGCUUUUGUUUCUUAUGUAUCUUUAGUUCUGGAUAUUCUUAUUCAGUGUGCCUGAGAUCAUCUAUAAUGCGACCCAUUGCUAUUCGUUUGUUAGUAGAAUAAAUGGAUGUGUUAUGUAUGUAAACAUGGGAAGUUUUAUUGUAUCUCCAUCAAUCCAUCAAUGCCAUAGCUUAUUGCCUUGGGACUAGUUGCAUGAAAUUGUGUUAAGAGUUGCGUGUGACAGUUUGAAUACACAUGCAUGCACCAAAUACUGUCUUCCUUCCAUUCUCAUCAUUGCCAUAGCUUGUUGCCUUUGGACUAGUUGCAUGAAAUUGUGUUAAGAGUUGCACGUGACAGUCUAAAUACACAUGCAUGCACCAAAUGCUGUCCUCCUUCUAUUCGCAUCCUUUUUCUGUACAAAUGGAUGUAUUAUGUGGGUAAAUGCGUGACUGCAUAGGUAGGUAAAAGGUUUUAAUCAAGAAAGUAAUGAUAGCAUGAAAGACAUACUUACAAUAGAGUGAGCUAGAACCAUGAGCCUACCUUUGUACUUUAUGUAUGAUUCUUUUCUUUCGAAGACUCUUGGAUGCUCUUGCAUCCUCACAAUCCCUGAAUUGGGAAUGCUUAAUGAUUAUAUUCUUAGAUGAGCUUUGUAAACCUUGCGUUUUCGCAGCUCAUCCUACAAAGAAGCUUUCUUUUUUCAAAAUCUCUUGCCUUGUAAUGUGGAUGCUCAUUUUUAUUUAAUUUGUACAAGAGUUUUGAGAGAUCAAGAAGGAGCUUUCUGCUAUUUUAUCUAUUGUCUGGUCAUUUUUGUGCCUCCAUGUUCAUAAUCUCGUGUUCAUUUCAGGCGCACUGUUCACAUUUUACGUUGGAUGUUGGAUGAAGAGCUGACGAGAGCUGCUGCAUUCAAUGAUGUCAAAGAUGCACUUGCAGCUAAAAUCUGUAGAGAGCACAUCGAAACAGAAGCAUGUGCCUAUAACAUUCCUCUUUUGGCUGCUUUAUCUCAUAUAAAUGUUUUUUGGUGAUAGUCUUGUAUAUGUGGGCUUUGUCUUUUCUCUUAACGUUUAUAUAUGAUUUGAAUCUUUCGUUUGAAUGUUACUUCUCAUUGAUGAGAUGGGAUCAAUGUUUUCCCCCUUGUUCA
rnacentral:lncRNA from 1 species